rnacentral:lncRNA from 1 species
GUGGUGUUGAUCGAAACUAUCUUACUUGCUAUUGGAGGACCAAAAUAUAUUUAUUGAUUUAAAAAAAAAUGAGUUAAUUGCAUACAGUUCUACGUAAAUAUAGCGAAUAGCCAAUGUAUCCCUGCGUUUGGUUGGGGGUUAAGGGGUGGAAUAACCUCUUAACCCUCAAUUUAUACCCAAACACCACUCUUUUGGGGUGGGGUUAGUAAACCCCACCCCAAACCGGGUUAGUGGGGUUUACUAACCCCACUCCCCCUCCCAACUUUAACCCCGCACGCAUCCCGAGCCCUCACCUUUUUCUUCUUUAUCAAUCAUUAACCCCACUCCCCCUCCCAACUUUAACCCCGCACGCAUCCCGAGCUCUCACAUUUUUCUUCUUUAUCAAUCAUUAUCUUCUUAUCCCAUCUACUCCAACCAAACACUUUUUUUCACUAUCCUAUACUAACUCCAACCUCCAACCAAACACAAAAAAAAUUUUAACACCAUUUUAACCCUGAACUUAACUCUAUCCCUGGAAUAGCUACUUUUUCUUAACCCCGAACCAAACGGGGGCGUAGAGUUUAACUUUUAAUAUUUAUCUUUACAAAAGUUCUAACAUUUUCAAAUGUACUCCCGAUGUUAGGAUCCGUUAGAAAAAUAUAAUUAACCAUUGGUAAAAUAUUUUACCCUAAUUAGUAAAUGAGGUAAAUUAAUAUUUUUACCAUUUUUAUAUUAUUUGUGAUGAUAAAAAGAAAGAAGAUGACUGUUAGAGAUUUUUGGGAGCAUAUUUCUAUAAAUUCUAACAGUUUGGGCUUUUGGAGGGACAUAUAUAUGAUGACAAAAAUGUCAUUUCACUUAUCUUCGGGUAAAAAGUAAAUAGUGCUAUAAUAAUAAUAAAUCAGAGAAACAAAUAUGAAUAUUAUAAGAAUAUUGUUGAAUUUUUACAGGAAUAAAUAUAAAAAAUUAAACUUUGUAGAAAUAUAUUUGUUAUUCAAUAUGUUUACAAAGAGCAGUAUAAAAUUAAUCCAAAAAUAAAAAAAAUUCUUUAGAUACUCCUAUUUUACCUAGGAUUUACUAAUCAAAUGGACUAUAAAAGGACAUGUUAAUAAUUUCAGAAUAAAUUUAAAAAUUUAGAAUAGUAAUAUAAAUAAGUAAAAGUUUUGACUAAAUUACAGAAAACUCUUCUUUAUAAAUAUCUAUUUUUUCACUUUUUCUAACUUUCAAAAAUCUACAUUUCACUCCCUCAACAUUUCAAGUUAUUCCAUUUAUUCUCCCUACGUCAGGGUUCCAUCACUAUCCUGUCCAUUUCUUAUAAUCUAUACAAAAAAUACUAUUCAAAAUAAUAUAAAUACUAGUGUACGCACCCGCGCGAUGCGGUGGAUAAUUACUGCUAAAGUAAAAAAAUUUUAAAUAAUAAAAUAUUAAUAUAACUAAAUAAAAUAUUACUAUGUCAAAAGGGUACAAUAUAGUCAAUUAUAUAGCAAUCGAUGCAACAGGAAAAAAAAUUAUUUUAAAUAAAUCCUAAUUAGAGUAUAUAGAAAUAUACUAAUAUAUACAAUAUAGAUUAUUCAUUCAUUUAGUCUGGAAUGUGUAAUGUAGUACGAACAAUAAUUGUGCAAGUAACAUAUAGCAUUUCUAUAACAUAUAGCAUUUCAAAAUGUCAUCUAUUCAUACCAAAUCGCUCAAAUUGAACAAAAAAAAUUCUAAUUAACCUCAAAAUAUUACUAAUUCUCGCCAAAUCACUCAAAUCUAUAUAAAAAAAAUAUUAUAUUUGAAAAAAAAUACUCACGGAUGGGAUCGGUGGCAUGGAGAUUGCAAAGGUGAUAUGUAUAGAGGAGGAUCGGCGCGAGAAUAUUCAAAUAGAAUUAAUCUUGUAAUGAUUGAUACUGAGAGUCUAAAUUUAAAAUCUAAUUAUUUUACAUAUUAGGUAAAUAUAUUUUAAAAUUUUAUAAAAAAAUUAACAAAAUGAAAGAAUGAAACAGUGAAUAUGAAUAAUUGGUCUAGUAAUCAAUUAUGAUUAUAAUUAUCCUUAAUUGAUGAAAUGUUAAUAUACAAAUAAUUGAUGAAAUAUUAAUGAAUCAUAUACUAUACGGCCAAGAACGUAUAGUUAGGGAGGAAAGGAGAGGGAAGGGGGUGGGGGAGAGAGAGUUAUUACAAAAAAAAUAGAAUUAAUAGAUGAAACGUUAAUAUAAAAUUAAUUGAUGAAACAUUAAUGAAUCAUAUAGAAGAGGAGUUAAUAAAUUAUUAUAUUAUAUUAUAUAUUAUUAUUAUUAUUAUGAGGAUGAAGUGUUUCUUGCCACGUGGCAAUAAACAUUGUGGUUUCAUUUAGGUUAAUAGAUAAUAGAUAUUAAAAAAAAUUUAAUAAAAGAAGUAAGACUAAUUUGGUCAUUUUAUUCUAUCUAUCUAUUAACACCGUAACCUUCUAAAAAUAUUUCUAAAAUUUUAAAAGGAAAAAAUAUAAAUUUUGAAAAUCAGAAUAAAAAAAUUUUGAAAAAAAGUAUUUACGAAAAAAAUUUCUAUAAUACGGUGAAUAAAUAUGUUUGGUUCGAAUUCGGAUUCCGAUUCGGAUUCGGAUUCGGGUAAAGUUUCAUUCGUACUCACCGUGCCCAAAACCCCAAAAACCCUAACCCUAACCCUAACCCUUACCCUAACCCGAACCCGAGCCGCAUCGAAAGCUCCGCUCUCUCUCUCUCUUCCUCUCCCGCCUCGGUGUCAUCGAACAACCAAAACCCUACUCUCUCUCUCUCUCCCCCUCCUCUUCCAUAAAAGCUCGACGAAGACGACGACACCGAGGAGGAUCUCAACACGGCUCUCCUCUCCCGCUCCACUCCUGCUCCGCAAGGUAAAAAAACCUCACCUUUCUCCAAAUUCCCGACGAUUCUACUGCAUUUCUGCAAAAAUUUCGGCAAGAUUUCUUCUGAUCUCGGUCCAGAGAUGCCUUUUUGCUUCUAAAUCCGUCGCAUUUCGUGUUUUCUUCAGCUUUUGGUGAUCGAAAGGAGGGAAAUGGGGGCGUCGGCGACCGCGGGGAUGCAAAUGGUAGCAGCGAGGCCGUGCGUCUUGUCGUCGCAGAGGAUUCUCGCGUCUAGGGCUUCGGUUUUAGGGUUUGAUCGGGGAAUGUGCGGGGAACCUCGCUUCGGGAGCUCUCGCCAUGUCUCCUCCGUUGGAUCUCUUCGGAUGAAGAGUGGUUUGGGGGCUCCUUUGAGGUGCAGUAGUAAGGUCGUUACGAGGGCGAUGUCGGAGGCGAGCGAGAAGAGUGAGGGUUUUGGAUUGCCCAUCGAUCUGAGAGGUAAAUUUCAAUUGAAUUGAAUAGGAUUUAACUAAAUUCUCUGCUAAAAUUCCGAUAAUUUGGUAAUUUAGUGACCAUUCCUGGUAAAAUUUGCAUCUCUUGUUGCUUGAUUGUAGGAAAUUUAAAAACAAUGGUUUGUUUUGCUUAUUAACAAAAACAAGUAGAUUAUUCUUCUGAUAUGUGAAGUAGUAUAUAUAAAUUUAUGCUUUAUAAUUUUUUUUAUUUAUACCACCUUUAUUUUCUCUGGUUGGGUAUGGACCUGCUCCACUAUGGAUCAUUCUCUUGGAGCAAAAUCUUAGAGGUCCAAAAAGUAAAAAAAUUUAAACCAUUGAAUAUGAUCUACAAAGCUACAUGUGCCAAAUGUUAAAAGUCAUAAUUUUUUUGGAACCUAUUUCUCAUGUAACUUACAAAAUGAACUUACAAGUCGGUGGCAUUGAUUUAAAUUCCAUGAUAAGUUCUGUAUAUGGGCCUCUUUUUCGGGACUUUUUUAUAAACUUCUUUUGUUUCCUGGCUAUAGGUUAAGAAAUCUAGUUCUACCUUGUGUCGAAGUAAAUACCAAAUAAUCUUAUUACGACUUGCCAGUUAGUUGGAUUGCAGUGUUGCCAUGGAAAACUUGUAGAUGUCAUGGCAUUAAACAGCAUAUAUUCUCUUUCUUUUUUGAAUAAUUGGUAUCAGGUUCGCAACCGAUUAAUCAUGUACCGAUGGAAGUAAAAAAAAAACAUAAAGUAGGAGUGCUAAUGAGAACAAGAAAAAAAACUGACAUUCAGCCCAACUAUGCUACUUGACUAAAUUCAAACAACAGCAGUUAUAUGGUGUGCUACUUGACUUCGGUACAGUAAGUAAUGGUUUGUGGUGCAUCAUUUAGCUUGUAAUCCUAUUUUAGAUGCUUGAUUUUAGUAUGGAACUUGUUAUUCAUGUAUAGUAUGAAAGUUAUUAUUCACAUGUGUUUGACAAUAACUUGGUUAAUCCUAAUUCCUAUCUUGUUAUUCCUGAUGCCUAGUGCUUUUCACACUGAUCUUGGUAGAAGAAUAACCUUAGCUGUCCUUUACUUAACUCUGUACUGAUUUUUUUUUCCCCCUCACUUUUCAUCACUCAGGUAAAAGGGCGUUCAUUGCCGGGGUAGCCGAUGAUAAUGGUUAUGGUUGGGCAAUUGCAAAAGCUCUUGCUUCUGCUGGUGCCGAAAUUCUACUUGGUACAUGGGUGCCUGUAUGUGGACUAUCUUUCCUUGUAAAUUUCUUUGAUAAAUUGAAUGGGAAAGGCAAUGCGUAGAUAAUAUUGAUUUAUAUUUUUCCUUUCAGGCACUUAAUAUUUUCGAGACAAGCUUAAGACGAGGGAAGUUCGACGAGUCACGCAAGUGUGUAAUAUUGUUUUCUGCACGGUUCUUUGUCUUUUUCAAAUUAUUAAUACCUGCUUAUGGUUUGGUAUACUCAUUCCUGUAUACAGGUUACCUAAUGGUUCUCUGAUGGAGAUAACCAAAGUGUACCCAUUAGAUGCAGUUUAUGAUACUCCUGAGGAUGUUCCUGAAGAUGUAAGUCCAGCAUAAUUAUGCAUUACUUUUGAUGGGCUUUGCCUUUACCUUAUUUUGUAGAUUUGAAGCGCGACAUAUUAUCUUGUUCAGGUCAAAGCUAACAAGCGCUAUGCUGGAGCCUCAAAUUGGACAGUCAAGGUAGGCGGUCGUUUUAUCGACAUUCUCGAGAACUGGAAUCUGUUGAUUUAGAGGGUGCUUUAUUAACCAUAAAUAUGUGAACCUUUUCACAUUAUUCGGCUGUGACAUUUUGUGGGAUAAAUAUUUCCUCCUUUUCCACAGGAAGUAGCCGAGUCUGUCAAGAAUGAUUUUGGAAGCAUUGACAUUCUUGUGCACUCUCUUGCCAACGGCCCAGAGGCAAGGCAUUCUGCAAUUCUGGCUUUUUAGUUAGUUUAUUAAUUUAAAUUUUCUUUUGAAUUUUCUAAUAAUCGGAUGAACAGGUGACCAAGCCUUUGUUGGAGACAUCAAGAAGAGGAUACCUUGCUGCAAUAUCAGCUUCAAGCUAUUCAUUUGUUUCUCUACUCCAGCAUUUCCUUCCUAUUAUGAAUCCAGGUAUAUUGCUCUAUUACAGAAAUCAAAGCUUCAUUUCUUUCUCCUGUUAGUGCUGAAUAAUUUCAAUGUACUCAACUAAACCCUGAAAAAAUUGCCUGUUUGAGGCCCCUCACCUCUAAUUAGUAAUCACAAAGUAGAAUUUUGAACCUCUUAUUAUAGCCUUUAGUUGGUUCUCUGAUACGAAAUUUGCAGUUCAAAAUUUUGCGCCGUGUGUGUAUAAUUGCAGGUGGUGCUACAGUAUCUUUAACAUACAUAGCUUCUGAAAGGACAAUUCCUGGGUAAACACUCUUACAUGGUUGAUGAUUUUCAGAAAUGUUUAAUAAUAUCUGAUUAUUUUUGCCUUUUUGAUACUUAAUUUUCUAAAACACUUUGCAGCUACGGUGGUGGCAUGAGUUCGGCAAAAGCUGCUUUGGAGAGUGAUACUAUGGUAAGCUCUUCUAUAGACCGUCAUGCUCUUCUUCUUUGAUGUUGCUUAAAACGAGCUCUUCUAGUCAUGGAGUGAAUGACUAGAAUAAACUUUGAACUCCAAAAACAGAAGCUCUAAACUAAAGCUUCUACUUCUAUCCAAAAGCAUAAAUGAAAUCUGAAUAAGACAGCCUUUUGAGCAUCUUCAGACAACUUUAUUCAAACAGCACUUUUGCAGCCAGGCCAUGCUGCGCUGGCCCUUAUUUAAUGACUCAUCUUAAUUCUGCUGUAUUGAUUGGAUAUGCAGGUGCUAGCUUUCGAAGCCGGAAGAAAAGGCAAAAUCAGGGUUAACACAAUUUCUGCAGGUAUCUUUCUCCUAUGAAAUCCUGCUACUGCACUACAGAGUUUUGUCACACAAUCUUAAAGAAGAGCAUGCAAUCCUGUGUAGAUAAUAGAGUUAUAUCGGCAAAGAAUACAUGUCAUAGAUCUACUUUUACCUUCGUAGAUUGCUUGAACUACUACUGCCAGAACUAUACAUACUGUGUAGCAUUGAUCUCUUUAUAGUAGCGUGAAAACUGUUUAAUUGAACCUCCAAAAACAUGUAACAUCUCCCAGGCCCUCUGGGUAGCCGAGCUGCAAAAGCCAUCGGAUUCAUCGAGAAGAUGAUAGACUACUCAUAUUCCAAUGCACCCCUCCAGAAAGAACUACUCGCAGGUUCGAUCUUGAGCGAAUACACUUCACUGGAUUCUCUUCUUCUUUUUCUUUCAUGCAUAAUUCUUUCCCUAACUUCCUUUUGUGUUAAAAUAAUAAUAUGUUUUACAGAUGAGGUUGGGAGCGUGGCGGCUUUCCUAGCGUCCCCGCUCGCAUCGGCGGUUACCGGUUCGGUUGUUUAUGUCGACAACGGCUUGAACACUAUGGGACUUGCGGUCGAUAGCCCGACCAUCGCGGUGUAACCAUUUGUUGUAAAAAAAAGAAAAAACAAGGAUGAGCACCUCAGCAGAAAUGUUUUCAUUCUUCUCUUCUUCUGUUUCCCCCCCCUGUUCGGCAGUGGCAUUUGCAUCCUCUAAUAAUGAGCUUGUGUUUCGCCUUUUCGUUUCAAGAACCCUAGGAAACAGGCCCUUCGGAGGCUAUAGAGUGAGUGAUCUGUUGUAGUUGGAGGUGGUUUCAUUAAUGCCAUUGGGUUUUCUUGUUGUUGUCUACAUGAACAACUUUAUUCUGCUUUUAUCAUAUGGGUGUUGAUUGUGGGGCUCAUCUUUGUAACGGAGAAAUUUGCCUGUGCGCUUUUCGGUCUAACACAUCGGAUUACGAAUCAUUCUUUUGUUUAGUUGCAGCGUGCGAAGCUGCAAACCCCUCAAAAUGUGAACCAAGGAUUUAAGUGCCUAGCGGCACAGGCCGUAUUUAUCGUAUCGUAUCGUGCCAAUAAGUUAUCGGUAUGGUGCAGGUUUCGUGCCGAUGACAUCUCUCAAAACUUUAUAUUUUCUAAAUUAGUAAGUAAUUUGCUUAAUAAAGUUUAAAAAAUUUGAUAAAAAAACAUAAUAAAUAAUUAAAAUAUUAUGUUUUUAAGGAAAAUAAAUAUUUUAUACUAUUAUAUGUUGGCAUACAUGAUUUUUUUUGUGAUCAGCACAGUUCGACAUGCACCGUGUCGUACUAUGUCAGUAAAUUUUCGGCACGAUUUUGUGUCACGGAACUUAAAUUCUUGAUGUGAACUCUCAUGAAGUUUUGCAUUCUUUUCUCCAACCACUAAACAGAUCUUUCAACUGCUGAAGCACCACUCUACUGCUAUACACUCUGCAUGCAUGUAUCUCAAUGGCAAAAAAAUACGCUUUUGUUAUUCGCUAUUCAUUGAUUUGAGUUAUUUAAUAAUUUUUAUAUUUCAAUAUUUGAAUGCAUUGACUUAUUUUUACAAUUUUCUUGUUUAACUAUAAUUUAAUUAAGGGUAAAAUUUUUUUUUGGUUCUCAAACCAUAAGGCCCGUGAUAUUUUGAUCUUCGAAUUUUUAGUUUGUUAAAAAGUUUUGGUUCAAAAACUUUUUUAAUUGGUGCAAUCAAAUUUUACAGUUCAAUUUAGUUGCCUAAAUAUUAAUAAAUAUCAUGUGAAAGUACAAUAAUUGAUGAUACGACAAUAAUUAAAAAAGAUUGAAAACAAUUUUGUUAAUAUUUAGCCAAGCAAAGUAGUUUAUGGAGCUUAAUUAUAAUAAUUUAAAAAGUUUAAAUAAAAAAUUACAAUAAAUUAAAAUUUGAAACAUUGAAUUGUCACGCACCUCAUAGUUUGAGGACCAAAAGUGUAAAUUUCCCCUUUAAUUAAGGGACAUGAAGUUUGUAUAGAAGAAUCAUCAAACAGCUUAAAUGAAUUAAAAAUUUGGGUACCGAAAUUGAAAUUUAAAAAGGGUUAAAUAAUUGAACAAUAAUGGACCAAAGUUUAAAUAAAAUUUUAUACGUUUUUAUCGCAAAAUUUAUGAUACAGCAUUUAUCUAAAAUGAAAAAAAUAAAAUAAAAUGGUAGCACAUCUUUUGGCUUGACAAGAUAACAGAGUUAGAACAAAAUAUAGCACUACAUUUAUAUGCAUUGACUUGUACUUUCACUACAAAAAUUCUCCCAAAUUUCGGAUUAGCGGAGUAGAUAAUAUUCAAGCCAGUGAAAUUGGUGUUAGAAUAUACACAUGGUCAAGAAGGGCCAAAUAACUUAAAAUGAUACACCAAAAAUAUAUCAAACCACAAACAUGAACCUAGUCGCAAGGCUAACCGUCGAAGAGGCGCCUACGCUUGCGAUGGUCGCCGGAGUUGGCGUUCUGGGGCGAAUCCUCGACCACCAUCUCAUCGUGCAUGACUAGGCCCCGGUUGCGGGAGAGCUUCCUUAUCGGUGUUCUCGGCCCGGCCCUCGCAGCUUCGCCUCCGCCUCCGCCGCCGCCGCCGCCGCCAUUUGCACCUCGAGGAUUCCUGUGCGGCAUCACUUCCUCACCAGCUACAACAUUUUCCAUCAUCAGCUGCAGUAAAAACAGAUUACGAUUAAGUGCAAAACUAGAAUUUGGCAAGCAAAACUCUUUUAGGUAAUAAUUCAGUGAAAUAACUCGAGAGAUCACGCGAAAAUUUUAUGGCCACUUAGUGAACCAAAUUAAGUCACUAAUCUAUAAUUUGUUGCCAUAAAAAAUUUCAGUUUGUUAUUUACAGUAACAUUUCAUCCAUUUAAUAACAAUCUUUUGUUUAUAAUGUGCAUCUGGAAGGGCUUAUUCUUCUGCGAGGCAAAAAGAGAACUGUGAAACAAUAAUAUAUCUCGUUAGAGGUUUGAAAUGUAACAGAAGUUACGGCGGAUGCUGAAUACGGCUCAAAAUCAAGGUGAGUAUGAACUUUAAUAAAAAAAGACUAAUGCGAAGGCAAUUAAAACAAUGACAAUCAUGAAUAGAAAUUCAAAUGGCUCAAAUGGCAACUUGAACAUGAAACCAUACAAGACAUAUUCCAUGGGUGCUGAAUAAGGACUUUUGAGUGACAAUCAGGUCUUAAAAUUAGUUGGGGUAGCUUCAUACUGAUGCUAGAAAUUAUCAUUAAGGAUUCAUCUAUUUUGCUACUAUUAAAAAAAUGCAAAGAGGAAGAAACACCUUGAAUGAAUAAAGAUGAUGACGAAAGUAAUUAUAUUUCAAUACCUUCCAGUCCUUAAAAUCAAAUCUGAAGACAAAAUGGCUGUAGGAGACUUCACCAGAUGUCACUGAACUAGCAGCAGGAGCAUUCCUUGGAGCUAGGUAACAAUGGAUCAAUAAAAUCAGUUAUGUUUAUGAAGAAUGAGCACAAAAUCAAAUAAACUGGAGAAAUGAAAAAAAGAAGAAAGAAACAAACAAACAAACAAACUUACAAACUAAAUGAUGCCCGCUAUCAUGCACAUCAAUUUGAACCCUCCCAUCUUUCACCAGGAAUGAUAGAGCAAAGAUGUUCUCUACUGUUUGUGCAAAGGAUUUUCUGUUCAAAACCAGAUUUUCGAGUCUCACACUUUUUUUUCGCCGCAGUAUAUCAAACAUUACAGACAUAUUCUUAUCAGUGUCACUUUUCACUUCCUCUGACUCACCAAGCUGUACGCCAAAAAAAACAGAGAUGAAGAAUGUUAGAACUCAGUGUUAAUACACAGACGUCAAGCGUAUGCAUGACAUGAAAUCUAUUACUCAUUUAAAUAUAAAUCCUAAUAAAACCAAACAAAAUCUAGACAAUGCUAUCUAGGAACCAUAGACCAAGUAAAAUGGCAUACAAAGUCAUCCUUCGGAAAAGCUGUAGACAUAUUUCAACAUAACGAAAUGGCAAAAUCAACCAAUUGAAUGAACAAAAUAUGCUGAUAGAACGAGCCAAUUUGUUGUUAAUUACCUCCAGUAAUAACAAUAAUAAUAAAGAAAAGGAAAAAAACAAAAGCUUAGCAUUUAGACUAUAGUAUUUCCAAAGAACCAAAUAAUAGAAAACAAAGAUUUAAGUUAUAAGACUCCAAAAUAAGUUGCACCUUUUGCAGUUCCAAAUACAGUUUGCAUAAAAUUUAGUCAUAAAAACAUAGUAUCAAACAACAUUUUACAUCUAAAGAAACAAAAUAUUGGCAAUUAAGACUAAACAUAGCAAUACACAUUGUCAGCAUAGGAAUCCAAUGGCAUCAGAUCAAAAAGAAAAAUAUUAACCUCUUCUGGUCGAGUGCUUUCAUUUGGCCUCGUCCUACGGUUUCUAUGAACUACAGCCACCUUACGCUGCUUCACCUCCAUAUUCAUGGGACCAACCCUGGCAAGAAUAACAUAAAUCAAACACAACAUUCGCAUUCAGCUGCUAAAUAAUUAUCUAAAAUAAAAUUAGUAUAGUUAAUAAAAUUAAGAUUUUUAAAAAGUCUGGUGCCCAUUUCAAGAGGGAUUAUAGUUUAGGUAAAAGUUCUGUACGUUUCCACAAUCAAUGUUUAGUGAGGAAGAUAAGAUCAAUUCUUACAUGGUGGAGCACCCAGAGGCCUCCAUGAAAACAUGAGAGACACCAAGGCCAACAUCUGCCCACUUGAACAGGUUUGGAUUGUUCUCUACAUCCGAUCUACUGAAGUUCUUAAGCAAUGCAGCCACAAAAUCAGAAGGUGUGAUUCCUUCACCCGAUUGAGACCUAACUGAUGUCACCAAUGUGUUGGCGAGGUCCAAUAGAGCCUCUGCAUCUGCCACUUGUUCCCUGGGUUUCUGAACUGUAAGUUAAUUGAACACAAGAAGAUUAGUAUUCCUGCUUUCCAGGAUUAGAACAGCUGGAAUUGAAACAUGAGGGAAGCAUGCUUUUCGGAAGAGCUGUUGGAAGAAGCACUACUAGGUUUACUAUUUAGCUCCCCUAAUUGCUUUUCAUUGCAGCACAAACAGAAGCAGACGCAUCAAAAAAUUGAACUUUUUCCGCUUUCAGCUAUCAGAAGCAUAUUAUUGCUUUCCACCGCAACAAAAGCCUCAUAUUCUAUGUUUCCAAAAGAAACAACUGUCGAUUUUUGGUGCAAAUGUGUUUGAGAAGCCAGAAAUACAGUCACUUCAUUUUCAGAAACAGUGCGGACCUACCAACAAAUUUGAAUUUCUUAACAGCACAAGGAGAAUCGUAUAGAAUUUCAAAAAACAAAUGUCAUAAGCAGCGUAGAUAACCAUCUUCUACUAAAUAUUGCUGCAACAAUAGUUGAAAGAAGCACGAAUCCGAUGCCUGGGAAACAACUUUUAGUCAUCAAUAAAGAAAAUACCAUUUUAAAAAACCUAAACUGUUGAGGAACCCUAAUUUGAAAUGGCAAAAAAUAUGACAAUUCCCAAAAUCUAUUUAUCCACCCAAAAGGGGACUCUGCAUAUUCUUCAGCCCUCGAGACCAGUUAGAUCAAUAGCAUGAUUGGAUCAAACAAUCAAGAUACACUAUCUUACACUCAAACCCAGUAAAUUUGUUCAUAUAUAAAGUAAAUUUAACUGUUAAAAAUAGAUUGUAAGCCAGUUCAUUCAAUAAAAAGCACUAAUUUAAGAAAGAUUUGUGGUAGAUGUUGCAAUUGUUAAAAAAAAAUUGAAAUUUUGAUCAUAAGGACACCGAAUUAAGAGAUCCGUACAGUAGAAUUUGCACAAUGUGAAGUAAAACCAAGAACUAAGGAACUAAUUACAACUUUGGGAACUACAUAAGAAGCACAUCGACAAGAAACCCUACCCAGCUGGUGCAAGCUCUCCACUUGGCUGAUGAUGGUCUGGAACUUAUCCGAAUCCGCUCUCGCCACAUCGUCCCUCUCAUCUGCACCAAAACCCUAAUCCGAUUAACCCUAGCUAACAAGCGAGCGAGCAAGCGAGCAAGAGAGAGAAAGAGAGAAAGAGAUCACUACCACAGAUUUGGCUCUUUACAGCGAGGUAGCGAGACCGGAGAACGCGGCGCUCCGCCACGCCCUGGCGACUCGUCUCCCCUCCGCCGCCGCCGCCGCCGCUGCCGCCGCCGCCGCUCGCCGCCGCCCUCUUCGCCGCCGCAGUCGCCAUGGAUGGAGCUCGAAGAGGGCUCUCGAGGGGAAUCGAGAGAGAGGAGAGGAGAGGAGAGGAGUCGAUUUGAAUUGAAAAGGGGAAUUGGGAUGUGAUCAAAUUUAUUGCGAGGGAGAGGGAAAACGAAAAUGCGAAAAUAGGGUUUUUUAGGAACGAACUCGAAGCGGAAUUUGAAAAAGCGAGGUGGUAAAUAUGCGUAGAGACCCCUCAUCUAUAGCAUACGCUGAAAAAGAUUCAUCACAUUUUUACAUACUUAGGUUAAAAAUUUUAUCAAGAUAAUUUUUUUAUUAGUUAUCGUAGUUAGUUAAUUCGGAUUCGACAAAAAUUCGGUACGGAUAUAAUACGAAAUUUAUUUGUAUUCAAAUUUUUAAAUUUAUUGAAAAAUACGGCUUAAAAAAGAAUGGUUCGCCAAUUAUUCGGAUACGUGAUUUAUACGAAAAUUAUACGUUUAUUAAUUAAAAAUUUGAGAUAAAAAAUUCCACUAUUAAAUUAAAUUUGUUUUAUAGAUUUAUGAUGUUAGCAUAAAUAGUUAUAAUUCUUAAUAAAAUAGUCCACAGUCCACACUUAUAUAUAUAAAAUAUAAGAUUUUUUAUUCAAAUUUUAAUAAUCCAUGACUAAUUCAUAAAUAAUUCGGCUAAUCCAAAAAAAUUGCGUUCUAUUCUGUAUUUUAGAAAAAAAUUGCAAACGAACUGACUGUUUAAUUGAAAUUUUUAAUAAUUCAGAAAUAAUUCGCGAAUUAACUAACAGAGUUAGUAUUUAGCCUUUUUAAUUGAUCUCAUCUUGUUCACUGAAAAAUGAACUAAAUUUAUUAAAAAAAAAAAUCAACUAUGAAUUUGAUAAAUUUCUUUUUUUUUUUUGAGUAGACGUGAGUGAGUUCUUUAAUCAAAAAAAAUAAAAAUGAGGGCCUAUUUCAGUAUGGCAUGUAGAUGAGGGGUCUCCAUGCAUUUUAUCCGAAAAGCUUCGGCGAUUUCGUGCGAGGGCGAUUUGACUUUCGUAGCCUCCCGCUCUCUGUUGAAACCCCGAAUAAUAUUACAAGAUUAUUAAAUCAAAUAAAUUAAAACAUUAGAUAAUAAAAUUAAAAUUUUGAAAGAUAGUAAAUUUGAAAUUAUUUAAGUUUAAUUUUGUAUAUUUUUAUCAAUUUAAAUUUUGAGUACUAAAAUUGAAAUUUGAGUUAAAGUUUAAGGACUACUGCAAUUUUAUUAGAUUUUAGCAAGUAGGGGGGGUAAUCCAGCUCGCCGUCUGCGAGCCAGCUCGUGUUUGGUUCGAAAUUAGCUCGAAAUCAAAUUAUUCAUUUAAUAAACGAGUCGAACGCGAGUUAGGAUUAGCUCGCUCGUUUUCGGCUCUAUAACAGAUCGAAUACAUAUUUUAUAUUUAUAUAUAUAAAUUAAUAAUUAUAUAUGUAUAUAAUAUAAAUUUUUACUAUUUGAUUCUUAGCCCAACCUAAAUAUAAAGUUCAACUCAAUUAUAAAAUGAUUCAUUUAUAUGUAAAAUUUCAAUCAUUACAUCAAAGGAUAACGGGUAAAAUUUUAUANUUAUUAUUUAAUUUUUAAUCCAAUCUAAAUAUAAAGUCCAACAUAAUUAUAAAAAAAACAUUUAUGUAAAAAAUUUCAACCAUUAAGUCUAAGUUUAAUGCGUAAAAUUUUAUAAAUUUAUUUUCUAUAUAUAUAUUUUUUAAUCCUUUUAAAUUCUUAUUCAUAAGCCAGCUCGUAUUCGGCUCGUGUUCAGCUCGUUUAUAAACGAGUCGAACAUGAGCCGAAUUUUUCUGCUCGAUGCUUCAACGAGUCAGCUCAUGUUCUGCUUGUUUAUAAAACGAGCCGAACAUGAGCCAACCCUAGCUUGCUCGUGUUCGGCUCGUUGACACCGCUACUAGCAAUUGAUCCGUGCAAUGCACGGAUUUUAAUUUAAUCUUUUUGUUAUAACUUUUAUAUAAUAUACAUUAAUUUAUACAAAUUAAGUUUUUAUUAGUAAAAUUAUUGAAAUCAAAUUAAAAUAAUACUAUCAUGAUAUGCUAAUAGAAUGUAAGUAAAUAAUUUAUAAUUAUAAAGUCAUAAAGUUAAUAAUUUGAUUUUAAAGGGCACAACCUUGCAUAAUAUAAAGUUAAUUUUUACCGACUGCCCCUAGAGCAAGUGACAAAGGGCUUGGUGGUUGGUACCCGAGGUCCCAAGUUUGAAUCUUAGCUGAUUCACAUUUCCAGCUAAGUUUAUUUCUAAAUAAAAUAAACAAAGCCGGUAGCAUGCUACCUAUCUCUCAAUAUAUAUAUAUAUAUAUAGAGAGAGAGAGAGAGAGAGAGAGAGAGAGAGAGAGUUGAGCUAGAAUACUAUCGGUAGUAAACGAGACAUUUUACUACCGAUUUGUUUUCGAUGAUAGAGCUUCCAAAUUGACAAUCGGCUCCGUUAAAUAUGAUCUAAACUAUUUAAACUACUUAGAAAUCAAAUUUCACGCACUUUCGAUAUUGUUCUCUUAUCCAUCAAGUGAACAGAAAAAUGAAUGGCUGAAAAUGAAUAUUCUUUAAAAAAUGAUGAUAGGAGUCUUGUAAUCAAGAUCAAGAGUAUAGAUCUUGUUUUAAAUAGUUUAAAGAAUUUUCUAACAAAAAUUCAAUUGAUUUGGAUAUCUUUACACCGUUAAACGAGAAAACGCCUCUUAUCUACCAUUAAAAUUAUAAAUUUUGAAACCCUUUGAUCAUUAGGCAAAUGAUGUCGAAAAAAAUUUGAAAUUUGAUUUCUAAACACUUCAAGUGGUAUAGAUCAUGUUCAACGGAGCCGAUCGUCAAUUUGGAAGCUCUAUCAUCGAAAACAACUCGAUAGUAAAACGUCCCGUUUACUAUUAAGAGUAUUCUAGCUCAACUCUCUCUCUCUCUCUCUCUCUCUCUCUAUAUAUAUAUAUAUAUAUAUAUAUAUAUAUAUAUAUAUAUAUAUAUAUGUAUAUAUCGAACUUUUAUGAUAAUUAGUUCCAUAAUUUUUGGUCUCAUGAGAACUUAAAUCCCGACUUCACCCUGAAACUGUUAGAAAACAACGAUUAUUUUGUAUAUUUAACAUGGUAUCAGCAUAAUAAGUUAUAAGUUCAAGUUCCAUCAUACUUCUAAUAUUAUUAAUUUUUAUUAUUUAAUUUAAAUUCAUAUUUUGGGUCUAGACGUAUAGAAAAAUAUUGAAUAUAAAUAUGAAAAGCAUUGUUCUUUAGUAACUUAAACUUUCAGAAAAUAACGAUUAUUUCGUGUUAUUUAACAACCGACAAUAUGUGUUAGCAUAUGAGAUAUGAUGGACAUCAAAUAAAUGUUUAGUGCUUAAUUGAGCUGAUACAUUGUGUGCAAGAUAUAAUUUGGCACAGCAAUAAGUUACCAGUUAAAAAAAUCUAGUACAUCUGUACAUUCAUGCAUCACAAAUUCAUAGUUUUUUUUUUUUUUUUUUUUUUUUGAGAGAGAUAAGUAAUACGUUACCCGCUUCGUUUAUUUCAUUCAGAAAUAAACUUAGCUGGAAAUAUGAAUCAACUAGGAUUCGAACUUGGGUCUCGAGUACCAAUCACCAAGCCAUUUGCCACUUGCUCUAGAAACGGUCGAUACAAAUUCAUAGUUAAAAUCUAGUACAUCUGUGCAUUCAUGCAUCACUGCUUCGUUCUUCCUCUUUCCCUCCUAGUAUUUUGAUUCAACCAUUUAACCAUAUUAAAUUGAUUCUUCCCCUCAAGAUACGAAAUUAAAUUAAAUAGGAGGAAAUUAAUAAUAAUAAAAGUCUGGCAAAAUUCAAAUUCAGGAUUUUNGAUCAUUAGGCAAAUGAUGUCGAAAAGAUUUGAAAUUUGAUUUCUAAAUACUUCAAGUGGUAUAGAUCAUGUUCAACGGAGCCGAACGUCAAUUUGGAAGUUUUAUCAUCGAAAACAAAUUGGUAGUAAAACGACUCGUUUACUACCGAUAGUAUUCUAGCUCAACUCUCUCUCUCUCUCUCUCUCUCUCUCUCUCUAUAUAUAUAUAUAUAUAUAUUCUAGGUACUUCAAAUACUCUAGAUCAAGUUUAACGGAGCCGAUCGACGAUUCGAAAGUUGCAACAUCGAAACGGCCUGGAAGCACGGAAGGCUUCAUGCUUCCAGAAACAUAGUAGCCUCACUCUCUCUCUCUCUCUCUCUCUCUCUCUCUCUCUCUCUCUCUCUAUAUAUAUAUAUAUAUAUAUAUAUUGGAACACAGUAAGUAAUACUAUUUUCAAGGUACAUUGAAACCUUCUAUGAAAUUGCGUCAUGUGGCGUCGGUGGUUCACUUGGAAUCAUGCUUCUAAAAUACGAUAUACUAGUAUAAUAACUCGUGUGAUGCGCAGAUAAUUGAAUAAAAAAAAAAUAGUGACAAAGGAAGAGAAAACGACAAUGAAAAAAAUGACGAUGAAUGGUGGGAUUCAUCUUAUCGAUGAAGGAAGAUAACAGUAGAAGGAAGAGGAAGAGAAACAGCCACGCUCACUGCAAAGAUGUGAUUUGGUUCUGUUCAAGCAAAAAAAGAAAAAUCCGGUUCAAUUCAAGCAAAAAAAAAAAGGAAAACUUUAACCAGUUCCGGGUGGAGUUCACACUCGACAUUGAUCGGUUUGGUUUAAGCAAGUAAAGAAAAAAAAAAAUCCGGUUCAAAAAUGGAAUCAUGGAAACAUAUGAAGUAUUUGGGCAAGUUUGGCCCAAUGCAACAGGUUGACCUGAUUCGGUUCAAGCAAAGAAAGAGAAAAAUCAGAUUCGGUUCGAGCAAAGAGAGAAACAUGUGUAAGACUUGAACCGCUUUGGAAGAGCCCACACUCAACAAUGAUCGGUUAGGUAUAUCUGUACCCAGUGAGAUCCCUAGAAUUACGGCUCAAUUACGGAAUGGCCCCCGACAUUUUGCCCACACCUCAAAAAUUGUUUUACAUAAAAAUUUUUAACAAUGCCAAUUUUGCACUGUAAUUAAUGUAUUAUCAAAUAAAAUAGGCCUAUGCGUUAUGAUUUUUAUAUUUAUUUUAAUGGUUUUGUGCUUAUUUAAUAUUUUAAAACUUAGAUGGGUAAGCAAUGCAUUUAUAUCAACAUAGGGACGAAAAUUAUAAAGGCGGGUCUAUUUGAGAAAUAAUUAAUAUAUAUAUAUAGGAUAAAGUACAGGGGUGUUUUUGUAAUUAAGCCUAAACACCGGGUCUAUAGACCAGUUCCAUGCAACAGCGUUUCCAAUCUCCAUUGGUAUUCCCGUUAAAGCCUCCACAGCAAAGAACGAGCGCUCAAAAAAAAAAAAAAAAAAAAAAAAAAAAAAAAAAAAAAAAAACUCUCUCUGUUCUCUACGAUCCGAUCCGAUCCGAUGGGUUUUGGAGAUUAAUUAAUUGGUAAUAAUUUCUCUUCACAUAUUUUCUUUCUCAGGUGGAUUCAUCUGCAGGUAUUUUGUUUUUUUUUUCCUUUUUUUUGCUAGAUUUUGGAGUUUAAUUUGAUGGGUAUCUCGAUUUGUUGUUUUGAUAAGAGAGAUCUCUCGAUUGAUUCAUAGAUUGGGAUUGCACAAUUUUUUAUUAUACUCGGUAGAUGAUUCGUUAAUUAGAUUAAAUUUUUGGUAAUAUUUAUGACAUUAUGCUGUAAAAUUUGGAGAAUUAUUUGGAGAAUUAUAAGUGAUUUAUGUAAUAGAAUAGUGAGGAUUUUGGUGUCUUGGUAUAGAUACCAAAAAGAGAUCUGAUAGGAAACGACACAGAAAUAGUUUUAGUGGAAAUAUGUGAGUCAUAUCAUGUGCGCUGACGGAAAAGAUAAUGAAAAUGAUGACGGUCUAAAAUAUAUAUUGGAAAUUGAACAUGUAAUCGCAAGGUAUUGAAGAGACAUUAAAGAUCAGACCUGGUACCAUAGUACCCGUCAAAUCAAUCUGAUAGAAAACGAUAUAAGAUCGUGUUAGCUCUUAAACGUACCUCAUUUUGUAUGUCGGGACGGGCGGCUCCCGUUGACGGUGGAGAUCAUGUGAGUAAUUCCAUGUUGUGAUAGUCUAGUAGACAUAUGUGGAAUUGAAUAUGAACAUGUAAUCGCAAGGUAUUGAAGAGACAUUAAAGAUCAGACCUGGUACCAUAGUACCCGUCAAAUCAAUCUGAUAGGAAACGAUAUGAGAUCGUGUUAGCUCUUAAACAUACCUCAUUUUGUAUGUCGGCACAGGCGGCUCCCGUGGAUAGUGGAGAUCAUGUGAGUAAUUCCACAUUGUGAUAGCCUAGUAGACAUAUGUGGAAUUGAAUCCGUAAUUGCAUGGGGCUAAAGGGAUCGUGAAGAUCAGUUCUGAUACCAUGUUACCUAUUAAAUCAAUCUGAUAGGAAACGAUAUAGGAUUGCCUUAGCCCUUAAAACUCAUUUCAUACAUUGGCACAGGCGGCAUGUCGUGACCAUGCCAGACCGUGCUGAUUAGCAUGACAAUCCUUGCUUCGCAUGUAUUAAGCAUCGUUCGGUCUUCUUGUAUUGCUAUAUGAUUCGGUUGCUGUGGCUUAGGAAGUUGAAAUCAUUUGUAGAAACGGGCUUUUGCACUGGUUUAGAAUCUCAGUUUCUAAGUUUGAAUAAUUCUUUUAUUUCUCGUGUGUAUCAUUAUUUUUCUAGUUAAUUUAGUAUAUGGCAAUGAUGUUCUAUUUCUGCAAUCGAAGAUAAAAUGUCUCAACUAACUAAUGGAUGCUCUGUUAUACCUUCUUCAUGGGAAAAGAGGCAGGUUAAAGAUAAGAUUGUUAUUGUGCACCUGCCAAAUCUUCAUCUUAGUGAGAUUUUGUUUUCCUUUCUUUUUUUUCUUUUUUUUUCUGGUGAUAGGUUUAUACUAGCAAUACAUAUACGGAAUCAAUCUGAAAUUAUGCUACUUACAGAGGAUUUAGGCCGAUCUAGUGUAACAACUCUGAUAUGUUUCUUUAUAGUUGUAACAACAUUUCUUAGUGUAUUCUAGAGCUCAGAUUGUCCUCUCUCUCUCUCUCUCUCUCUCUCUCUCUCUCUCUCUCUCUCUCUCUCUCCGAAUUCAGUCCCUUGCCAUAAAAUAAUCCCUUGAUUAUUGAAUAAUUUAGGAUCUUUGUAAUUAGGUUUCAGGUAGUAUAACUUGGUGAAAAUGUUGCAUUUCGUUUCCACAAAGAAAAUAGUCGAGUUUCUUUUCUAUCUACUGUUUUCACCAAACCUUUAUUGCUUUAAUCGCCACAAAGAAUUUUGCUUCAUUCUUGAGAAUAUUGUACUGAAAAAUCUCUUUAAUCUGUUGCCUGGAUCAUGGUAUUUAGAGGUACCAGUUUUGCUGUUUUUGCUCCUUCCGUUUACGGUUAUAGUGUUGAGAUUUUCAUUUAUCCAAAGAUAGGGAAGGUCAACAGCACGGUCGCAUCAUUAAAUUCAGAUUCAUGCCUUUGUGUAGAAGAAUCUUUUUUUUUCUUCCGGUAUUUGUUUUAUUUUAUUCCUUUGUUAUCAUUUUCACAUUCCAUUCUACGGCAUGCAUUUGGUCGAAUCCAUCGCAGAAAUGAACCUCUUAUGUUAUAUGCUGUUUUCUCCUUUCCUUGCCUUGAUUGACAUUGGAAACUGAUACUUGUUUCUGUUAAGCAAAUUCCUAUCUUUUUCCUCUUUCCUUUUUGUGUUUUUUUUUCUUCGACAUAGUAUUGCUGUUCUGUUUGGAACAUAUUUUGAGAAAGCUCAACUAAUAGUUGAAAUGUAAGAAUCAUGCUAUGGAUACUAGUUGACUCUAUUAGUAAAUUUUGCCCAAUUAGAUACUCUUAUUGUAUUGCACUGCUUUUUGUACUUCAGAAUUGAUUUACAUCCUUGGUUAUUGGAGUUUCCUCGCUUUCAUAGUUACAUUUUCAGAAUGUAGAAACCAAAGUACUAUUUAGGGGAAAUUUGUUUAAUUAGGCAAUGGAAUAAAGGAGUGGUUGUUCGUCGCGCAAUUGAGCACUAUAUAUAUAUAUAUAUAAAGGAUCUAGGUUAGAAUACUAAUUAAUAGCACUUAAGUCAUUGGUGCUAUUAGGUUUUCGGCUUUUGAAUUAGGAAAUGUGCGGUUAAGAUGAUAGUGAUUCUCUAGAGUUGAGUGGGUGGUUGGUUGAAUAGUAUGAUCUAACGGAUAAAAAUGGUCAAAGAAAUAAAUCUAAUGGCAAAAAACUCGAUAACACCAAAUGCUUGAUGUUAUUGAUAGUAUAGUAGCUGGACUCUAUAUAUAGACUCUGUUUUGGUAUAUCAUUGCAGAAUAAUAUCUGUUUUGGAGAAAAGCGAUAGUGCAUGUGGAAGUAUUAUCAACAACUAAUGUACAUGUGAGAAAAAUUAAUAGGCUGUAGCAUUAAUUGUUUUAUCUGAUUUUUGUUUUCUGAGGCUUGAAUAUCAUUCAUAGCUUUCUCUAAUUCUUUUCCACUUAAUUGGAGGGAGGAAAAAAAAAAGAAAAAGAAAAAGAAUCUAGUCUAGAAACAUGAAGCUGAGACUUAUUAUGCUUCUGGAGCUCGAAAACCACCUUAGCUUCAAAAUUUCGAAUGAGAAACUUAGUUGCUGCUUCGCGUUGAGAAGCUUUAUGAGAAAUCAUGCACAACCAAAGCUUAUAAAGUGCCUCAAAAAGUGCUUUUCCAUUUCAACAAUUCCUAGAGCUUGUCUACUUAGAAGCUGAGUUCCCACAUCUGCUCACUUAUCUUGGAACAGGUAACACCCCAAAAUCUGCUAGAGAUUGAUGAUUCUAACUGGGAUGAUGCAUCUCAAACAAAAUGAAACAGCUCACAUCCUCAAACAAGCUUAUUCAAUGAAGACGAUUUGUUUUUUGUACAGAGCCCGAUCAGAGUUCAUUUUCUCCGCCGAAAAGGUACAACUCUGAAGCGAUGAUUUUGCUGCGAAAUUUUGAUGUCACAAGCACAUACAUAAGUGUGAUGGAAAAUUUUCCGAAACAGGGCCUCGUCGGGUGAGGCGAAUCGCAUGUGAAUUGACGCGGCGCCAUCCCUGAGCAGAAACCGAUCACUGUCGAAGGCUUCUUGAGCUUCGCCGCCCGUAUGGUAAUGUGGGUCCUGAAAUCUUGCUCAACCAUCUUCUGAGCCAUGAAAAUAUAAAUGGGUUUCAUUAGAAUCUAGCACCAGAAGAAUGGUAUAUCCUAAAGAGUGGGAUAGAUUUUGAGAGACUACACUUAUCACAGAGUUGCAUUUAAAUGCAUUUACUUUUCAGCACAUUCAUUAAAUAGUAAGAGGAAUGUAAAAGUGUAUGACAUGAUGAGGAAAUUGUUUACCAUUUAUCCUUUUCAAAGAGUUGUAGCAGUAAAUGAAAAAAAAAUGAAAAUCUUUUUCCUUUUUUGUUUCCUUUCCAAUGUAAGUUUACAUGCAUCAAUAAGAUGUUUGCUAUAAUUUACAUUACCAACCUACAAAUAAAGUUUUACACACCACAUAGAUAUCUGAGAACAAGGACAACUGUAUAGAAGCACUUUCUUGAUGCCUAGAAUACAUUGGACAAAAUAGAACAGAGAAAUGGCGAAUCAAUAUUUACCGCUUUCACCAUCAGAUGCCUCGGCAAGCCUUGCAAUUGCGUCGAUCAAAGAUUGCUCGUGGUCCUGCACAGAAGAACAAGUCGCCUUUUAAGGUUAUUGAUUGAUUAAUUGCCUUAACUGACGUAAUUUCAAUUUACCUUCAGCAUUUUCUUUGCCUUCUCAAUCUCCAGGGGAUCAGGGUGACUCACCGCAAAAACCCUCUCCACCUGCUUGGCAUCAAAUGACAAAAUGGAAGAAAUACAAUAGUUAUGUAAAAGCGCAACAGAACUUCGCAAUUGAACACGCCCACUAGCAGCCUUGUUUGGCCUGGUUGGAGCUUCUACAAUAUUUGAGAAGAACUAGUUGAAGAAGCACUAACAGCUCUUUCAUUAAAAUACAAUCAAUAUAGCUCCUUGUCAAAACAUAGGGAAGUGAAUCUUCUCCCUUUAACGCCUCAAAAGCUCAUUUCAGCUUUCCUGAGAGAGCAAGUACUCCCCAACAUUUUGCCUCCAAACAGUUUGACUCUUCAAGAAUUCCUGCUUUUGCUCUCAACUACAGUUAACUCUACCUGAGCGUUGAGCAGACUCGAAAGUAAUGAUGUGGGGCUUCUAUUCUGGUGGGAAGCAGAAAUGAGAUUCUAAUGCCCAACUCCGAUUUGGAGCCUUUUUAUUUUGCUGCAUAGAGAAGCUUCUAAAAGGAGCAUACACGAAAAGGCUUCUAGUGCUUCUCCUAAUAGUACGACUCAAAUAUCAUUACGCCAUUUGUCGUGGCUAAAUAAGCCCAAAGAUUUGCUAACACACCUCCUUGAUGAGUGUUUCCGUAUGACGGAUUUGAAUGUCGCCGGAUCUCUUCUUCCCAACACCAUUUUGCGAAGGGAAACUUUUCAUGGGCUGAUUUUUAUGGGGCCCUCCUCUUCCGCUCCCCGCUCCUGGAAGGGCGCCACCACGGGCCGUCGACUUCUUAACCCCGCCACUUGGUGCACCCCGACCUCGGUGAUGGAUGCCUGGGUCCUCGCCCUCCCACCUGAUGUCCUCCGGAGAAAUCUGCAGCAAAGUAGUUCUGUCAAAUUACAGACAACUAGCUAUAACGUCCAAUAUUUGGUCGCAAGCUGAAAAAUAAAACGGAAUGAACAGAAGAAAACAGUUAAUCCAACGAGGACGUUUUCGAAUAAAGAGUACACAAACACAUUUAAAAGAAAAGAAAAAUCUAGGGUACAGUUUGGGUUCUGCCGUAAGGUAGAAUUUCUUUUACAAACUACUUGAAACCUAUAAGUCAAGAAACUAUCAGUUAAUAAAGAAAAUAUAGGAAAAGAAAAACUCUAACACCAUUGCCAAACAUUUUGCACCUCCCCCAAACGACGGUUAUUUCUCGAGCUUUGCUAUUUCAAAAUACUAUUCGGUGACAAAGCUAGAUCUUGCCUAAGAAUAGAACUUCACAUAAAUUAUAAAUGGAUGAUGCCAGGUCGACAGCCUACAGGGUGACCAAACUUUACCAAUCUGUUCACUUAGAACCAUGUGGCAAGUAAAUAUUCUAUAUAUAUUAUAGCUAAUCACUUGCAAACAAUUCAGUCUACAAAACAUUAAAGAAGAAAAGGAUAAGAUAUUACACUGACUCAAGCAAGAACAUUUUUCCUGUUAUAACCAUCAGAAAAGUGACAUUUAUUAUACUCCUCAUUAUUACCUAGAAGAAUCAAACUUCCACAUUACAAUAGAAAAGUUUCCAAUAAAAAUAGCACGUUCUAUUAGAAACAUUUAGCUGCUUUAGUUUCACAAGCAAUAACAUCUCCUUGCAUAUUGAACUUAGUCAGCAGGCACUACCCAUAUUUCUGGGCCUGUCUUCUGACAAUGGCACAUGUUUGCCCUAAUCUUACUAUGCGUAUAUAUCCAGCUACCCAGAUAUUCUUUAGCGAACACAUAUUUCGUAACUUUGCCCUUGCUGUAAGCUAAAUAAAAGAAAGGGUCGCAAAGAAAAAUAACCUCUUCGAGAUUGACCCACUCCCACGUCUCAUUGUUUGUGUUCAUAUCAUAUACCAGAGCAUGCAGACCCUGCAAAUAAUUAAAAAAUGGUAAGGUUGGCUAGCACUCUCUGCCACAGAGAGAAUAUGAGCAAAAGAUCAAUAACACCAACCUCAACAGGAUUAUAAUCUGUUAUUACAGCCUCAUAAAAGUUAUUAUCUUCAGGCCACCUUGUCAGGACUUUACGCCCAAUAAGAGAACUUGGUGGUUUUACAGCUUGGCCCCUUCCAUUAGGACCUGUAGAAGUAUACUGCAUGGAUUUCAUUGCAGACGCACUUGGAGCUGUCUGGCCCUAGAAAGCAAUAGGAAUGACAGACAACUCAACCCGCAUUACAAAAUAAAUAUUUUUUUAAAAAAAAAACUAGAAACACAAGCAAUACAUACACAUCCCCCCCCCCACAAGCUUGGUAUAUGCAUUCUGGUAUUUCGAAUACCCGGCUUAUCUAUGCAGGUCCUUGUAGAGUCUAUCUACAGAAAAUGUUUUUGACAUAUGAACCAAUGGAGAGGCAUGCAUGCAAAGAAAAAAUUCACUCUUUACAGGCAAGCACAAAGCAUAUCCAGUUUGCACAAUUUUGCACAUCUGCCUGGGCAUAUAUCCAAAAGACAAUCAAAAGAAAUUAACUUACUGUCACAGAUUUAGAUUUCUUCCCUCUUCCUCCGGGUGGAGCUCCCUCUUUUGCAGCUAACGACAAUGGCUGCAUCAAAGCAGCAGCUGGUUGCAAGUGAAGGGAAGGAGAAGGUGCAAGAGAGGGUAUAGAUUGAGAUGGUUUUUGCCUCUUGCGAGAAGCUGAUACAGUCGGACUUGGUAAGGGAUCAUUUACUGGUUGAGCGUUACUAACUAGACCGGUUUGGAGUCCACCAGCCUGUCUCCAUUCCCUAUUUAUGUUAAAGAAAUGAUUCAAAAUAACGAUAAGACGUCGAGGGGAAUAUCCUGUUCUGUUUUGCCAACUUUAUGUAUAACAAGUUAUUCAAAAGAGAACCUUAUUCUCCGAAUUAUGUCAUCAGCAUUGACCCUGUUUAACAACUCUCUGUGCUCGUCAUUGGAUACUCUCAGCUCCUUUCUAAGUUCGCUGAUGAGACUUUCCUUUUCCUGAAGAAAUGAGGUGGAUGCCAAACUAAAAUUAACGUCGGAAUGCAAACUAAAAAGGAAAUAAAAUAAAAGAAAAAUUAUGGAUGCCAAAGAAAAACUACUGAUGGCAGAUAAUGAAAGGGCAAAUACCCAUGUAAUGGCAUCUGACUGAGCCUUAAAUGCUCGAAGAAUUGCACUAUAUGCUUCCUGCUCAAUCUGGUGUAUUUGAAUCUCCAUAUCGUUCUGUACUCUCGGGUAUGGAACAGCACCGACUAUAGCUCUUCCAUUUCCAGUGACACGGCCCACUCUUGGCCCCCUGUUCUGGUGUGAAGGUGGAAGAUCAUCAUCAGUUCCUGCAGUAGUUUAAAGAAGCUUAAUCAAUUCAGAGAUUCAAAUCACAAGAUUACAAUUGCAAAUUAGCAGGCAAAAAAAGUGUUUAUCUAUACAAAGAAAGCUUUUAUGCAAAAUAUGGAACUUAGAGUACAAAAUAUAACAAAAUUGAAUUGGCAAUUGGUUAAGGGCAUGUUUGGCCCAGCCAAGGGUGUACUGCGGUUCGAUAAGUAAUGCUGUUAGGAAAAGCACUAAUAGUUUUUCCGAUAAAACUCCUUUCAAGAAGCUUCUCUGCGCAGCAGAAGAACAAAAUUAGAGCUUCUGCCUUUGGGUUGCAAAAUCACAUUUCAACAUCCACUACAAUAUACGCUCGACACUUAGUUGCAUGAAAUAGAUGGUAAGGAUUUUUGAGAAAGUCAUUCCCAUAAAUCAUGCUGAAACAUCACUUCCAUAUGAAGAGAGAAGUACAUUGCAUCUGAGGAUUACGACUGUGAAGUAUGAAACAAAAAACAGUACAGAAACACACUUCCUAUUGCAGAUUAAAUCCAUGAAACUUCAACACAAAGAAAUGUUCCAGUUUUACAAGUGACGAAAUCAAAAACUGUAAUUAACAUUGACAAAAAAAGUUAGUACUUAUCAUGCACACAUUUCGUAUAGUACUCGAUUCUUUCGGAUACAGAUGAAAAUGAGUUUGGCACAACAAAAUUCCACAAAAUUCGACAAAGUUAUUUUGUAAAAAACCUAAUGUUUCGCAAACAAGAUAAUCAACAAUCGCUGGCAAGUGAAAUUAUGUGAAUUUUAAGUACAUGUAGCAGAACCUAGAGCUAAUUCUCUACAUCUCCGCCCUAAACCCUAAUUCGCUGAUCCCUUAAACGGCCUUACCCAGCAAUCUCCCUAGCAACAUAAAAAGAUUAAUUUGUGCCAUCAAUUGAAACCUAAAAAGGUGAGCAGGAUCUGCGCAACUCACCGCUACUAUCCGAAGGCCCAUACUCCAUUGCCGCGUUACCUCAAGAUCGAGCUCCAAAACCCUAGAAAACGCCGCGAUCGCCACGGAGAAGCAGCAGAAACAGCGAUUCCUCCCGAAUCGGCCCCAAUUUGGAUCGAAAAACCGCGAGACUCCGCCUCAUCGACGCCGAUUCCUCCGCGUCAUCGCGAGAGCUCGAUCUUACGCCCAGCUCCUAGGGCGAAUUCGAGCGCGAGCCGUAGCUUCGGAGAGAUCGAUGAAGAGCGAAGGGGGGGAAGGGAGAGGGAGAGAGUGAGGGUUUCGACUUUCGACGGAGCAAGGAAGGGAGUGGAAAAGGCGGACUCGAAACGCAUCGCCCCCCUAGAUUUUUCCACAAUUAAGACUUCGUUUGAGUUCCGGCCCUUCCAGUAGACCGGGUCUACAUUGGGCCGGUAAUAGGCCGGAUUGGGUCCGGUCUAUAAACCCAAAAAAACCACUUUUAAUAUUUAGGCCCAUUUAACACUAGUAGAUUAAAUAUAGUUGGUGAGAAAAUGUAUAGAAAUAUAUUUUUAUAUAUUUUGUGAAAAAUAGAAAAAUAUAUGGACGGAUUGUUACGUGCUGAACCAAAUAGAAUUUUUUUUUCCAUCAUACUUUCUUAUUAAGGGGUUGUUUGGUUCCUCCAAGAAAUAUAGAAAAAAAAUUUCAAAAAUUUUUUUUUUAUGAAAAAUUUCAUUUUUAAUCUUUUUCACCUGUUUGGUUUUUUAAAAUAAGGGUUAAUUUUGUACAGAUCCCUACAAAUAUAGUUAAUGAUAAAUAUAUUCCUACAAAGUUCAACUUUUAUAUAUUAUCACUGUAAAAGUUUUGAUGUUUUCAAAUAUAUCCUUACCGUUAGAAUUCGUUAGAAAAAAAUUUAGUUAACCAUAGGUUAAAUACUUAACCCUAGUUAGUUUUUAAUAUUUUUACCCAUCUUAUAUUAUACUGUUAUGGUCUUUGGAGGAAUAUAUUUGUAAUGGCAAAAUUGAAAAAAUAAACAGUUAUCUAACGGUUCUCUAACGAUAAUAAUUCAGAGGAACAUAUUUGAAAAUAUCAGAACUUUUAAAGGGACAAUAUGUAAAAAUUGACGUUUGUAGGAAUAUAUUUAUUAUUUACUAUAUUUGUAAGAAUCUGUAUAAAAUUAAUCCUUAAAAAAAUUAGCUAUUUUGGAAAGUUUCUUUCCAAAUCUUAUUGGGUACAAGCUUUUUCAUUUUGCCAUGAAAUUUGAAAAAUAUUUUUAAAAAAUUAGUUUUCUUUGAAACUAGACAGACGGGCAGAUGAACGGAAACUGAAAAAGAGAUUUUUCCCUUGAAAAAUAAAUUUUCAUAUUUUUUAAAGAAAUCAAACACCUUUUAUAUUAGCAAUAAAUAAUAUUUAUUUAACUAAUAAAUUGAGUUAUGAAACUUGAUUGUAAUAGUUUUAAAAAUUAUAAUAAAAAAUUAUAAUAAAUUAAAAUUGAAGUAUAAAAAUAUUAUUCAUUUUAGGGCUUUUUUUUCAUUUGGCCUCCUUAAUUUUUUUUUUCACAAAUAGCUCCAUCAAAUUUAUAAUUACAGUUUUGGUCUUAUCCCGACCACGCAUGCACCACAUCAGCGUCACACAAACUGGCUGGGGAGGGGCAUUAAGUUGAACACGAUGAAUAAUUCAAUUUAUAUUUCUUCCUAUUCAAUACUUAUAUUUUUUUCAUAAUACAUAUAUUUUUUUAGACACGGUAAAUCAUUCACCGUGUUUAGAUACAAUGAAUGAAUUACCGUAUUCAACUUAUUCCAGCACCUCCACUUUUGCUCCCGUGGUGCCUACAUAAUGCCUGUGUGGCGGAAAGGAGAUCAAAAUUAUAAUUAUAAAUUUGAUAAAAUUAUUUAUAAAAAUAAUUUAAGCCCUCCAUUUUAUAAAUUGAGGAUCAGGCGUGGAAUUUGUCCUAAUGCAUUUAAAUUGAUAAAACACAUGUGGAAGGACACUAUACAAAGUCAAUUGUCUAAAUACUACUAAGAUAACAUCAACGGUUGUUACGUUAGCCGCAUGCAGUUUAUUAUGCGUCAUCUUGCAUACGUGGAACAGCGCGCGUCACCGCUGACGCAGCGAAACAAGCAUCAUCAUGGAAGCUUCUAUGCGGACCGCUGCCUCCGCCGUUCGAUCUUCCCGCCUGAAUCCAUCUCCACCGUUCAUUUUACCGCACGAUCCGUAAAGUAGGUGGUGAGCCGUGAGUGUAUGUAACGUUUUUUCUUUCUCUUGUGAAAAAUGUUUUCUUGUAGAAAAUAUUUGAUGAGCUAAUUAAUGAAUAAAGAUAUAUCUAAUCAAAUUCCUAUGCAUCCUCUCUCUCUCUCUCUCUCUAGUUUUUCUUUUUCCUUUUUUAUGAUUUAAUUGUGUAAAUUUUUAAACCAUAUUUGAAUGUCGGUGUAAAAGAUUCAGUAAUAAUUUAUUCUGUAAAUUUUUUUUUUGCAUGAUUAGAAAUAAAUAAUUUGAAGUUCGAAUAUUAUAUUCAUUUUAACAUUCAACCACACUUAUUUUUAGCAAAUAUUGUGAGAUUUUAGAAUAAAUAAAAAAAGAUAUACUAAAUAUAAUGUUCAUAUAUUCAAACAGGACCUUAACCUAAAUUAAAAAAAUAUAUUUAAUAUAAUGUUCGUGCAUCCAAACAGAGCUUUACGCUUACAUUGAAAGUAACACCCGCCGAAAAGUAUUGUGUUCUCUUUCUCUCUCUCUCUCUUGUUUUUUUUUUUUUUUUCCUUUUUUUAUGAUUUAAUUGUGUAUACAUGCACCUUACUACAAAUCCUUCAAACCAAUUUAAGUACAUCAGCAGGGACGAAGCCAGAAAUUAAGAUUUGGGGGGGCCAAAAUUUAGAUUUGAUAGGAAAAAAAUUCGAUCUCGGAUAGUAAGAAAAAAAAAUUUGUCAGAUUCACAGAUAACGAUAAUAUGCCAAAAAGGAAUAAGACUGUAAGAGUUGAAGGAAAAGGACCAAGAAAUUCGAAAGAAAAAUUAAGACACAAAUUUUGUUAAAAAAAUUAAUUUGGCCCCCUAAAAUUAAAAUUUAUAAUAUUUUAAUUUUUAUUAUUAAGGACUUUUAUAUAAUUUUAAAAAAUUUAGAGGGGGCCAUGGCCACUGUGGGCCCCUCAAUAGCUCCGUCCAUGUACAUCAGGUUGAAUUCUAAGAUACAAACACUAAAUUUUUAGACCAGAAUGUCAGAAUAAAAUAUUCAAUAAUAACUUAUUUCGUGUAAAAUUUUUUUAAAAAAACUUUAAAUAAUUUUUCUGUGAUUUCACACUUUCUCAUUUUAAUACUCUGAGGUUUAAAAUAUAUCAUUUUCGUAUCCUGUGGUUUUAUUUUUCUCUUUUUAUUAUUCCCUCCGCUAUUUUUUUUUGGUACAUCAGUGUCAAAGUUUUUUGAGAAAUAGGUAGCACGCUACCUGCUUUAUUUAUUUCAUUUAGAAAUAAACUUAGCUAGAAAUGUGAAUCAACUAGGAUUCGAACUUGGGUCUCGGGUACCAACCAUCAAGCCCUUUUGCCACUUGCGCUAGGGACGGUCGCUACAUCAGUGACAAAGUUAAAACUAAAUGGUAGUAAAGUGAAUAUUUGAUAAAUCUAGGUGAGAUAUCUAAAAUUUUUUUUAUAUAAUUUAAUAAAAUAUUAAGGGCGUGUUUGAUUCGAAGUCGGAGUCGGAAUCGAAAUCGGAAUCAAAAUAAGCUGGAAUCGGAAUCGGAAUGACUCAUUACCUAAUUCCGUUUGGUUCAUCACUUGUAUCCGAAUCGGAAUAAAUCAUUCCCAUUGUUGAUAUUUGGUUCAUGUAGAUAUAAAAAACAUAAUCAAAUUAAUAUACUAACAUUAUCUUUAUAAUAUAUUAAUUUAAAUUCAAAUUAAAAAUUAAAUAUUAAAAAUUUACAUCAAAAUUUUUAAAUAAUGUCAAAUUUUAAAUCUAUUUUUUUAAAAAAAUUAAACUUUGAAGUUGAGUGGAUAAUUCAAAAUAUGAAACUAAAUUUUUAUUUAUUCAAAUUCAAACUUAAAAUUACAAUUUAAAUUUUAAUUUGAAUCCGUAAAUUUAAUUUAAGUUUGAAAUAAAAUUUGAAUAAACUUUAUAUAAAUUAAAAUUUAAUUUAAAUUCAAAUUCAUAAGUUAGAUUCGAAAUACUCGAUUACAUUUUAAUUUUUAAUUUAAGUUCAAAUUAAAAUUUAAAAUUAUAUAUUUAAUUUUUAAAUUUUAACUCAUAUUUUAAUUAAAAAAGUUGAAAAAAUAAAUUUAAUCCGAAUAAAUAUCCAUUCCGUCCGGGUUCAACUUUCAAUCCAGCCUCCUAGACCGGAUUGAAAAAAGGGGUGAUUCGGAAAUUCCCAUUCCACUCGGGAAUCGAAAUCGGAAUGGGACUCCCGCGUACCAAACACCCAUAAACGGAUUCACCCAUUCCAAUUUUGAUUCCAUGGUGAAAAAGAAGCGAACCAAACACGUCCCAAGAGAAAAACUGCCGAAAAGAAAAAAAAUGAAACUACAAAAUACUAAAUUGACAUUUCUUUAAGAUACUAAAGUGUGCGAAAGUGUGAAAUUAUUAUAGGGGAUAAGAAAAAAGUGGCUAUUCCAGGGAUAGGUAUAAAUUAAGGUAUAAACGAGGAUUAGAUCAAUUUUACGUUUGGAUGAAAAUUCGGUUAUUCCUGGAAUAAAAAAAAUAGCGUUUGGUUAGGUAAGAUGGAAUAAGAAAGAUAAUGGGUUUUGUAAAUAAAAAAUAAUGAUAUUAUCCACUUAUUAUAUUUGAAUUUGAAUUUUUAAAUUUUUAAAUUUAUAUUUCUAAAUUUAAAAUUUUAACUUUGAAAUUUAAAAUCUCAAAUUUUAAAUUCAAAAUUUUAAAUUUUAAAUUUCAAACUUUAAAUUUAAGAUCAUAUUUAAAUUUAAAAAAAUAUAAAAUAUCAAAUUUUAAAUUUCAAAAAUUUAAAAUAUCAAAAUUUAAAUUUAAAAUUUAAAAUUUAUAAUUUAAAAUUUUAAACUUUAAUUUUGAGAUUAUAAAUUAUAAAUUUUAAAAAUUUAAAUUUUUAAUUUUUAAAAUUUUAAAAUAAGAAUAGUGGUGGGAACAAUUAAUAAAAAUAAUUUAUUAUAAUAAAUUUAUAAAUUUUUUAAAAAUUCUACUUAAAUUUAAAUUUAAUAAAAAGAAUUUAUUAUAAUAUUUAAAUAUAAUUUAUUAUAAAUUUUAUUAUAAUAUUUAAAUAUAAAUAAUAUGUAUUAAUAUAGUACAAUUAAUAAUUUUAUAAUAAAAAUAAUGUAUUAUAAUAUAUAACAUAUUAUAUUUAUAUAAUUUAGUUUAAUUCAAUUUAUAAGUUUAAUUAAGUUUAAAAUUAAGAAUUAGAAUAGCACUAUUCCACCAAAAUGGUGGAAUAGCAAAUCCUUUGCUAUUCCGGAAUAAUCGAGAAUAGCAAGAUUUGACCGGAAUAAAAUAUCCCGGUCAAAUUUCACCCCGUUUGGUGGAAUAGCGGGGAUAACGAAAGUUAUCCCCGCUUAUCCCGCGAUCCAAACGGGCCUUAAAGUUUACCUAAACUUUUAUGAUGUGAUGGUCUAAUACUAUGUUCCUUCUAAAUAUUCAUGCAUUUAUUAAAGAGUGCUUUGAGUCAACACGAGUCUCGAUCCCUCCCUUAUAAAUACUCCGCCUCUCCUCCUCCUCUGAUGAAUCCAUAUAUGCGAGGGAAAAAACCCUAUGAUAGCUUCUAACAUUGGAAGGUCCUAGAAGCUUCGACGAGGCGCUAGAAGAAGGUUCUAGAAGCUUCGGGGGCGGGGUUGGAUGGGUCGUCCGGAGGGGAAGGUGGUGAUGGUGACGGGGGCGUCGUCGGGGAUCGGGCGCGAGCUCUGCCUCGACCUCGCCGCCGCCGGGUGCCGCGUCGUCGCCGCCGCGCGCCGCGUCGACCGGCUCAGAUCGCUCUGCCGCGAGAUCGACGGCUCGCGAUCGCCGGCGACUCCCCCGGCGGCGGCGGCGGCGGCGGUGGAGCUCGACGUGAGCGCCGGCGCCGCCGCGAUCGAGGCCGCGGUGGCGAGCGCGUGGGACGCGUUCGGGCGCAUCGACGCCGUGGUGAACAACGCCGGGGUUAGAGGUGAUCACCUCUCUCUCUCUCUUAUGUUUGGAUAACUUCAUGAGUAAUGCUACGGUUACACUCUAAAGUAAGGUGUAUAUUUUAUACUCACUCAAUUCUGAGAUUAUUUUUGUCACAUUAAUUUUUUCUUAAAUUUUAUUAAAAAUCAAUUCGAUUUUUAUCAACCCUAAAAUUGCAGGUGUAAAAUAUACAUCCACUUAUGAAGUGUACAAAAAGCAUUUUUCUGACUUCAUAGGCUUAAUUACACUCUACUACUCUGUAAUUUAGUGUUAUUUUUAUUUACUGCGUUCGGUCGCAACGAUGCCCUCAUGAACAACGGCGAAGGUCAGAGGUGAUCAUCUCUCCCACCUCUCUAUCGUUUGGGAUAAAUUUAUGCGUGUUGUACCAACGAUAUAUAUCUAAUGUAGUUGGCUAAGUGCUUGACAGUUAACGCUCAAAAUUUCAAAUUUCACACUUAGUUAUUUUACAUUUCUAGCUGAGGCCAUUUUUAUAAAAUAAACGAAGCGAAUAGCUUGUUGCCUUUCUCUCACUUAAAAAAAAUUAUUUAUAUGUAUCCCUACAAAAUUUUAAAAUUAUGAAUUAAAUAUAUCUGUACGAGGCUUCAAAAUAUGCAAAUAUAGUUUUACCACUUGACAGUUGACUACCGUCAGUUGACUGUUAAAUUUUUGACAGUUUGCACUGUUAUGCCCUUAUAAAAAUUAUUUAUUUUAUAUUUAUUUAGGACUCACAACUUAUAGUUUAUAUAGGAUGAUAUAAAAAUUAGAAUAGAAAUAUUAAAACUAAUGAUAAUUUAAAUAAACUAAAGAGAUAUCUAUACAAGGGUAGAAUAACCAUGCAUAGAGGGUGAACCAACAAGUAGGGAUAUAUUUGCAAGUUAUGCUACUUAAUUAAGGUUUGUAGGAAUAAAUAUAUAAUUCUAUUAUUUUAUAGAAAUAUAUAUAUAUGAUAACUAAAAUUUUGUUCAGAUAAAAAAGUAUAUGCACAACUAUAUAUAGGAUAGCACAGGAAUUAUCCAUGCUUUUUAUACUUUUGUUUUAUUUUAUUUUUGUUGUUGUUGCUAAAAAAGCAGAAGAAUUUGCACUUUCAUUUGGAUUCUGAGACAGAAGGAAAAUGGGGUAUAAUUUUGCAACUUGGUCUCUACACCUUUAAUUUCAUUAUUAUCAUACAGUUUGCGACUGUUAAAGGCUAAACUAUUAAAAUGAUCAAAAGUUUUAUCGUAUAUAGGAUAAAAUGUUGGUCAUUUUAUAGAAAAGUUUAGGCGAAUUUUAUGGUGAGAGACUAAAUUGAAAUAUACAAAAAAUUAUAAAGAGUUACAUGUUGAAGUUAAAAAGUUCAGGAACUAAGUCACAAUACAGAAUAUAUAGUAUAUAUAGGGGGUAUCCAUACAUUUUAUCCACAGAAAUAUUCUUAGCUUUCUUAUCUAGAGUAAGAGCACCAUAGAAAAUUUAUUAUUUAUGACAAUUGAUUUAGCUCUCUCAGUACACAUUUAUUGUUUGUAUGGGGUUAUAUUUAUUGUUCUUUUACUUGGGUGUGAAGUGGGUACAACUACCUUUUGCAAACCUUUAAUGUGUUGAUCACAAGACAUAUAUGUGUUUUAUACUUUAUACUUAGUAUUCAUGUCCUUUCGAUCAGGAGGAUUCUAAGAUUACAAUCCAAAAUGGGUUAUAGUUCUAGCGCUAUUAUAUAAUUUAUAAGGCAUAUUAUAGGCAACAAUGAUAAGAACAAAAGUGGAACUUUUUCGAUGGUUUAGGGUGUGUUUGGUUCGCUUCUUUUUUACCCUGGAAUCGGAAACGGAAUGGAUAAAUCCGUUUGUGGGUGUUUGGUACGCGGGAGUUCCAUUCCGAUUCCGAUUCCCGAGUGGAAUGGGAAUUCUCCAAUCACCUCUUUUUCAAUCCGGCCUAGGAGGCCGGAUUGAAAGUUGAAUCCGGACGGAAUGGAUAUUUAUUCGGAUUAAAUUUAUUUUUUCAACUUUUUUAAUUAAAAUAUGAGUUAAAAUUUUAAAAUUAAAUAUAUAGUUUUAANGGGCUAGCUCGGCGGGCGGAAGGCGUCCCCUGCGAUGAGCUUUUUGUUGUUUUUAUAUAAUAUUUCUUAAUUCAUCUUAUAUACUUAUAUAAGAAUGAAAAUAUAGUAUUUUUUUCAGAAACAAUCCAAACACCUAAAACAGAGGUGUUUUUUAAUAGAGUAUGGAGUAUUUCAGCAUAUCAAAUACACUGUAAAAUAAAAUUUUGUUUUAUUUCACAACAAUUGCCAAACAGACCCUUAUUAUAAAGAUAAAGUUAAUAUAUUAAUCUGAUUAUGUUUUUUAUAUUUACCUGAACCAAACACCGACAAUGGGAAUGAUUUAUUCCGAUUCCGAUUCAGGUGAUGAACCAAACAAAAUUAGGUAAUGAGUCAUUCCGAUUCCGAUUCCAGCUUAUUUUGAUUCCGAUUCCGAUUUCGAUUCCGACUUCGAACCAAACGCGAAUGUUGAGAUUGAAAAUUGGCGAAAAGUUUGGAGACCAGUGGUGUAAUCUACCAUAAUAAUUAAUUUGGCUUUUACUAUACUGUUGUUGAUCACUGUUGCAUGGUUGGUUCAAUAAUACAGCAUACGAAGCAAUGGAAGUUUUAUGGUAAACUGGUGGGGAUUGUCUAAGGAUGAUGUGAUCUGUCACACACUUUGCUGGUAAUUAAUUAAUGUUUUCAUAAUCAUGAACAUGUUAUGUGUAUGUGGAUUUCUCAAAUAGCAAUUCUAGGUGCAUCGAAGUCAACCAAAAAAAAGGAAAAAAUUCAGCUGAGUAGACAACAUUAGGAGAGAGAGUCUCAAGGUUUGAUUAAGUCCUGUUAAAUAUAAAAAAUGUUUAAACACCGUUCUUUAACAGCUUAAGCUUUUAGAGUACAACGGUUGUUUCACAUGGUAUCAGAGCAGGAGGUCCUGAGUUCGAGUCACGCCAGGCUCCUAGCAUAUUAAUUUCCUCCCAUUUAAUUCAAGCCCACGUCAUGGGCCGAUUAAAAAGUCUCGAGCCCAGACGUGAGGGGGAGUUUAACAGCUUAAGCUUUUAGAGUACAACGGUUGUUUCACAAGUCCCGUUUGUUUUGGUGUAAGUGGAGGGGUGGAACUUAAAAUCUAUUACUUUCGAUAUUUAUUUUAGUGUAAGUCAAAAAUAUAGUACUGUAACUCAAGUUACGUUAGAUCUCCACUUCAUCUAUUCUCGACUUCUCCCUCUAAAGUGCCGAACUCGACUUCUGUCACACUCAACCUUCUCUAACUAAUUUAUUAAAUAGUAAAAUCUAAACUCUAUUUUUUUUAUAAUGGGUUAGAAUUAUCUUAUUUACAGUAAAUUAGGAUUAGCUUUAAAUAAUAAUGAAAAUUUUAAUUAUUUAAUAAGUUAAAUUUUAUAGUGGUAAGUUUAUCACUAUAUUCAGGAGAUAACGGGAUCCACUUACUUAUAUCAAAAUAAAUAAUGAAACUUAAAAAAUUAAUUUCACCGGUACCAAGUUAUAUCAAAAUAAACAGAAGAAGUAAUUGAAUUUAACUUUCAGACUGUACAAGUUACGUCAAAACAAAUAAUAAAAAAAUAACCACACUUAAGGAAAACUCAAAUACCACUGUACUUCAGCAUAUGGAGUAAUUAAUGCUAGGGUACCUUAGAAUGUUCCCAAAAUGCAUUCGGUGGAUCAACUUUUCAUAUGUGAUAUCUUGUUAGAUACCAUUUGGUAUGGGCAUUGCUGUGGGUGGAACAGCUUGUUCCCACCCAUAGCAUGGAAUAGGAGUGGAAACAAAAAAAUAUUCCCACCCUAAAAUUUUUUUAAAAAAAUCUAAAAUUUUAAAAAAAUUAAAUUUAAAAUUUUAUAAUUAAAUUAAAUUAAAUUAAAAAUCUCAAUAUUAAACUUUAUAAUUUUAAAUUUUAAAUUUAAUUUUUUUAAAUUUAAAUUUUAUAUUUUUAAAUUUAAAUUUUAUUUAAAAUUUAAAAUUUAAAAUUUAAAAUACUAACUUUUUUAAUUUAAAUUUUAAAUUAUAAUUUUGAAAUUUGAAAUUUAAAUUUUAAAUUUUAAAUUUGAAAUUUAAAAUUUGCUAUUUGAAAUUUCAAUUUUGGAUUUUAAAAUUUAAAAGUUAAAAUUUAAAUUAAAAAAUAUAAAUAAAAAAUUUAAAAACUUAAAUUCAAAUAUAAUAUAAGAGGUAAUAUUAUUAUUUUCUAUUUAUAACUGCCAACUAUUCCUCUUAUUCCAUCUUAUCUUUUCAAACGCUAUUUUUCUUAUUCCCAAGAACAACCUAAUUUUAAUCCAAACGCAAAAUUGAUCUAGUUCUCUCUUGUACUAGAAUUUAUAUCUGUUUCUGAAAUAAACAAUUCUUACUUAUACUUGAACCAAACAAAGCCUCGGUGAUUUAACUUUUCAAAAUUGAUGUCUAGCUCAUGUGUCAUGUCUUGAAUUAUACCAACCAAACAACUUAAUUACCGUCUUUUAUGCAGAAACUGUGUUUUGAGUAGCUCCUUAGCAUGGAUUUAAGUGCGUGGCACGGGAUCGUAUAAGAAACUUGCUGGCAUGAUAUGACACGGUGCAUUCCAAGGCAAAGAAAAUGAUGCCAUAAUGGGCCUACUUAGGUCUCAAUGGGCCUGGUUUUAUGGGCCUUCUAAGCUAAAAUCUUCGUUGGGCCGUAUAAAUUUCUUAGGGAUGAUCAGUCUUUAUCAGUCUCUUUUUAUUGAAUGAUUUCUUGAUUAUUGGUUUCCAGCUGAUUAUCGCUUUAAAUUAAAUGUUUUACUCAGUUCAAACAAUAUAUUAACUUAAAAUAUUUACACAUUGUUUACAUACUAUUAGAGCACUAUUCUCUAUUAACUUAAAAAAGUAUCUAGAGACCACGCCGAUGCUGCGAAUUCAAAUCCCUCUAUAUACGCCCUUGGGGCAUGUCGGUUAUUUGAUUUAAAGUAAACAUGAUAAGGAAUGUUGUACACGUAAGUUUAAACCAAUCGUUCUUCAGUAGCUUAAGCUUGGAAUUGACAUGUUAAAGUUCUGGAUGGUAUGCAUGAAAAAUAGAGUUUAUAGCACGCAACAGUGUUUUAGAAGUUAAAUUUGAAUGUAAGUAUCUCCUAGUUUAUGUUGUUUCUGAAACAGUACAAAAUCUGGUGUGAUCUCUCCUGACCUACUUGUUUUUUUCACUUAUUCACCAACUUUGCACGGGUAUUUGAACAAUUUCACACAUUUGCAAGGCUACAUACGGCGCAAUUUCUUGUAGUAAGUGCGCGAAACUUUCGAUUCCUGCUAUAACUUGUUAGUAUGCUCGUCUCAGGUGGCGUGUAUUCGUCGCUAGAUUGGUCUGAAGAGGAAUGGAACAUAAAUAUGACCACCAAUCUAACCGGCUUGUGGCUGGUGUCGAAAUACGUAUGCAGAAGGAUGCGCGAUGCGAAGCAGAAAGGCUCGGUGAUUAACAUUUCGUCGAUCGCUGGUCUCGAACGAGGACAACUGCCCAGAGGAGUCGCCUAUUCCGCCUCAAAAGCCGGUGUUAAUUCCGUCACCAAGGUAACAUUGAUCUGAACUUGAAACUCUGGCAUUAGCUUGAGAUUCUCUUUUCGCAGUUCACCGGAAGCAUAGAUUGAUAUGAUAGAGAUUCGUUCUUAACUUAAACUCGGUGAAUCGAAACAAAGUGAUUCGAUUUCCAUUUGAAAUGUGUGACAAUGGCGAAUCGAAACGACAAUUCUAGCCCAUCAUUUACUGCGCGCGCAGUUCAGGUUUUAAGUUCAAAGCAGGAACUAAAUGUAAAUUAAAACAUCAAGUUUAAAUUUAAGUUUUAUUGGCUUAAUUUGCAGGUGAUGGCAUUGGAGCUGGGGGUGCACAAUAUAAGAGUGAACUCUAUAAGCCCAGGCUUGUUUAAAUCUGAGAUAACAGAGGGUCUCAUGCAAAAGCAGUGGCUGAGCAACAUCGCGACGAAGACCGUCCCGUUGAGGACGUUCGGAACAUCGAACCCGGCGGUGACGUCUCUCGUGUGGUAUCUCAUCGACGACUCCUCGGAGUAUGUCACGGGCAACGUCUUCAUCGUCGACGCCGGGGCCACGCUACCGGGUGUCCCCAUUUUCUCCUCUCUAUAGUCCUUUAUGCAUGACUUGUUUUUGACUAUUGUGGGGAAUUUGGAAGUAAUUUUAUUAUAUUUUCUUUGGUGUUCAAUGUGAAAGGAGGAUGAAUCGUUUGAAAUUUCUCUAUAUAUGAAUGGGUUACAAUUGCAAGAACUAUGGCAUAGAAAUGUAGACAUGUUAAGUACUUUUUCGAAGAAGUUACACGAUUGAACUGAUGUAAGAAGAAGGAUCAGGCGGAACGGCGACGGCGACCGCGCCCUCGAGCAUCUGAGCCACUUUCCGCAUCGACGGCCUCAGCGAUGGCUCCUCCUGAAUGCACCAGAUAGCUACCAUUACAAAUCUCUCCACUCUCCUUAUGUCGAACAUCGCCUCCUCAUCGCUGUCCACCAGGAGGUCCAGUCUGCCAUCCUUAAAGCAAUCGUAAGCCCAAUAUGCAAGCACUGUUGUCUCCUCCGUUGCUGCCUCCGUCUGAACAUUCUUCCUGCAACAUACGAUCUCUAGUAGCAAGAUACCAAAGCUAUAGACAUCGACCUUCGCAGUGACCGCCGAGUUCUUGAACCACUCGGGUGCAACGUACCCUUUGGUUCCUCUGAUGGCCGUGUUGGUUCGAGUCUGGUCGGCGCGAAGGAGCUUCGCGAGCCCGAAGUCUGAUAUCUUGGGGAUGAAAUUAUCCCCGAGCAGUAUGUUCUGAGACUUGAUGUCGCAAUGAAUGAUCUGGGUAGUACACUCUUCAUGCAAGUACAAAAGACCUCUUGCUAUCCCCAAUACUAUCUGGGCCCUUUUGUUCCACUCAGGCCGGGUGCAUCCGAAAAGAAAGCUUGUUAGCGAGCCAUUGCUCAUGUACUCGUACACCAGCAUUCGAUGGUUCCCCUCGUUGCAGAAUCCGAGUAGCUUGACUAAAUUUUUGUGAUGGGUUUGUGCGAUCGACCGCACCUCGUUCGUGAACUCUUGCUCGGAUUCCUUGGCCGCCGCCCGAUCCAGCUUCUUCACGGCAAUGGCCAUGUGGAAUUCCGCGGCUAAGGCCCCCUUGUAUACUAUGCCGAAACCUCCGCUGCCGAGCUCUUCUCGAAAGUUGUCGGUGGCUUCUUCCAAUUCUUUGUAUGUGAAGACUCUUAGGUUCGACCGCAACAUGGUCUGCGCUAUUUGAUUCUUCUUAUUUUUCGUGCGAUUGCAAAAGGAGAAGGAAACGAUAGCCGCGGCGAUUAUGAAGAGCACGUUGAGGAAUCCGGAGCUACCCAAGAGGGCGGAGAUGACGAGGAUUAGUGUGUUCCGAUCCUUCUUCACUAUAGUUAUCGGAUUCUGCGGGCCCUGGUUAGGCAAGGAAGCAUCGGUUUUGGGCAUUUUGAUAAGAGCCUUCCCCCCUACACUCAUCCCUUGCUGACCAUUGGUUAAAGGCAUCUUCAUCUUCCAACAGUCCGGCAUCCGAAAGACGGCCACACUGCACAAGCAGUCGGCUAGGCAUGAUGCUCGACACAUGUCUUCAUCGGUUGGUGUGUAGUGCUCAUAGCUGUCCCCCGGCCAAUCCGUGUUUGGCAUCUCAAGGAACAAGUAUUGACUUCUCUGGUACUGUUCGCAGCUCUGCACGGCAAAGUCUGGUAUGCAGCCUAAGUACGUACGAUUUGUAUCGACGAACUUGCAUCCUAACGCGCACUCACAUUUGAGCUGCUUUGAUUGAUCAUCGUCGAGGCUGCAGUACGCAUUAAACCCGCAGGCGGCGGCGCCGCCGUCGCUGUCCGCCUGGAUUGUUUGGCAGAGGUUGGCAGGCAACAUUCCGACGGCGUUCCACUUGUCGGUCGACUUGGUAUUGUUGUUGUUUUUGGGGUAGAUAUAAAGGCGUAAUGCACCGUCUGGAUCUAGCGUGGCAUGUUGGUAGAAGUCGGUAGGGGAGUAUACAGCAGCUGAGGUGAGUGCGGUCUGGUUGUUGUUUUCGACCUGAUAAUAGAGCGAGCCGGAUGAGUUGAAAACGAGCUGUAACAUUUUGGCAUAUUGAGUACCGGAGGCCCAAUAUGCAUGGUAUUUGUGGCCGGUGGGGACGGCGACCGGGUAAAAGACCAAAUUGCCAUCUCCUUGGACUGCUAGCUCGAACCGACCUGGGGAGAAGUCCGAGUCGCUCAUUUUGGAUCGGAGUUCUGAGUUCUCGGCCAAGGACUGACCUGGGAGGAUCGUGUCGGUUGGAUUUUGAAAGCUUUGCCACGGAAAGGCUCCGCUGCUAUCAUAGAGAACGAGGUUCCCAGAGUCGAGGAGACUUACGCCGGUCGCAUUAGCUGCGUCUGGGCUCCAGACUUCCUGACCGUUCGAGUCGAAAAGUGAGAGCUGGCUGGCCUGGGUGAGUUGGAGGGUCGAUUUUGCGGGCACCUGCACCGGAUCGGUGUUGUUGGUGGCGAACCAAACGACGACUUGCGGUGAGGUGGCGUUGAACCACACGGCGAGAAGGAAGAGGGAGGAGUUGGCGUCAAGGGGCCAGAAGCCGAAUGCAAAGUCACCGGAUGGAGAGAAGAUGGAGGAGUUGGGCCCCGACGAGCUGAGACUGGAGCCCACGGUCAGGUUCUGAUAAGAUUUUGCCGCGACUAAUGAUAACCCUCGGCCGAGGAGGAGGAGGAGGAGGAAGAGGAAUAGAAGAGAAGGGUUCGUUGCAUCCGUAUCCAUGUUUAGUGGUGGUGGUGGUGGUGGUGGUGGUGGUGGUGGUUCUUCUCUUCCUCGGCUGCGGAGAGAGUAGAGUGUGGAAAGAUAUUAUAGAGGGCUAAACGUAUUGUUGACUUGACGGUUGACUUGGAGAAGAACACCACAAAAAAAUGAGUGGUGAACACCUAUGACGCGCAGUUAAGGCAACCGGAAAAAUGUACAAAGAGCUCCUAACCUUUAGUUUUCUAAAACUUUCAAUUUUAAUAAUUAGACUCUUUAAAACUGGUCAAAUAGUUUAAUAGAUUCAUUUCCUCAAUUAAAAUUACUAAUUAUAUAAUCAUUUUUUUUUUUUUUUUAUGUCUUGCUCAUAAUUUUAUAUGACUUUUAAAUUAUUAAAAAAAAUCUAUCUUUUACUUGUAAUUUUAUUGACUAAAUGUGAGGAUUGAAGCAUAGGAAUACGUAUCUAAUUUCGAGUUUUGUUCUCUUUUUAAUAUAAUAUUAGAAUAGAUUUUUUUUUUUUUUUUGUAUUUCAAAAUUUUAUGAGAUAAUAUGUAAGGCAUUUGAUUAGAAUAGUUGCAUAAUUAGUAACUUUAAUUAAGGAGAAGGAUGUGUUAAAUUAUUUGAUAAAAUUUAGGCCGUAUAUAUAAUUGUUAAGUUAAAAUUUCUAUACUUUUUUAUAAAAAGCUAAAGUUUCAUGGGCUUAUAAUUGUUAAAGGCUCACGCGUGGAGAGGGCUUUUUUUUGCAUUUAGCCUUCUGACAAAUUUUUAUUUUAAAAAUAACCUUGUUAAAAUUUAAUUUACAAAAAUGGCCUUAAGCCUGCCACGCAGGCGCUACGUCAGCGCCACGCGGGCGGAGCUGGGGGCGGUAGUUAAGUACAACACGGUGAACCAUUCACCGUGUUGUAUAUUAAAAAGAGGAAUAGAAAAUUUGUAUUCCAUUUCUUCUCUUUUUCAAAAAUCUGAACCCGAACCCGAAAAUUAAAUUAAAAUCCAAACUCGGAUCCGAAUCCGACGGAUUUUAAAAAUUCAUACUCAUAUCUAUAUCCGACCAAAAACUCGAAAUCCGAACCUGAACCCAGCGGGUUUUAAAAAUCUAUACCGUUGGAUGAAAAUCUAAGAAAUAAAAAUUAUUAAAUAUUUUAUAUAUUGUAUAAAUAAAUAAAAAUAAAUUAUGUAUAUAUAUAUAAUUUAUUCGGGUUUGGAUUCGGAUAAUAUUUCGGAUAUCCAUACCUAUUGACAUUCCCUACUCCCUAUUUCUCUUUUCAAUAUACAAAAAAUACGUACUAAACACGGUGAACUAUUCACCGUGUUUGAACACGGGGAAUGGUUCACCGUGUUCAACUUAACACACAGGCCCUAGCCCUGCCCGCGUGGUGCUGACGUGGCGCCUGUGUGGCAGGCCCAGAGCCAUUUUUGUAAAUUAAAUUUUGACAGGACUAAUUUUAAAAUAAAAAUUUGCCAGGGCUAAAUGCAAAAAAAGCCUCGCGUGGAGAAAUUGUUGUCUGCUAAAAUUUAAUUAAAAAAAUAUAAUUGUUAAAUUUAAUUAAAUAUAAUUUUGGCAUCCGGACAAAUUAUUAUCAUGUGAAGAAAUAAUACCUCAUUAAUAAAAAAAAUAAUAUAAUUAAAUAAUAUUAAGGCCAAUUUGGGUAAAAACUCUACAAGUUUUGAGCUUUUGCAAAACUGGACCACCUUUUUCGAUGUUUACAGAUUCGUACCGAAUUUUUAAAAAACUGACCAAAAUACUUAGUUUCCUUUCUUUCUCUUUUUUUUCUCUCGUUUUUUUUUUUUCCUCUUCGAAGAGGAGGCAAAGGCCCCCCCACGCCCUCGCACGUGUCCGCGCACCACCCGCCCUCCUUAACUCCGACCCUACCAAGGUUGCGCUCGCUGCCGCUCUUUCGGACGCCCUUCCUCGCCUCCGCCCUAUGCACCCUUGCCCGCCUCUUACCCUCCCCCCCCAUUCUCGCCUGCGACCCCGCCGAGGCUGCGCCACUAUCCUCUUUUUUUUUUUUUUUUCUUUUUUUUUUCUUUUUUUUUUUCUCUCCGAACCUCCUCCACCCCUUCCGUAGCCCUUCGCGACCCACCUCCACCUCCACCUCCACUACAGCAAAUUUUUCACCCACCAAACCCAUUUCUGAGAACUCGCCGUCCUCACCGCCACCGCCGAUGACGAAAAGAAAGCGCUUCUCAGCGCUAAGAAGCUCGCUGGCAGAGGAGGGGGCACGCGACCCACCACGCCCACCAAGGCCGGCGACGUGCGAGGUAGAGACAGAGGAGAGUGUGAUGACGCUGGAGAAGAUGGCAGGGCAGCGGCGAGUGCGGCUGUAACAUACCGAACUUCACAAAUCAUGAAGUCACGGUAUACAUUUAAAUGGUUCCGGUGCGGUUGCGGUGGAAUGUAACAUACCGGAUUUUAAAUAUAAAAGUGAAAAUAAAUAAAAAAUAGUAUGAGAUACUAAUUUAAAGUUUCAUAUUAUUCUGACACUCGUAGAGUGAGAAAUAGGAUCCGAAAGCUAUCUGAUAAAGAUUGCAGUUCGGUACAGUUUUCAGUGACCAAACGGGGUCGAAACUGAAAUAUUAAAAUUUCUUUGGACUUAUUNAAGAAGAACUAGAGAAAAAGGAAGAAGAAGAUGAAGUUGCAUUGUUAAGAUAAAGGUAUACUGUUUUAGAAGAACGUUACAUUAUUAUAAACAUAAGUUGCACUCUCUGAGAUAUAAACUACACCCUUUAAGAUGAAAGUUACACUCUUUAAACGAAAAUUGCACUCAUAGAGUGUAACUUUUCGUUUAAAGAGUAUAAUUUAUAUCUUAAAGGGUGUAGUUUACAUCUUUCUCUUAAAGAGUUUAACUUUCAUCUUAAAGGGUGUAGAUUACAUCUAUAACAGUGCAAUGUUUUUCUAAAAUAGUGCAAUUUCAUCUUUUUCUUCCUUUUUCUUUUGUUUUUUUUUUUCCUUAUUCUCUAAUUUUUGGCCUUUAGUUAAUUUUUUUUAUUUGCAGCAAACAAAAGUACUUGACCAAAGAUGCUCUUGUGCACCCCUCACCCUCUUCGCCUCCUCGCCUCCGAUCCCGCUGAGGCCGCGCUCGUAGCCGCUCGUCAUCGCGCUCUUCUCUGUCUCCACCUCACUCGUCGUCGGUCCAGUGGGAGCGGUGGGCCGCGUGCCCCCUCCUUCGCCAGCGAUCUUCUCAGUGCCGAGAAGCGCUUUCUCUUCAUCGUCGGUGGCGGUGGUGAGGACACGGGUUCCCAUAUGUGGAUUUGAUGGGUGAAAAAUCUGUUGCAGUGGAGAUGGAGGGCGAAGGCGAAGGAAGAGAAUGUGGUGUUGUUCUUGUUACCGUCAUGGAGGGCUGCAGAGGCGGUGGAGGAGGUUAGCGGGGGGUGAACGGGCGUGGGCGAGGGCACAUGGGGCAGAGGCGAGGAUAGGCGUCCCAAAGGGCGACGGUGAGUGCAGCCUUGGUGGGAUCGAAGGCGAGGAGGGCGGGUGGUGUGCGGACGCGGGCGAGGGCGUAAGGGGCAGAGGCGAGGCACGCCGUUCCUGCCUCCGCCUCCUUCUUCGGAGAGGGAAAAAAAGAACGAGAGAAAAAAAAAAGAGAGAGAGAAAGGAAUAAGGAUAUUUUGAUUCAUUUUUUGAAAAUUCGGUCCAAAUCUGUAAAAUUGAAAAAAAUGGUCCAAAUUUACAAAAGUUCAAAACUUGUGAUUUUUUAUGCAAAUUGGCCUAAUAUUAACUAUAUAAAACAGAAAAACGACGCGGCGGUGUAUUGAUUCUUGCCUGCCUAUCUUUAAUAUUUCAACGGCUAAAGUACACUUUGGUUUAAAGUGGCAGCUUUUAAUUUGAAUAUUUUAAAUUAUUAUAAUCGAAUCUUACAAUUCAAUUUAAUUGAUUUAGACUUAGUUUGGUAUUGAGACUUAUCUAACGUUAUUAUAUAAAAUUGAGUUGAGAAAAAGCAUAUAGUGAUAUGCUUCUACAUUGUCCGGUGGAACCGUAGAAAAUAUAUAAUAACCGAUUUAUCGCGAUAUGCGAAACGCAACAUACGAAUAGGGUAUUUUUCCAACGUACUUUCUCACAACACGUAACGCAAUCUUCCCGCAAUCCCCAACGAAGCCUUAAUAUUGGUGUGUCGUUCAGAUAGACAUAAUGCGGAAUAAAUUGAAAUCACACUAUUUCGGUAGAAUAAAUCAAAUAAAUCUUGAUAAAAUAGAUAACAACUGUUAAUGGAGCGUCCGAGAGUCAUUCUCUUGCGGCCGUGGAUAAUCAUCGCAACUCCAAGAAUUGCUCGCCACAAAUCUCUCCAAUAAGAUUGCACAAGGACUUUUUUUUAUUAUUUUUUUGUUGCAAUCUAUACCAAAAUAGCACAAAGACUUAUCUUUAUCAUUGUAAUUUACACACAUUUUUAAUGUAUUGCGAGUAAUUCUUGAGCAUCAACUUGUAGAAAAAGUCUAGAAUGUUACAGUCACAUUAACGAUGUAAUGUCUCCAGCGAAUUAAAUUGCAUCCCAGCGGUUCAUCCAUCCCAUUAUAAUUUUUUUUAAAAUAUAUUUUUAUUAUACUUUUUUUUUUUUUUUUUUUUUUGUGUUCUUUUGUUGUUAGCUUUUGAACUUUUUUAAAUUAAAUUACCUAUGCAUGCAAGCCGGCCUGCUUUUUUUUUUUUUUUUCUAAAGGAAGAGAUGCGAUUGAUUAGAUAUAAAUAAUAUAAUGUGGCUGCUACGUAGUAAACUUUCUCAAAUUUGUACAUGAUCGCUAUCAAAGUUACAACGAAAGGUUCAAAAAAGAAUAAAUUGAACGUUUGGUCCUCGAACUAUGGGAUAUAUGACACUUUAAUCGAAUUGAGCUCCUAUGCUUUUAAAAGUAUCAAGACAUUGGUGCUUGUAGAUUUUUAGCCAUUGGAUUAAGAGAUAUGCGGUUAGAAUGAUGUGGGCCUUCUAGGGUUGAGUGGGUGGUUGGUUGAAUAGUAUAAUCUAAUGGUUGAAAAUGAUCCGUAGAGUAAAUCUAAUGGUAAAAAACUUACAAACACCAAGUGCUUGGUGCUUUUACAAGCACCAUAGCUGGACUCCACUUUAAUCUUCAAAUUUUAAUUUAUUAUAGUUUCUGGCUUAAAUUUUCAGAAUUGUUAUAUUCAAAUCCCACAAUCUAAUUUAAUUGACUAAAUUUUAACACAUUAUUAAUGUAAAAAUUAUACGCUAUAUUAAUUAUUGGCACAUUAUUAAUCACAACACUACUACAUCACAUUUAUAUCAGCGAUAUAUCAAUAUUUAGUCAACUAAAUUAAAUUAUAGAACUUAUUUGUAGCAAUUCUGGAAAGUGAAGCGCAAAAUUGUAAUAAACUAUAGUUUGAGGACCAAACGUGCAAUUUACUCUAUCUAAAAAGUAGUGGUGAACACCUGUAGGGUGAAGUUAACGUAACUGGAAAAAUGUACAAAGAGCGCCCUAAAACGUUAGGUUUUUUUAAAUUUUUUUCCAAAUAGUCUUUUAACCUUAGUUAAUUAGACUCUUUAAAUUCUAUCAAAUAGUUUAAUAGACUCCUCUCUUCAGUUGAAAUUAUUAAUUUUACAAUCGUCUUGAUCGCAUAUGUCUUAUACAUAAUUUUAUAUAGCUUUAAAAAAUUAGAAAAAUCUUUUUUUUUUUCACUUUUAAUUUUAAUAUUAAACAAAUGUGAGGAUUGAAGAAGAGGAAUAUGUGUCUACUUUUGAGUUUUGUUCUCUUUUUAAUAUAAUAUUAGGAUAGAAAAAAAAUAUUUAUUUUCGUAUUUUGAAAUUUUAUAAUAUUGUAUAUAACACAUUUGAUUAGAAUGGUUGCGUAAUUAGUAACUUUAAUUAAGGAGAAGGGCCUAUUAGAUUAUUUGAUAAAAUGUAGGGCGUCUAAUUGCUGAAUUAAAAUUUCUGAUACUUGUUUAUAAAAAGCUAAAGUUUAAAGGGUGUUUCUACAUUUUUCUCUUACGUUGUUAUAUUCAAAGGAUUGCGUCUCAAGAAAUUAUUGUCUGCUAAAAUUUAAUUUUUUUAAAAAAUAUAAUUGUUAAAUUUAGUUACACAUAAUUUUGGUGUCAUGUGAAAUAUCAUGUAAUUAAAUAAUAUUAACCAUGAAAAAGGGGAAAACAGAAGGGCACUGUAUUGAUNUAGUUGUGUUCCUCUUUUUUUUUCCCUUUUUUUUUUUUUUUUUUCCCCUCUUGUGGCCUCUUGCCUCAUUAUAUUGCUAAAUUCACCUCCCAAUUGAAUGAAGCGAUAAUAAGCUAUCUUCCUCUCUCAAAAAAAAAAAAAAAAAAAAAAAUAGCAAUCAUUAUCAAAAUCCAAACACUAUGAUAGCAACACUUCUCAAUGGGACAAAAAGAAUCAAAUUAUAGAGUGCAAUUAUCUGAUCAUGCACAAACUUUCUCUGGACUCCUAAUCUUCCAAGCAACUACAACACAUUACACCUAUGCAGUGUAUAAUUCAUCGGAUUCCAACAUACGUACAUCCUUCAGGCUAUCAUGAUUAUGGAAUCAUGCGCACUACCUCCAGGAAUAGAACUGUCAAGGGUAAAUUUUCAUCUGUACAUGAAUGUGGACAGUUGAUUUCCUUGAAAAAAAAAAGAAGGAAGAAGUAUGUAUUUAAUUUUUCCUUGUUUUAUUUCUUUUAUAAUUUAGCAUUCUAGAAAGCACUUCAACAUCAAAGAGAGGAACAGUAAUCACAUAAUGACAUCUGUACUGUAGUAAGGAUAAUAGUUUUUUUUUUUUUGAGAGAUAGGUAGCACGCUCCCCGCUUCGUUUAUUUCAUUUAGAAAUAAACUUAGCUAGAAAUGUGAAUCAACUAGGAUUCGAACUUGAGUCUCGAGUACCAACCACCAAGCCCUUUGCCACUUGCCUUUCUCACUCUCUGUUUUCUUUCUUUUUCUCUCAUCUCUUUAAUUUUCUUCUCCUGCCUAAUUACUCUUUUUAUUGAAAAGUACAACUUAAGCAUAUAUACAACUGCAUAGAUUUUUUUCUCCAAAGAAAAAGUAAAAGAGUGUAAUCUGCUCUCUAAUUUUAAUAUGAUUUUUUUAACAAAUCAUUUUAAAACUCAACAACUUAAAUUUUUUUUUUUUUUUUUUGAGAAUAGGUAGCACGCUACCUGCUUCAUUCAUUGAAUGGAUGAAUUUGGCUACAAAGGUGAGGCAACAAGGGCCUCGAGGAAAAACAAUAUCAGCGGAGGAAAAAAAAAAAAAAAACUUAGCUGAUUUUAUUUUCUAUUUGCACAGAUUAGUCAUAUAAAAAUAAAAUUUAAAAACUUGUAUUUAUCUAAUUUGACCUAAAAAUUAAUAUUUUAUAAUUAAGUAUGAUACUAGAAUGUUUGGGUGUCCCCAAUUUUGGGUUUCCCCAUUUUCUCCUCCCUACAGUCUUUUAUGCAUCACUUGAUUUUAAAUAUAGUGGAGAAAUUAUAAGUAAUUUCAUUAUAUGUUCUUUGGUGUUCGAUGUGAAAGGAGGAUGAAUUGUUUGAUAUUUCUCUAUAUAUGAAUGGGUUACAAUUGCAAGAACUAUGGCAUAGAAAUGUAGACAUGUUAAGUACAUUUCGAAGAAGUUACACGAUUGAACUGAUGUAAGAAGAAGGAUCAGGCGGAACGGCGACGGCGACCGCGCCCUCGAGCAUCUGAGCCACUUUCCGCAUCGACGGCCUCAGCGACGGCUCCUCCUGAAUGCACCAGAUAGCUACCAUUACAAAUCUCUCCACUCUCUUUAUGUCGAACAUCGCCUCCUCGUCGCCGUCCACCAGGAGGUCCAGUCUGCCAUCCUUAAAGCAAUCGUAAGCCCAAUACGUAAGCACCGUUGCCUCCUCGGUCGCUGCCUCCAUCUGAACAUUCUUCCUGCAACAUACGAUCUCCAGCAACAAGACGCCGAAGCUGAACACAUCGACCUUCGCGGUGACCGCCGAGUUCUUGAACCACUCGGGUGCGACGUACCCUUUGGUUCCUCUGAUGGCGGUGUUGGUCCGAGUCUGGUCGGCGCGAAGGAGCUUCGCGAGCCCGAAGUCUGAUAUCUUGGGGAUGAAAUUAUCGUCGAGCAGUAUGUUCUGAGACUUGAUGUCGCAAUGAAUGAUCUGGGCAGUACAGUCCUCAUGCAAGUACAAAAGACCUCUUGCUAUCCCCAAUACUAUCUGGGCCCUUUUGUUCCACUCGGGCCGGGUGCAUCCGAAAAGAAAGCUUGUUAGCGAGCCAUUGCUCAUGUGCUCGUAUACCAGCAUUCGAUGGUUGCCCUCGUUGCAGAAUCCGAGUAGCUUGACUAAAUUUUUGUGAUGGGUUUGUGCGAUCGACCGCACCUCGUUCGUGAACUCCUGCUCGGAUUCCUUGGCCGCCGCCCGAUCCAGCUUCUUCACGGCAAUGGCCGUGCGGAAUUCCGCGGCUAAGGCCCCUUUGUAUACUACGCCGAAACCUCCGCUGCCGAGCUCUUCUCGAAAGUUGUCGGUGGCUUCUUCCAAUUCUUUGUAUGUGAAGACUCUUAGGUUCGACCCCAGCAUGGUCUGCUCCAUUUGAUUCUUCUUAUCUUUUGUGCGGUUGCAGAAGGAAAAGGAGACGAUAGCCGCGGCGAUCACGAUGAGAAUGUUGAGAAAUCCGGAGCUCCCGAGGAGGACGGAGAUGAUGAGGAUUAGUGCGCUCCGAUCCUUCUUCACCACAGUUAUCGUAUUCAGCGAUCCGUGGGCAGGAAAGGAAGCAUUGGUUUUGGGCACUUUGAUAAGAGCCUUCCCCCCUACACUCAUCCCUUGCCCACCGUUGGUUAACGGCAUCUUUAUCUUCCAACAGUCCACCCCCUGAAAGACCGCCGCACUGCACAAGCAGUCGGCUAGGCAUAAUGCACGACAGGUGUCUUCGUCAGUCGGUGUGUAGUGCUCAUAGCUAUUGCCCGGCCAAUCCAUGUUCGGCAUCUCAUUGAACAUGUACUGGUUGCUCUGGUACUCGUCACAGCUUUGCACAGUGAAAUCUGGUAUGCAGCCUAAGUACGUACGAUUUGUAUCGAUGAACUUGCACCCUAACACGCACUCACAAUUGAGCUGCAUUGACUGAUCGUCGUCGAAGUUGCAGUAUGCAUUGAACCCGCAGGCGCCACCGCCGCCGUCGCCGUCAGCCUGGAUCUUUUGGCAAGGGUUGGCAGGCAGCAUUCCGACGACAGUCCACGUGUUGGUUGACCCGCUAUUAUUGUUGUUGUUUUUGGGGUAGACAUAAAGGCGUAAGGCGCCGUCUGGAUCCAAUGUGGCACGUUCGUAGAAGUCGGUAGGAGAGUACAUGGCAGCCGAGGUGAGGGAGGUCUGGCUGCUGUUCUCGACCUGGUAAUAGAGCGAGCCUGAUGAGUUGAAGACGAGUUGUAAUUUUUUGUCGUAUUGGGUAUUGGAGGCCCAAUAGGCUCUGUACACGUUGCCGGUGGGAAUGGCGAUUGGGUAUAAGACCAAAUUGCCAUCGCUUUGGACUGCUAGCUCGAACCGGCCCGUGGAGAAGUCGGAGCUGGUCAAUUUGGAUCGAAGUUCUGAGUUCUCGCCCAAGGACUGACCGGGGAGGAUCGUGUCGGUUGGAUUUUGAAAGCUUUGCCACGGAAGAGCUCCGCUACUAUCAUAGAGAACGAGAUUCCCGGAGUCGAGGAGACUAACGCCGGUCGCGUUAGCUGCGUCUCGGCUCCAGACUUCCUGACCGUUCGAGUCGAAAAGUGAGAGUUGGCCGGCCUGGGUGAGGUGGAGGGUCGACUUUGCUGGCACCUGCACCGGAUUGGUGUUGUUGGUGGCGAACCAAACGACAACUUGCGGUGAGGUGUUAUUAAACCACACGGCGAGAAGGAAAAGGGAGGAGUCGGUGUCGAGGGGCCAGAAGCCGAACGCAAAGUCACCGGAUGGAGAGAAGAUGGAGGAGUUGGGCCCCGACGAGCUGAGAUUGGAGCCCACAGUCAGGUUCUGAUAAGAUCCUGCCACGACUAAUGAGAGCCCUCGGUCAAGGAGGAGGAGGAGGAGGAGGAGGAGAAAUAGAAGAGAAGGGUUUGUUGCAUCCAUAACCAUGUUUAGUGGUGGUGGUGGUGGUGGUGGUGGUUCUUCUCUUCCUUGGGUGUGGAGAGAGUAGGGUGUUGGAAAGAUAUUAUAGAAGGCUAAGCCCAUUGUUGACCGUUGACUAGCCGUGGGCUGCGGGGACGACUUUGACUUGAAGUCAACAAUCAAAAAGUAGUGGAGAACAACUGACGCGUGAAGUUGACAACAACUGACGCGUGAAGUUGACGUAACUGGAAAAAUGCACAAGACACCCUAAACUUUAUCUCUUUUGCUAACAAAUAACCGAACGUUUAAUUUUGGCGAUUAGACUCUCGGAAUUUUAUCAAUCAGCUUCAACAUGAUAAUCAAAGAAUAUACAUUCUUUUCUUUUUUUUUUUUGAGGAGAAAAUAGUAUGUUACCCAUUUCGUUUAUUUCUUUUAAAAAUAAACUUAUCUAAAAAUGUGAAUCAAUUAGAAUUCAAAUUUGAAAUCUCAGGUACUAACCACUAAGGCUUAGUUUGAUAUUGAAGUCUAUUAAACGCUAUUAGAUAAAAUGGAGUUGAUGAAAAUGUAUCGUAACCGAUUCAUCACGAUAUGUGGAACGCAAUAUUACGUACGGAAACAGACAAGAUAUUUUUUCAACGUACUUUUUCACCGCACGUAACACAAUCUUCCCGCAUUCCCAAACGAAACCUAAGUUCUUUACCACUUGCGCUAGGGACGGUUGGUUCAAAGAAUAUACUCAAUAUUAGGGGUAUUGAGUAGUGGUUUCCCUGCAAUUCCACGGUCUUCUAUCGACCAUUCAAAACGUAGAAUCUGAGAGGCCUUAAAUUAAAAUUUCAAACUAGUAAAUGUGAUUUGAAAUUUGGACCGGAACUGGGCCCGGGCCUAAACAACACCUCUCCCGAUAGGUCGUGUAAGUGCUGGACUUUGGAUAUUCGAAUAAUAACUUCGGGUUUGGGUCGAGUUUAAAAUUUAGGCCUAAAAAAAUUUCGGACUUAAAUUUGGACAUGUCCAAGCCCAGCUCUGGUCCGACCCAAAAGCUUGAUAUAUUAUUUACUAUUACCAACUAACUAGAUAUAUUUAGAUAAAUAUAUAUAUUUAUCUAUACAAAGAACUAAAAAUAUAUACUAUAUUAUAUAAGUUAAACUUCAAAUACCACCCCUGUAUUUUUGCGCUUUCUCACUUUAAUACCGUGUGGUUUAAAGUGUAUCAUUUUAGUAUCCAGUGAUUUCAUUUUUUUUUCUUCCCGUCAGUACUUCUGUUAACUCUCUAUUAAAUUAUAUACGAAAAACUUCAGAUAUCUCAUCUAUAGUUUAUCGAAUAUUUACUUUAGUACCCUGUGGUUUACCGAAUUUUUACUUUAGUGCUCUGUAUUUUUAACUUUGUCAUUGAUUUAAUGAAAAAAAUUAAUGUAAGAAAUAACUGAAAGAAACAAUUGAAAUCAUAGGAUACUAAAGUGAUACAAUAUUUUAAACUAUAAGGGACUAAAUUAAUGAUGUGGUCCAAUUUUCCCCUAUAUAUAUAGAGAGAAAAAAAGAGACAAGUCUAAACAUGUGACACCCCAAAAAUUCCAUAUCACUGAAAAAGGAAUUAUAAUUAGAAAUAUACAGUCCAAAAAUUUUAAUACUAAUAAUUACACUUAAUUAUUUUGGGUUAUUGAUUUGGAUCCAAAUUGUUAUUAGUAUUAAUAGGCUGAGUCGAAUUUUGAAUUGUCGAACCGAACCAACUAAUUUCGAUUUUAACAAUUCAAUUUGGCGUUUCUUUCUAGUUUUAAAUCUUUAAAUGGAAUCGAACUGAAAGAAUCGAUGCUCCUCACUCCUAACAACUCACAAAGGAGAGGGAUAUACAGUGCUCACCAAUAUGUUACAUAUAUAAAAACAAUUAUUAAGUUUUUGAAACACAACAGAUGUCUUUCAUAUAUUUAACAUAGAAUCGGAGAAAGAGGUUCUGAAUUCAAGUCAUGUCAGGCUCGUCAUAUAAUUGAUUUUCUCCUAUUUAAUUCAAGUUUACUUAUCACGAAUUUAUCAAAAAUUUUCAAACUCAUAUGCAAAGGGAAGUGUUGAAUAUAAAAAUAUAAAAAUAUUGUUCUCCACCAACUUAAAUUUUUAUAGAACAACGAUUAUUUUCAGAUAUUUAAUGCAAUGGUGAUGUAAAAUUGUUUAUAAUAAGUGUUUCGCUUUAAGAUUAGUGGUGGACACUGAGACAUGAAAGGAACAUAGAAGGUAGGAAUAGUUCCUCCACAAACCAAGCAAGGCUAAGAAUAAAAGUGAAAAAUAGAAUAACUCUUCACAAUUUGAUUCUUGAUGUUUCGUGAAUAUAUAAUAACGAACUUGUAGAUAUCAAAGCAGAAGUUUCCAUUUGAAAAUUUCUCCUAAACUACUGUUUCUACUAUAGCAAAAAUUAGGCUGCUAAUAAAAUAUUAAUUAAAAAGUUAUUAAUGCUUCUUUAUACAGUCAUACGCAAGUGACACUACCACAUAGGCUACAACAAAUCGAAUAAGCUCAAAAAAAAAAAGAGAAAAAAGAUAUGACACGACGAAUUCAUCGUGCGGUUUCUCUUCGAAAUUGAAAGUAAUUUCAUUAUAUGUUUUUUGUUCUUCAUUGUAAGGAGAGGAUGAGUUGUUUGAUAUUUCUCUAUGAGUGGGUUACAAUUGCAAGAACUAUGGUAUAGAAAUGUAGACAUGUUAAGUACAUUUCGAAGAAGUUACACGAUUGAACUGAUGUAAGAAGAAGGAUUAGGCAGAACAGGGACUGCGACCGCGCCCUCGAGCAUCUGAGCCACCUUCCGCAUUGACGGCCUCAGCGACGGCUCCUCCAGAAUGCACCAGAUGGCUACCGUUACAAAUCUCUCCACUCUCGUCACAUCGAUCAUCGCCUCCUCGUUGCCGUCCACCAGGAGGUCCAAUCUGCCAUUCCUAAAGCAAUCGUGAGCCCAAUACGCAAGCACUGCUGCCUCCUCGGUCGCCGCCUCCGUUUGAACAUUCUUUCUGCAACAUAUGAUCUCCAGCAACAAUACGCCGAAGCUGUACACGUCAACCUUCGCGGUGACCGCCGAGUUCUUGAACCACUCGGGCGCGACGUACCCUUUGGUUCCUCUGAUGGCCGUGUUGGUCCGAGUCUGGUCGGCGCGAAGGAGCUUCGCGAGCCCGAAGUCUGAUAUCUUGGGGAUGAAAUCAUCGUUGAGCAGUAUGUUCUGAGACUUUAUGUCGCAAUGAAUGAUCUGAGUAGUACAAUCCUCAUGCAAGUAUGAAAGACCUCUUGCGAUCCCCAUUAUUAUUUGGGCCCUUUUGUUCCACUCGAGCCGAGUGCUUCCAAAAAGAAAGCUUGUUAGCGAGCCAUUGCUCAUGUACUCGUAUACCAGCAUUCGAUGGUUCCCCUCGUUGCAGAAUCCGAGUAGCUUGACUAGAUUUUUGUGAUGGGUUUGUGCGAUCGACCUCACCUCAUUCGUGAACUCCUGCUCGGAUUCCUUGGCCGCCGCUCGAUCCAGCUUCUUCACGGCAAUGGCCAUGUGGAAUCCCGCGGCUAAGGCCCCUUUGUAUACUAUGCCGAAGCCUCCGCUGCCGAGCUCUUCUCGAAAGUUGUCGGUGGCUUCUUCCAAUUCUUUGUAUGUGAAGACUCUUAGGUUUGACCCCAACAUGGUCUGCUCUAUUUGAUUCUUGUUAUCUUUUGUGCGGUUGCAGAAGGAGAAGGAGACGAUAGGGGCAGCGAUCAUGAUGAGAAUGUUGAGAAAUCCGGAGCUACCGAGGAGGACGGAGAUGACGAGGAUUAGUGUGCUCCGAUCUUUCUUCUCCGUAGUUAUCGUAUUCGGCGAUCCGUGGGUAGGUAAGGAAGUAUUGGUUUUGGGCACUUUGAUAAGAGCCUUCCCCCCUACUCUCAUCCCUUGCCCACCGUUGGUUAACGGCAUCUUUAUCUUCCAACAGUCCAACCCCCGAAAGACCGCCGCACUACACAUGCAAUCGGCUAGGCAUAAUGCUCGACAGGUGUCUUCGUCGGUCGGUGUGUAGUGCGCAUAGCUAUUGCCCGGCCAAUCCGUGGUUGGCAUCUCAUUGAACAUGUACUGGUUGCUCUGGUACUCGUCGUAGCUCUGCACAGUGAAAUCUGGUAUGCAGCCUAAGUACGUACGAUUUGUAUCGAUGAACUUGUAUCCUAACACGCACUUACAAUUGAGCCGCACUGACUGAUCGUCGUCGAAGUUGCAGUAUGCAUUGAACCCGCAGGCGCCACCGCCAUCGUCAGCCUGGAUCGUUUGGCAAGGGUUGGCAGGAAACAUUCCGACGACAGUCCAUGUGUUGGUUAACCCGCUAUUAUUGUUGUUGUUUUUGGGGUAGACAUAAAGGCGUAAGGCGCCAUCUGGAUCCAAUGUGGCACGUUCGUAGUAAUCGGUAGGAGUAUAUGGAAGCUGAGGUGAAGGGGGUCUGGUUGCCGUUCUCGACCUGGUAAUAGAGCGAGCCAGAUGAGUUGAAGAUGAGUUGUAAUGUUUUGUUGUAUUGGGUAUUGGAGGCCCAAUAGGCAUGGUACACGUUGCCGGUGGGAAUAGCGAUCGGGUAUAAGACCAAAUUGCCAUCGCUCUGGACUGCUAGCUUGAAUCGGCCCGCGGAGAAGUCCGAGCUGGUCAAUUUGGAUUGAAGUUCUGAGUUCUCGGCCAAGGUCUGACUGGGGAGGAUCGUGUCAGUUGGAUUUUGAAAACUUUGCCACGGAAGGUCUCCGCUACUAUCAUAGAGAAUGAGAUUCCCGGAGUCGAGGAGACUAACGCCGAUCGCAUUAGCUGCGUUUAGGCUCCAGAUUUCCUGACCGUUCGAGUCGAAAAGUGAGAGCUGGCCAGCCUGGGUGAGUUGGAGGGUCGACUUUGCAGGCACCUGCACCGGAUUGGUGUUGUUGGUGGCGAACCAAACGACGGCUUGCGGUGAGGUGGCAUUGAACCACACGGCGAGAAGAAAGAGGGAGGAGUUGGCAUCGAGAGGCCAGAAGCCGAACGCAAAGUCACCAGACAGAGAGGAAAGGGAGGAGUUGGGCCCCGACGAGCUGAGACUGGAGCCCACAGUCAGGUUCUGAUAAGAUCCUGCCGCGACUAAUGAGAGCCCUCGGCCGAGAAGGAGGAGGAGGAGGAGGAGGAGGAAUAGAAGAGAAGGGUUUGUUGCAUCCAUAACCAUGUUUAGUGGUGGUGGUGGUGGUGGUGGUGACGGUGAUCUAGCGUGUUGGAAAGAUAUUAUAGAGGACUAAACCAAUUGUUGACCGUUGGCAAUUGGCAUUGACUUCUGGGAAGGCAUUGACUUGGUGAACAACUAUAGCGUGUUGGAAAGAUAUUAUAAAAUAUUUUAUGAGACUUUAAAAUAUAAAAAAAAUUAUUUUAUUUCACUUUUAAUUUUAAUAAUAAUUAAGCAUGGGGAUGGAAGAAUAGGAUGCAUUUAUUUUCAUUUUUAUUGGCUUUUUUUACAUAAUUUUUAUAUUUUAAAUUUUUAUAAGAUUAUGUGUAAGAUAUUUAAUCGGAAUGGUUGUGUGUAAUAAUUAGUAACUUUAAUUGAGGAGAAGUGUUUAAUAUUGAAUUAUUUGAUAAAAUUUAGGGUAUGUAAUUAUCAAAAUUAAAAGUUCUGAUGCUAGUUUAUAAAAAGCUAAAGUUUCACGGGUGUUGCUGCAUUUUUCCCUUACGUUACAUUUAAGGCUCACAUGUGGAGAAAUUAUUGUGCGCUAAAUUUUAAUUAAAAAAUGUAAUUAUUAAAAAUAAUUAAAUAUAAUUUUGGCAUGUGGACAAAUUAUUGCCACGUAAAGAAAUACUAUCUCAUUAAUAAAAAAUAAAUAUCAUUAUUAAAUAUAAUUAAAUGAUAUUAACUAUAAUAAGGAAAAUCGUAAGGGCACUAUCCACUAUAUAUGUUGAUUCUUCUCAAGCUAAAGUUGCAGUUUUUAAUUCGAACAUUUUAAAUUAUUAUAAUUAAAUUUCACAAUUUAAUUUAGUCGAUUAAAUAUUGAUAUAUUAUUGAAAUAAAAAAUAAUUUAUAUGAAAUAAAUAUAGAUCCCAUUUUUUCUAUAAAAUAAAUCAAAUAAAUUUGAAUAAAUAAAUAGAUAUCAACUAAAAUAUUGGUCCCUCUCCUUCUCACUCGGAUUUCUCUCUUUUUCUCCUCUUGCAUUAAUUACUCUUUCUUUUGGUCUCUCCUCUCUCUCUCUCUCUCUCUCUCUCUCCUUUUUAAUUUUCUUUUUUACUUCUGUUGCAUUAAUUAGUCUUUUUAUUGGUCUCUCUCCUUCUCUCUCUUCUCUCUAAUUUUCUCCUCUCUCUUAAUUUCUCCAUUCAUUCAUUGUUACAAUUUUGUACUAACACUUUAGUACAAAUAUUGUUACAUUUAUAUUAAAGAGUACAAUAUAGGUAUAAAUAGUGUAAUAUGGAGAGCUAGGCUACUAUACUAUCUAUAGUAUCGAGUUCCGGUACUAUAGUGUUGGUUUUCGAUCUUAGGGCGUUCAAAUCAACGAUCCACACCGUUAAAACUGAUCUAGGGUAUUUAAAGUUUUUAGAAAUAAAAUUUUAUAUUUUUUCGACAUAGUUUACUUUAUGAUCAAACUANAAAAAUCAAAAAAAGCUAUAGCAAAUGAACCAUUUAUUUAAUAUAGUUUUACCUGCCACUUUUAACUUAUUAGAAAUUUUAAACUUAUAUCCUGAAAAUUUAAGUUCUAGUUCUUACAAUUGGAACUAGAUAUAUCAAAUUUCAUAAAAGAUAGUUUUAAACUUCUUUAAAUCUAAGAAGAUGUGGCAAUUUGAGGUUUGAGCAGUAUUAUCGGUAACUUUUUUAUUCCUAAGAAAUUCAUAUACCCCAGAUCAUAUUUAACGGUGCAGAUCGUUGAUUUGAACGCCCUAAGAUCGAAAAAAAAUACUAUAGUACCGGAGCUCGGUACUAUAGAUAGUAUAGUAGCCUAAUUCUAAUAUGGGUAUAAUAGUAUAAUAGCAUAAUAGAUUUUUUUUCCUUUUUUUUUAAAUUUUAAGUUAUGCAACAUAUUUCUUCUUAUUCUUUUAUUCUUUCUUCUUCAUUUUUUUUUUUUGUUUUUUUUUGGUGUCCUUUUGUUGUUCUUCGCCACCACUACCAAGCUCGAGAAAAAGACGAGACCGUCUAUGAUGACAGUGUAGGAAACGAUGGUGCAACAAGGCAUUUCGUCGAACAGGGUACGUGCGGUAUUGUUUGUUACACUCCGGUAACUUGUCUCGUCCAUCUCAUACUUUUAAUUUAACUGUCAAAAUUUUAAAUAUAAAAUAGCUGUUAAAUAUCCAAUGCUAUAUAUUAAAAUAUAUUUGAAGAUUUAACUGUCAAAAUUUUUUUUUAAUAUUUCUUAAAAUAGCUGUACACGAAUGACACAAACAAGCUCUAGCAAAUUAAAUAAGGUCAUAGAAAGAUAUGAAGUUGCAAAAUGAUAAAUAUUUGUGUUUUUCACUUUUCUUUUAGUUAGAUAUCAAAAAUAAAAUAAUAACAACAAUAAAAGCUAAGAGAGAGAAACAGAAGAAAAUGUUGUGCUCAAAUGCUCAAGUGCAACCCUAAAUAGUUAUACUGUGAAAUCUUUCGAUUGCGAAAGAAUACAAAAGAAAUUCUUGCUCUGAUACCAGACUAAAUUAUAUAGCUUAAGCCAUCGAGGAAUAAUAUUGUUAAUAUUCUUUAUUCAACAUGGAUUUUCCUUCAUAUCCGGGCUCAAAAUUUUUUAAUAGGUUCAAAAUGUGAAUUUGUUUACAUUAAAUUGUUUAUUAUUUUAUGUUCAACACUACUCUCCAUCACAUCUGGCCGGUUUGUGGAACAACUGCUGUUUUUCAAAAGUUUAAGCUAUCAGAGAAUGAUAGUUUUAAUAUUUUAUAUUCAACAACGAUCACUCCGUAGAACUUGAAUUGGAUGAGUGAAUGCUAUACAAUCAGAUCUAAAUUUGAUCCAAAUUGAAGAUAUUAGGUCGAAUUUGGAGCAAAAUGAAUAAUGUUGAGUCUAACUUUCGAUUCGAAUUCAAACUUGCUAAGACAUGAAUUCAAAAGUUCGAAGACCAAAAUUUGAUUGAUAGACUAUUAUUUGAUUCCUUUCGACUAUGGUUCGAUUGGAUUAAUCAACUAUCCCCGAAUCGACCCGUUGAUCAAAAAACUAGCGCUCUUAUUACUUUUAUUGGAAAAAUAUUUUCCAAUAAUAAAUAAUGAAGCCAAGAAAGUAAAUAAGAAUGGAAAAGCAAACCAAGAGAGAAACAGAGAGAAGACAAAAAUGUAUAAAAAAAAGAGAAAAUUUGACGCGAUCCUUCAUAGAUCAUAUUAUUCUGGCAAGCAAAGCUAUUUGACCAGCUACUAUAUAAAUAUAAAUCCUUCAGUUUUUUAAAGGCUCAUAUUUAUUCACUUAUCUCAUCAAUCUUUUUUUCUAAUACUAAAUUCUCAAAAAAAAUUUAAAAUUUAAAAUUUUUAAACAAUUUCCAUUAUGGUGUUCAAUUUGCUUUUUUUUUUUAUUUAAUUUAUUUAGACCUUUACUUGGCCUGUUUAAUUGAUGGGUCAAGUUUAACAUGAUGUCCUUUCAUGUUUUGGAGGGUCACAUUAUCAUAUGUGACAAAAGAGGAAUCUAAAUGUAACCUACUUGUUAAGUUAAAAAGAAAAAAAAAAGAAAAAAAAAAAGCAUGGAGUGUACUUGUUUAACUAUUAUUCUAGGAGGGCUCUUCCAAACUUGAAACCUUAUUGGGGAGUUCCAAGUUUUUGUAAUCUUUGUUUAUGCCCACUAUGUUUUAGUUCACAUCCUCACAAGCUCCACCUAUGCUUUGUUUCCAUAUAGGGCUAAUUAAUGAACUCUUGGUUGGUGCCAAGGGGUGCAUUAAUUGUGACUAUUUAUAUCAUAUAUGUGCUUAUAUUUUUAAGUCUAAAUUAUCCUUUUGGUCUUACUUAUCCUUUUGGUCCUCAAAUUGUGAAGCGUGUGACAUCUUAGUUCUUAAAUUUUAAUUUCUUAUAAUUUUGUAUUCGCAGCUUUUAAAUUAUUAUAAUUAAGUCUCAUAACUCAAUUUAAUUGACUACACACUGAUUCGUCGCUUAAUUGACAGUAACGUAGCAGUGUUAUGAUUGAUAACGUAAUAAUAAUUAAGAUGACACAUCACUACCACUCUCAUAUCAGCCAUAUAUCAGCAUCGAGUUGUCUACUGAGGGGUCGUUUGGUUGCAUGUAGUUGCAAAUGCACUGCAGUUGUAACUGCAUGUAAAUACAAAUACGAUAUAUAUAUAUAUAUAUUUGAUUAAACAGGGACAAAUACGAUAUUUGGUUUGAUAUAUUUAACUCCAACUAAUGCAAUAGGAAUUGCAGGAAGAGGCCCAACUGCAGCAAUUGGAACCAAGCUCAAAUUGACUGUAGUUCUAACUGCAGCAGUUAGAGAAAGUAACUUUAAAUAAAAGAUAAGCUUACAUCCCUAAUUAUUUUUUAAACAAAAAAUAAAAUUUUUUUAUAUUAGAGGUAAUUUCAUCAUCAUAUAUAUAAAAUGAUAAAAUUUUAAAAAUUAUUUCUCAACUACAUGCAAGUAAAUAAAUUAUUUAUAGUUAUAGCGCUUUCUAUUACAUCCAACCAAACAGGAUAUAUAUAGUUAUAAUUGUUGUAUUUUUAAUUGCAUGGUAUGAGCGUUAUAGGAAAGAAUUAAAUAGUAGUUGUAAUGACACACAAAUACAAAUAACUUUAAAAAGUUGAUAGAAAAAUUUAGGUAAUUAAAAUAUUACUUAUUUGGCUUUUUUAUUCAAUAAUUUUGUGAACGUGUUGUUUAGACGGUCGAUCUAAUAAUAAGAAAUAGCUCAAGAAUAGUCUCUCUAUUUCAGAAAUAAUCUUAGCACUUUACCUGACGCAUAUAAGAAGAUCGUGCGAAUCACGCUAUCAGCAUGAACACAAAUAGCAAAUGUAAAUCAAAAUACAAAUUGGCGAUUUUAAACUAUGAAUACCAUUUACUAGGAUUUGUACUCAGGAACCCAGUAGUCUUUAAAAUCAAGUAUUCUCUCCCUCUAUCUUAUCCAAUUAAUAUUCCAUCUCAAUCUCAAAAGGAGAAUCCUUAACCAUGACUCUCCAAAAUUACACACUAGUUAUUAUGAUUGGUUACCUUAUAAUACAUUUUAGAUAAGAGAGGAAUAAUAAUUUAUUAGAAAAACUUCAAAAAAACCCCAUGUGGUUUCACAUUUUUUCAUUUUAGUACCCUGUGAUUUAAAGUGUAUCAAGUUAGUACCCUGUGAUUUCUCACUUUAUCACUUUAGUACUCUGUGGUUUAAAAUGUAUCAAGUUAGUACUUUGUGGUUUUAUUUUUGUAUCAAGUUAGUACCCCGUGGUUUUAUUUUUGUAUCAAGUUAGUACUCCGUGGUUUUUAAACUAUAGGGUACUAAAGUGAUAAAGUGCGAAACCACAGGGUACUAAAGUGAUAAAGUGCGAAAUCACAUGGUACUAACUUGAUAUAUACUUUAAACCACAUGGUACUAAAGUGAAGAAGUAUAAAACCACAUGGUACUAACUUGAUACACUUUAAACCACAUAGUACUAAAAUAAAAAAAAAUGAAACCACAAGGGGGGUAUUUGAAGUUUUUCCUAAUUUAUUUAAAAGAAAAAUUUGAAGCGCAAAAAAGUUAUUUUUAAAAUUUUGUUUUGUAUUGUGAACCAAAUAUCUUGGAUGUAAGAAUUACAAGCAAUCGGCCGGCCACCCCAUUGUACACUAUUUUUAUUUAGGGGAAACUUCAAAAAACCCCCCGUGGCUUCCAACUUUUUCACUUUAAUACCCUAUGGUUUAAAGUGUAUCAAUUUGCCCCCCUGUGGUUUUGUUUUUAUCUUUUCUAUAGCUUUUCUCUUAAUAUUUUGUUAAAUUAUAUACAAAAAAAUAUCAGAUAUCCAUCUAGAUUUACCGAAUAUUUACUUUAGUAUCCUUUAAUUUUAAUUUUGUCACUGAUUUAAGAAAAAAAAUAAUAAAAUUGGUAAAAAAAAGAUAAAAUCAAAACCACAUGGGGCCAAAUUGAUACACUUUAAAUCAUAGAAUACUAAAGUGAGAAAACGCGAAACCACGGGGGGUUAUGAAGUUAUCCCUUUUAUUUAGGAAAUUUUUUUAAAAAGUAUCAAUACUACACGACGCAUAAGACUUUUCAUUUUCACUUUUUGAGAGGUUUUCGCAUCCGUGAUUUGAUAAGAUGUAUAUGUUUCAGUUGCGAGAUAAUAAUCUAUAUUAUUUCAAAAAAAAUAAUUUGAAGACAAUGUGUUAUUUAUUCUUAGAUAGUUAAUCAUAUUUAUCAUCUACCGAAUACCGCAUAUAAUGUAAAUAAAUAAAAAAAUACCAAAUAAAAAUAUUAAUACAUCCUAACAGAUUCUUGAUAACUUAUGUACCCCUAUAAAUUUUUUUUAAUUAUACAGGAACGUGGUAAUCAACUCCUAAUCAUCUCUCUUUGUUUUCUCCCUGGUUCAUACACUACCCAAAUAAAAUAAAAGUAAAUAAAAUUAAAUAAAACAAAUUAAAACAAAACCAAAUACUAUUCUCUCUUGGGGUUUUUGGACUACUAAGCUUCCAAAAUUUUUUAAUUUUAAUUUAUAAAAUUAAGUCUAAUGAAGAAUGAUUUAUCAUAUUUAAAAAAAAAAUGAUGGAUCAUUCAUUGUAUUUUAAAAAAGAUAAAUCGUUUAUCACUUUUAUCAAAUCUAUAUAUUUUUUGUAUCUGAACUUCAAAAUAUGUACAUUAUUGGCUCUAAAAAUAAUUUCAAAUUUUUUCAAAAAAUAAAUAAUUUAUUGCAUUUAGAAAGAGGUUGAUUAAUUCUGCCUAAUUUUUAUAAAUAAUUUUUUUAAAAUUUAUUUUUAUGGUUAUUACAAUUUUUUUUUUUAAGUCUAUUAAUAAAACAAAUUCUCUUCUCUCUCUUUUUUCUCUCUCUCUCUGGUGAUGUGCUUCCCUGGUGUGUGUUGUGUGGUGGAGGCAACAAUGACAAGGGCUAGCUUGUUCUGAGAUUCCAAGAUGCAAAGUUUCUCUCUCUCUCUCUCUCUCUCUCUCUCUCUCUCUCUCUCUCUCUCUCUUUUAGCAUUUGGAGGUGAUGAUCUUUAUGUGUCAUGUCCUUCUCCAACACCACCUUUUUAUUUCUAAUUUGUUAUAUUUGUUGUUGUUGUUGUUGUUAUUAUUAUCAAUUAUUAUGCUUUUUGUAUUCCUUUUUAUUAGUUUUUCCUAACUCUCUGUCAAUAAUUUCACCAGUUUCUGUAAAAAAGUAAAAAAAAAAAAAAGAAAAAAGAAGAAAUUUCACUUUGUACAUUGAAAUAAAGUUUCAAUUUUUAUGGUUUUUCUCUUGGCUUUUAAGAUAUAACCCAUGUUGGUUUUUUUUUUAAUAUAGUUUUGACUUUGAAUCAUGCUCUUUUCUAUUUUGAUCCUGCUAAAAAGGAAACAUUUUUCCCAAUCUGCUGAUUAAAUCCCCCAUUCCUGUAAUUUCUUUCUUAAAAAAUAAUUCAAGUUUCUAAUUUCUUUGAUUUUUUUUUUUUUUUAACAAAAAAUACAUCUUUCAAAGGAUGGCAAAAAGUGGAUUCUUUUGUUCUUAGUUUGACUCAAAAUUAUCUGAUCUUUUUUUCUCUCUUUUUUUCUGCAUAAAUUUCUCAGAUUCUGACACAUAUGGAAAAGGGUCCAAUAUCCAAGCCCCAUGCUCCAUUUGGGCUUUUGUCCUCUUUGCCCUAAUCUUCUUCUUUUACUUUGUCUCCUCCCUCUUCACACCCUCUUCUGUGUUUGGCUGUAGGACCCCACCAGGAAAAGCCCACUCCAGGUUGGUGAAACCCCCAAAGAAGCUCCCUUCUGCAUUCAUAUCUUUUUAUUUCUUCUUUUGUUUCCAUGCAUGUGUUUUAUAUUUCCAUUUUUUUGUAACACAUCACUUGUUUUUAGUGGUUCUAGAGUUGGCCCACUUUGUCACAAAUCUCCUUUUCCUAAUCCAUAUUCACCAAUUCCUUGAUGCUCUAACCCUAUUCAGGAUAAGAGGAAGCUGCUGCUGCUGCUGCUGCUGCUUCUUCUUGAAGUGCUUUUCUAGUGGAAUAAAAUACCCAUUAUUUGUGCCUCUUGUAUAUCAAUCUUGUUCUUUCGCAGUUUCGCCUAAAUAAGAUUGUUCUCCUAUAUCCAUCUUAGGUAUAAAAGGAUGAGUUGAGAUAUAUAGAUGAUGCAUUUUAUUCUUAUCUUGCGCGUUAAGCCGUCGCGGAAUAUGGCGCGCAACUAGUCGCGUAUUCGCCACCCUUUAUCCGCUUUGAAAUAGAUAGUAGUUGUUGUUGUAUGACCACUUGCUCUUCUGAAUUCCUCGUUGUCGCCGUCUCUUCUCUCGUUCGAAGCGUAAUCCGAUUACGUUGCGCCCGUAAAUGAACACCAAGAGGGUCGCGUUCUCUGAUCGCAACUAUGGAUCGUUAAACGAUUCUUCUCAUGGAACUCUCAAUCCUAAGCAUUGUUAUGCUUAUUAUACUCCUCAGCAGUGUAAUCCAAACUCGUUUAGUUCACUGCUGCCUACGACUGGUUCAAACUGCGUUGGAUCGACGCCUGCCGCGUUUUAUGCCGCGGAGCAGCUUUUGGGUAUUCCUCAAUUUGAGUACCAAAUCGGGGAUGUUCCGCCACCCUGUAGAUUGCCGAGGAGAUCUUCGGAAAGUGGUUUGAGUCGGCGUCCUGAUGCGUACUUUUGCAAUAACUCGGUGAAAAAUUAUGAUCACGGUCUUCAUGCAACCAACGAGUUAUUAUCGGUCGUGAAGUUCCCCUUUCAAGAAAGUAGGAAUUCGAGGGCUCUCGGUAAUUUUGAUGGAUUUUUAUGUAGAAGUCGUCCGGAGGAUGAGCUUCAGCCGAUUCUGCACCGACAGGAAGCGAGUCGUAAUACUACUGUAAGUCUUUGUUUUUCUGCUUUUGUGAUCAAGAAAGGAAGCGACUUUUCACGAAUUGCGAAAUCAUCUCACAAUUCUAUUUGUUUGUUUUCGUUUCUCAUGAGAAGGUUGGAUGCAACGCGUCGAGCUCUUUGGCGGAGAAGCCUAACCAACUAGUGACGAACUCAGCGGGUAGUUCUUCGAAUGUUCCGUCGAAUUUGACCGUCCAAAACAAAACGAGGAUUAGGUGGACACAGGACCUCCACGAGCGGUUCGUCGAAUGCGUAAAUCGACUAGGCGGUGCCGAGAGUACGUUAUUUUCGUGUUUCUUUUUGUUACUGAAACUUUUUAAUUUGUCUCUUAUUGUAAAAGGCAAAUACAGUAAGUAACUAUUCUGAUAUAUUAUUCGCUGAUGAUACUCAGAGGCGACACCGAAGGGGAUUUUGAACCUGAUGAAGUACGAAGGUUUAACCAUAUAUCACAUAAAGAGCCAUUUGCAGGUAUAUCUAUUUAUAUAUUUACGGAUUAUUUAAUUUACCCGCUGCAGGUUACUGAAAAUAGAUGUUUAUUUUGCGUUGCAGAAGUACCGCAUUGCGAAGAACAUACCGGAACAGACAGAAGGUAAAUGUUUCUUGAUUCCUUGAAAAUCGCACCGUGUUCGGAAAAUUACUUUUACGGAAUCUUAUAUCUUCCUUUUAAGUCGAAUAAAAUGAAAGAAUAGUAUAGUUGGUGAAUAGACUCGAGGAAUAUGCCUAGUUAUAGUACACUUGGAACUCUCUAGUAUGAUGCUCGUUGGCAACAAUGAAAACCGACCUUUGACGCAGUAGGAAUUUGUGAAUUCAGAAUAAUUCGUAAUUUGGACUCGUGAUAAAAAGGAAUAAUCACUAUACUUUUUCGUGACUUAUGGAGCAUAAAUCAAGGUUUGAAAUAUCGGUCUCAGUAUCGUAGUAUCCGAGCUCCUAGAGUUUCGGUUCCGGCAGUUUCCAGUUCCAGUUUGAAGUGUUGGUUGAAAAGUCUCCUAGCUUUUUGAAAAGAUGAAAAAUAAACAUAUUGAAUUCGAACAAUCACAAUACGAAUGAGUUCACAGAAUUAAAGCGCUAUCAUGUGCUAGUCUUGUGAAGAACGUAGUUGAACCUUUUUGGGGCGUUCGAAAUUGAAAUUUGUCGAUUUUUUCUAUUUGAUUUUAGAUCUCUGAAAUUGAAAUUUAUUACUUCUCGGAAGUUAAUCCAAUUUCAUUCCUUUCCGAUUUUUUUAAAAAUUUUCUGUGGAUGUUGCAGGGAGAAAUGACAGAAGAACUGUCGACGACAUACAACAGCUUGACCCGAAAACGUAAAUCCUGUAGCUAGAAAAGCAAAAUCUAUUUCGAAGCAUCUUUAACAAUCAUGUAUUUGGCGACUAAUCGAAUUACCUUUUAUGUUACUGUUGUUGUGUGUAGUGGCGUCGAUAUCACUGAAGCUUUGCGGAUUCAGUUAGAUGUUCAGAGGCAGCUUCAUGAGCAACUUGAGGUACGGAUUUUCUUUUAUUUCUAACGCGUCUUCACAUAUGUAACUAUCGCUACAACUGUGAAAUCCGAAUUUUCAUAAAAACCAUUAUCUUAAGCUCGGGAAUCAUCCAAUUUGCGUUAAGUCAAUAUUUCUGAUUUUUUUUUUUUGUACCGUUUCAUAUGUCAGGUUCAGCGAGAGCUGCAGCUGAGGAUAGAAGCGCAAGGAAGGAAGCUUCAGCAGAUGUUCGAGCAGCAAAUGAAAACAAGCAGGGACAUCGUCGAGAACCAAAACUACGACAUGCUUUUCCCCGACGAUGCACAAGUAACGCUCGACGACGCUCAAAUAUCGGUUCUCGGCGGCGGCAGUUCUGAGAACAGCGAUUUCAUGUCGAAAAUCGAUUAGGCUUUUGAUGCUUGCGGAAAGUCCACAGUUUACGGAAAAUUAAUGGGCUUUGUGUGCAUAGAAAGUACCAGUUGCUAGCUCUUUUGAUCUUUUCAGGUGUAAUUAUUUAUGUGUCGAGUGCAAUUGAAUUCAAGAUAUGAGAAAGAAUAAUAUCCAUGUUCUGUCAAAACACUUCGGGCCGGUUUAGAUGUCGACGGAGUUACCGCGCCCUGCGAGGGUUUUCUUUUGUGAUUGCAAUUUAGAAGCUUAAUUCUGGUCCAUUGAGGUUCUCGCAAUCUGCAACUAUGAGAUGAUUUAUCAUAUUUUUGUGUUUUACACUGAUGCUGAAAUCUCUGCGCUUCACGUAGUUGUCUUAGUUAUGACUAGGGUCGUCAACAAGUCAAACACGAGCUAGCUUGUUAAAAUAUCGAGCUGAAAAAUUCAGCAUGUGUUUUCGGCUCGUUUAUUAAGGAGCUGAACACGAGUCGGCUCGUGAACAAUAAGUUAGAUUGUCGGUCCUACUACCUGAUAAAAAGUUGAAAGAAAAUUAGAAAUUUAGAAGCUAAAUUUAAUAAUUAAAAUUUACAAAAUAUAUUGGCCUAAAAUUUAAAUAGUAAAAAUUUGUACUAUAUUGAGCUGAACGCGAGUCGAGUUGACCCUAGCUUGUGUUAAGCUCGUUGAGAUUUUGAGUUAAAAAAAUUCGCUCAUUUUUGAGUUUAACAUGAGCUGGUUCACGAGCAAUGAGUUGGAUUGCCGGUAACGACUAAUGUGAAGGUUUUGUUGUCUCAUUUGAGUUUCUGGAGAAGAGCUACACUGUGUGGAAACGUUUGAAAAGUGUUAAAAGUAUUAUUAUGAUCGGAUUUCUGCAAAUCUACUUAAAUGGUUCAUUGUUUUAAUUAAAACAAAUUAAAUUUAGAGAGAUUACACAGUGUGAUUUUAAUAACUCUGCCGACCUGUUGAAUCAGCUGUCAUAUAUGAUUAAAUGCCAAGACCUUUCAAGAAACAGAAAUCAAACUCUAAAUUUUUAAUCACACACACAAAAAAAAAAAUCCCCAACGAGAAAGCCUGGUAAAUCGGGACGCUGAUAUUAAUAGCUCUAAAAUUACUAAUGAUAGAUACAUACAUUGAAUUUAACCAUAACUGAUAAGUGACUAGAUUCAACAAAUAUAUGAUAUAGGCAACGUAAAAAUGUGAUAAGUUUCAAGUUGAAUGUUGACGGUUACAAUUUCCGUCACAGUGCGACAGUUGCGUUCCGCACGUGUCCUUCAACUGUCUCGGCACGUGUCAUGCACGUGCUCGUGGCUGGGAAACGCGUUUCCCGCGUUCUGUAAAUGUCAAUAAAACCACCCCAUUUUUUGUUCGCUUUGGAUUGGAAAAUUUAAAAAAUCAACAAAAAUCGAAAAAAAUUCGAAGAAUAUAUCAUAUCGUUGGCCCUAAUCAUUCAUCGCAAAAGUUCGAACGGUUAGAAAUAUGCAAUCAAUUCACUUAAGGCGUAUAUAUAAAGCGCCUACGGAUCUCGAUUGUGACUCGGCCCACCCAAUCUUACGUCAUUUCGAAUGUGACUCGGCCCAAUCUGGCUUCAUGCCAUUUCAAACGUGACUCGGCUCACUUGGCCUCUCGCCACAGGACAGGAUGCUGGCCAUUUAAGCCAACAAAGUAUUUUCUUUUAAUGACGUGUAUAAGUAUGUGUAAAUAUAUAUAUAUUGUUAUAUUUAUCUAGAAUAUAAAUAUAUAACACAAAGCUACCAAUUAAUACACCAACAACAAUUUAUUAAAAAAUGGACUUCAUAAAACCAAAUUUGAAAAAAGUUAACUAAUAGACUAUAUUAACUAUCUUUGAACAUUCAAAAACCAAGCCAAAAUUUUUGAUUUGAUUCAGUUUGGUUUUCCACAAACUUGAUAAAUCCAAAUUUGGAUUGAGUAUAAAAUUAAUUUUUUCAACUUUUUUAUUUAAAUUAGGCUUAUUUAUAGGUAAGGCAGGCUUAAAUUGAAGGUAUGCUAAAAUAAAAAGAGAAAGAUAGUCGGGGAGGUAAUUGAAGAGGUAAUUUUAUAUAUUUUUUUUGAAGUCUAUAAGGGGACACCAAACGAAUAAAAAGUGGAAUUAUGUGACACUAAAAUUGAAAUAAUGAUCAAAUUAGUUUUUUAAUUGUUUUGUUAUUGUUUUUCUCUUUGGUAUCCUAUAAUUGACAUCUCAUGAGAUUAUUUUUUUCCGAUUUAGUGUCCCACCAUAUAUACAUCACCACCCACGCCAAGCCAAACUAAGCCCAAUGUUCUAUUUAACUUUGACUUGACUAGUGUAAACUAAACUCUUUUAGUUUUAAUUUUGGUUUGGUUAUAUAUAUUAUUAGUUUGACUUGGCUUGGUUGGAGAAUAACAUACACCAAAGACAAACCAAACAGCUAAAAAAACUUGUUCAUCUAUAAAUUCCUAUUAAACAUAUCAAAUAACCCAAAAAAAAANUAUAUAUAUAUAUAUAUAUAUAUAUAUAUAUAUAUAUAGCUAGGCUCCAAUGCUUUUGAAAGUAUGGAAACCUCCGUGUUUGUGAGUUAUUUUCGAUGAUAGAACAUCCAAUUCGAUGAUCGGUUCCGUUAGACAUGAUCUAUGCUAUUGGAGUUAUUUAGGAACCAAACUUUAUAAUUUUUUGACUUUAUUCGCCUAAUGAAUGAAUAGUCUCAAAAUGAACAGCUAAAAAUAAUCUUAUAAAACAUAAUGAUAAAAGGCUUAAAUUUCAACUUAGAAGUAUUGAUCUUUCUAUUGAUGUUAAGUAUAAUUUUUUUAUUAAAGUUUCAUAUUAUUUGGAUUGUUCUGCACCGUUGAACUUAAUAACAUGCCACAUCGACAGUUAAAAUAGUCAUUUUUGAGAUCUUUUGAUCACUUGGUAAAUGAUAUCGAAAAAUUAUGAAACUUAGUUUCUAGAUAGUUCCAAUAGCGUAGAUUAUACCUAAUGGAGCUGAUCGUCGAAUCGGUUGUCCUAUCACUGAAAACAACUUAAAAGCACGGAGACCUCCGUACUUUCAAAAGUACAGGAGACAUAUUAAGCUAUAUUGAGUUAGACGCGAGCGAGCUGACCCGGCUCGUUAAAAUUCGAGCCAAAUAAUUCAGCUCGUUCUCUCAAAAAAAAAAAAAAAAAUUCAGCUCGUUCGGCUCGUUUUAUUUAAACGCAUGAUUGAUCUCGUCGAGUCGAACACGAGAGGGCUCACAAACACCAAAUUGGAUUGCGAGCCCUAUCUCGUGAGAUAGUAUAUUUGUUUACUUUACUACUCUAUGGUUUAAAAGUUAUAUUUAAUUCUCUUUGUGAUUUUACCUUUAUUUCAUUGCGAGCAACUCUUAUUAAACACACAAGAUGCCGUUGCGUGACUGUCAAAAAAUUUUACUUUACAACCCUAUUUCGCGAUAAGUUCUUCCUUCGAAACAAAAUAAAAUCACAAGAUAGUUAAGCAUAAUUUUUUGAACUAUAGGGUGGUAAGUGAAAAAUGGUCUAUACCAAGAGCAAUCCUUGAGAGGCCUAUUCCAGAAGAUCCUAUAAUUGAGGGGGUCUCAUGCGUAUUUACAGCUCGAUAUUUCCCUCUUCUCGCGCAGGUCGUUUCCCAUGCGCCAUUUGGCACAAAACCCCCCCAAUUUCCUUUUUAUUUCUUUUAACUCCAUUUCCAUUUUAAAACCCAUUUUUUUGAGUUUCUCCCCCACUAAUUCUCUCUCUCUCUCUCUCUCUCUCUCUCUCUCUCUCUCUCUCUACACACUCUACUCCUCUAAUUUUUUUUUUAAAAAACAUUUAUUCGACAAAUUUUAGCUCCUAGUGAGUUCUCGAUCCCUUUCUCUUUAUUAAUUCUAUUUUUUUUUCCUUUUUUAAACUACAAAAUCCCCCGAAUUAUUCUUGUGUUUUUCCCCCGUAAUUUUCUAAUUAAUUUCUGUAAUUACUCAGCGCCAUGGGAGCCGCGUUUCCCCAAUUCCUCGCCGUUUCCCUCGCGGGAAACGUCCUCUUCGUCUUCGCCCUCCUCGCCUCGGCGUUGACCGAUCCCCUCGACGGUAAUUUCCUCGAACUCCGGGGUCAAAUCCUUUUACUAAUUAUUAUUAUUUUUUUGUAAUUUUCUUUUCUCACGUCGCCCGUUCGAUCUUGAUCCGACGGAUCUGAUCGACCCCAAUCUUUUUUCCUUUUUUUUUUUUGGUAUUUCAAAUUCUCUAACGGCUACUAACCGCUUCUUCUUCUUCUUCUUCUUCUUCUUCUUCUUCUGCAGUUGCAUCUCUCGAGGGUUUGUACGGAUCGCUCAACACGCCAAUGGCGCUCGCUGGGUGGCGAAUCGGAGGCGGCGAUCCGUGCGGCGGGGAGCCGUGGAUCGGGGUCUCUUGCUCCGGGCCCUCCGUUGUUUCCAUGUAAUCCCCAAAUUUUCCCCAAUUUUUUUCUGUAAUUUUUGACCCAUUUUUCGGUUUGUUUCUUAAAGAUUUGAAAAAGAUGCUAAUUUGGGGUUAUUUUUUGUGCGUGGUUUGAUUCAGAAAUAUUAGUGGGUUGGGAAUCGGUGGGUUCUUGAAUCAACAGCUCUCCAACCUCCUCUCUUUGAAAGAAUUGUGAGUAUAUGUAGUUUCCGACUCUUAAGAUCACAAAUUUUGGUGGGUUAUUGAGGGAUUUAAUUGAUGGUUUUUUGUGGUUUUGAUCAAAGGGAUGUGAGUAAUAAUACCAUUGGUGUUGAGAUUCCGUAUGGUUUGCCCCCUAAUGUGACUCGCAUGUAUGCGCCUCUUAGCUGUUCGAUAUAAUUCCCCUGAGAAAUUUGUCUUGGGUUUUAAAGAUGGGCAUUUGAUGGGGUGUUUGUGGUAUUGAAAAUGUCGGAAAUGUAGAAACUUGGCGGCGAAUAAGUUCGAGGGGAGCAUCCCGCUGUCGUUGUCCUCGCUGAAGUUUCUCAAGCAUUUGUGAGUUUUUGUAGAAUUACAGGUUUAAAUUUUCUAAGAAGAGGUUGAGUUUUUGAAGGGAUUAAUAGUAAUUUUCGAUAUCUUGUAGGAAUUUCAGCUAUAAUAAUCUCCUCGGACCAAUCGGCAAUGCUUUUACGGACAUGCAGAGUCUAGAAACAUUGUAUUAUACUCAAGCUUUAUCCCUCUCCUCCCUCCUCCCCCCCUCUCUCUCUCUCUUAAUAUUUCUCCCAUAUAUCUCUAUGUCUUCUGUUAAAUGUGUUCGAGAAGUAAAUGUUAACAUGUGGUUUCUAUGUAGUUCAAUUUUAUGGUCAGAAAAAAAGGUUAAUUUGCUUUUUGAUCUUUCCUGAUUGCUUAGGUGUGUUUGAUUACUGGUAAAAGUAGGCGAAAAAUUGUAUUGGGGACCAAAAACAGUUUUCAAUCUGUUUGGUUUGUUGUAAAAUUUUUUUCGCAUAGAACAAUUUUACGAAUUUUGGGGAAACGCAAGCUUUUCGUUUUCUGAGUGAAAGCUGCGGAAAACAAAAAGUUGUGCUCACAAAAAAUGCGGUGUAUGAGUCCAUCUGUGGAAAGUUCAUGCGGUCACAAGUGAGCGUGUGCAAUCCGGUGGACGUGUGAGUUGCCCAAGCAGAGGGACAUGCACUAUUUUCAUUAUUAUACAAAUUUAUAUAAAUAUAUAUAGAUGAGAGAGGAAAGGGUGAAAUUAUAUAUAUUUUAUAUUUUUAUUAUAUAGUAUUAUAUAAAUAUUAUUGUAUAUAUAUUAUAUUAUAUACAUCAAUUUAUAUAAUAUAAGUUUUAUAUAUUUAAUUUACAAAUAUAAGUUAUUAUAAUAAUAUAUGUAGUAUAAUAAUUAUUAUAUAUCAAUAAUAUAUAAUAUAUAAAAUAAGAGAAAAUACAUAUAAUAGUUUUUAAUUUAUCUUUUCAUUUCUUUUCCUUUCAAGUUUCAACCAAACGACCGUGACGGAAAACUAUUUUUUUUUUCCUACAAACCAAACACUAAAGUACGUAAAAUUGAUUUUCCUCCGAAAUUUUUUUUUCCACCGAAAAUUAUUUUUCACAGUUUUACGUUGAACCAAACAGCCCCUUAGUGAUUUUGUUGUUUUCCUGUUCCUAGCCAUUUUGUCUCUUGACAUGGAUGUUGGAAUUUCAGGGACUUGUCAUUCAAUCACUUCACUGGCGAUCUGCCGACCUCAUUUGGCUCGUUGACGCAUCUUCAUUCUCUGUAUGCAUAAAUAACCUGCAUUUUUUUGAUGAAUGUGAAUAUAAUAACCUGCAUUUUUUUGAUGAAUGUGAAUAUAAGAGUCUUACAAUGUUUUGCUUCUAACCUCUUUUGUUUUUGCAGUUAUCUACAAGGCAAUGAAUUCACUGGCUCUGUGAUUCUACUAGCAAAUCUACCACUAUCCAUUCUGUAAGCAACAUGUACUAAACAGUGGAAUCUUUCUCUCAUUAAUGUAUAUUCGUGCUAAUAAAUUUUGUGUUUUUGUUUCCUCCAGUAACCUUGAAAAUAAUCACUUCAGUGGUUAUAUCCCAAAGCAGCUUGAGUUCACUCCUCAACUGAGGUAUCUCUUUUUAUUUCUUUGUAUUAUACUUCUUUUUUUUUUUUCUUUCAUUAAAGCUUUACAAUUUUAUACUUAAUCUUGUUCUCUUUUUUGACUAUUCAGGAUCGACGGAAACCUCUUUCAACAGAGUAUUAAUGGGAGCACUCACUCCCCUUUAUCAUCGACAGACAAUAAUGUCAGCCACAGCCCUAGGGUUUCUCAAGUUUCUUUCAGCUAUCCUUCUAAGACUGUCCAUAACAAGCACCGGAAGAAGGUCGGAAUAGCUGUCAUGGUCGGUGUCGUGGGCAGUUUAUUUGUGAUUGCUGUAAUUUCUGCUAUCGUCUUCAUCAUUAACGCUCGCAGAUAUCAUAAAAACAACCCCUAUUGGUCUAAGAGCAGCAGCGAGUCUCUGUGCUCUCUUCCAAUUACAGCACCAGCAGGUAAUGCAAAUCUGAAGAACAUAUACGAUGUAGAUAGUAAUGUCUCAUGUUAGAAACUUUUCUUAUUUCUUCCCAAUGCGUGCUAUCAUUCUUAGAGAGCUCCAAAUAGUUGGCUUAGCUAUUGUUAUUUUGUUUGCUGUUGUUCAUAUUUUAUCUAUAAAGUUCUACAACUUCCAUGGAGUAGGAAAUAUCCCAGCGAUCUCCAAAAGAUCUCCAUUUUAAUGUUUCUGGCUAGUGCAAGUACUUUAGUGAAUAUAUAAUGCUCAUCUUUGGCUUCGUUUGCUGUAUGAAUUUUGUCAUGUCAUACUGCUUGUUUAUCUUAUCCUAACUCGGAAGUCACGUUCAGAAGUUGGACAUUUGUAUAUAUGCUCUCAUAAAAUCAUCUAUUGACAUACAUUUCCCGCAAAAUUUAUUAAUUGUAAUGACCACUUGUACAGUUGUACUUUACAAGAUAAGGAUAUUUUUAUAACAAAUAUGAAAAAUUCAGAUUUGAUAGGCAGUAUAUAUGUUUGCGGACAUGUGUUUAAGCAUCUCUUUUGUAAAAUAGGAAUCAGCUGUCCAUGAUUUAGAAGUUUGAUAAAUCACCAAAAUUUUCAUGACAAUUUUGUUCACUUCUUACAUGAACACUCAAGAAGUUGUGCUUCUACAUUUCAGAACCGAGAAUACACUUCGAAGAAUGCAUCUGGGAUGCUCCUUCAAUGACUGGUGUGCAGCCUCCUCCCUUGCUUCAUCAGAUAAAAUCCGAAAAGAUCUCCACAAGAAGAAGUUCCGUUAAGAGAUCGAAAAACCUGGUAACUGCGAAGCUGUACUCAGCUUCGGAAAUUUUAGCAGCUACGAAGAAUUACUGCUCAGAGGGCCUUAUCGGCAAGGGCUUGAUAGGUCGAGUUUACCGAGCUGAAUUUCCGGAUGGCCAGGUAUAAAUUUUUGCCCUUUCUCAAUCUCUUGGGGAAAGCUAAAUGGCCCUUUCAUGGACUCUCUCUUGAUUCUUUUUCCUUUUUGGUUUCUUUAAUUUCAACUGAACCGCUCAAAAGUUUGCAAUAUAACAAAGUGUUAGAUGUACCCCCUUAAAAGUUUGCAAUAAAACAAAUGCCACCCUAAAGUGCAUAUUCUUUAACAAUUCGCUUUAUAGAGGGUGGUUUUUAUGCAAUUUCAUACGCACAGUUUUAAGGGCAUUAUGAUGUUGACAAGGACAAUUUUCAGUAUUUCCGAUAUAUCUCGUGGGAAAAUAUGAUAUUUUCAACUUUUGAGGAGUACCAUAUCAUUUAUACCAUGCUUAUGUUCUAUUUAUGGUUUCCAAUGAAGUGAUUAAUACGGUGAUGUUAUACCUGAUUUGAUUCAUGGGUUUUAUCUUGAGCUUUCUCUCAGAUAUUGGCUGUCAAGAAGAUAGACAUGAUAGAGCUAACUUUAUACGAAGAAGACGAGUUUCUGGAUGUGAUCUGGAGUAUCUCACGUUUAAAGCAUCGGCACAUCUCUACACUUUUAGGCUAUUGCGUGGAGCAAGGACAACACGUUCUUGUGUAUGAAUAUGCCAAAAAUGGGUCUCUUGAUGAUGUUUUAUUUUCUCCCAUCAGUAAAUGCAAGGACCUUUCAUGGAAAGCCCGCCUGAGGAUCGCUCUUGGUGUUGCCUAUGCUCUUGAGUAUGUACAGAUUUUCCUCAGCUUGCAGGGUUCCUUUCUUAAUUUUCGCACCUUCGUCUCAUGGGUUUCAUCCAUUAAAAGAAAUAGGAUAACACGAACAAACAAUCUCUUCAUUGUCGUGAAAUUGAGACUCAGUCCCUUAACUUGUCACUAGCGUAAUUAGCCCCUGGUUACCAACAGCAUUCAUGCAAUGUAAUGAAUGUUGAAUGGCAAACAGUGGCAGGGAUGCAAUUGCAAAAUUAAUGAAAACUGCAGUGACUAACUUAUGCACAUAGAAUUUAGGGACCGAAUUGCCGUAUCAUGAAAAGAUUCAGGGACUCUCCUCUCCUCAUAUCUAACCCUAAGAAUACAUAUGCAAAUCUGACACUUUCAUCUGCCACAUAUUUGCACUCUUGGAUGCAUAAUAUAUGAGAAUGAUCUAAAAUAUUUAUUGCCAUUCUCUGAGAAACCGGUUUUUCUUCUAAAAUGGAAUCUUUUAUCAAAUUAUUGCAGAAAGAACAUUUAUUUGAGCAAGGAAAAGAGAUGCAUAUCAUGUUCUAGCUCUGUUUUUGAUAUGAUCCAUUUAUUCUUUUUAUUUUAAUACAGAUUUAUGCAUUGCAUAUGCUCCCCUCCGGUUGCCCAUGGAAAUGUUAAAGCGACCAAUAUAUUGCUGGACGACAAGCUUAUGCCGCAUAUUAGUGACUGUGGACUUACUGUGUUAACUCAUCUCGUUAGCGCUAAACAAAAGGUAAAUAAAUAGCAAGACGCUAAUUAUUACAUGAAUGUUCAAAAUAUAUGUGGAGUUUCCAACAUUUCAAUUAUGGUAUGGGUUUUAUGAACUGGUGAUUUGUUGGUCGUAUAAGUUUCUAUGAACUUAGUAAAAUUUCGUUUUUUUGAUAAUUUACCUUCGUUGACAUUUUGCGGGUGUAACACUGAAUUAAUCUUCUUAACUACCUGCAUGCAAAUCAAGGUGGUUGUAAUAUGGAAAGCAAUAACAAACAAGGUGGCUUCUGUUGUGCUAAAUCCAGCAUAUACUGAUUCAGAUAGCAUUUACUAAAAAGAAACAGCAAAUGUCGCUUACCGUAGUUCUCGUUGAUAAGCUAACUGUGUAUUUCUGUCUUGGCUGAAACAGGCAGCUGGAAAGCUUGUUGGUUCAAAAGGCUAUGCCGCGCCGGAGAUCGCUACUCCUGGAGUAGAUAAGAAAAAGAGUGAUGUUUACAGCUUUGGAGUAGUUCUGCUUGAGCUACUAACAGGCAGAAGAGCUUUUGACAGGCAGGCUGCAUCGAUCACGCUUCGUCGAUCAUAUAUGCUCGUUUUUGUUCUUUUCCUCUUUCUGAUAGCUUCUUGUUCUCCGUAUCUAAUCGAACUGAUUGUGUAACAGUUCAAGGGAGGAGGAGCAGCAGUUUUUGGUUAACUGGGCAUCUUUGCAUCUCCACGACCUCAGCUCGUUGGAAGGAAUAACCGACCCCCAAAUCCGAGGCAACAUUCCUUUGAGAGCCCUCUCCCGCUUUGCCGACAUCAUCUCACUUUGUAUUCAGGUAAUUCCAUUUUGAAACUUGUGACUAGCUAUAUUCUUUUUGGUUGUUUUGUGUGGGAUAGAAUAGAACCUCAUAAUAAGGGGGAAUUGGGUCACCAAUUUUGAGGCUGAAGAGGAGAAUAGGAGCGACAAAGAUGAUAGGGGUGUCUAACUUAGCGUAGGAAUCUACUGUAUAUACUAUUAGUUUCCAUUUGUUGGUUGGAGCUAAGGGCCUAAAAUCUAAGUUUAUGUUAGCUUAAUUGAAUCAAAGAUCUAAGUUUUCUUAUUGGCACUGAUAAGCAUGAAUUAAUAAACUUAAUUUGCAUUCUCAUAAUUUUAGUUUAGAGAUGACCACGGUUACCCUAUACUCUCUUCUUCAAGAAAGUAUGAUUUCCACAUGGCGUAACACGAGAAAAGGAUUGUUACAUGCUAUUGGGUCCAAACUACAUGCUAAGUAUAGUUAUCAUGUGCGAAAUAGUUCAAUCGCUAAUGCAAUGAAAGAAUAAAAACUGUUCGAUCCAAACCCACAGGCUUAAGCUUUUGCGGGUUUAAGUAGAUGUAUCAAAUUCUGCUUGAAGCAGUAUUUAGCUCACCUUUUCUCUCUUCAACAUCACAUUGUUAGGUAGAGACCUUUUACUUGCUCUAAUCACUGCGUAUUUUCGUUGCUGUGCCCUCCUAGAUUUUUAGUUGCUUUAAAUAAGAAUCUGGCAAUUGCAGCCGCUGCCCGAAUUCCGGUUGUCGAUAUCUGAGGUAACGGAAAGGCUGGUCCGUCUGGUUCGGAAGAUGGGUCAACACGACAGGCCGAGCACUGCGGACCAUUCCGACCCCGACGUUUCCAACUUCUCCUUCCGAACGACCCUCCCUUACUUUGACCCCUCGACUUCUCCUUCAUCUGCUUGAUGCUCUGCUCUUUCCGACUCAGAAAGCAGCAGUGAAACUGUACGACUGACGGAGUCAGACACCAAGAAUAGGUUUUUUCUGAGAAUCUCAUAGUAUGUUUCUCAUUCCAGUAAUGUUCAUAUCAUUCGGUUAGCUGUAAAUAUGGUGUAGAUUGCAACUUCGAGAUCUAGCACCUUGACCUUUCUUCUUUUUUUUAAUCUUUUUAUGCUACUCUUGUCGCGCCAAAACUCGUGAAAUCAACUGAAUUGAGAUUCGAGUUCGAUAUCUACCGUUUAUCACUGUUUUGGUAUUCGAGCACUGCACGUGAUGAACAAUGAAUUCGACCUUCAAAUAGGUAUUUUCUUCUCAUUUUGAUCUUAUUGAGAAAAUAUAUAUAAUAUAUAUCUUCCCCUCCUCCAUUAGCAUAAUUGUAGUAAUCCUUUUCUUUUAAUACGCGGUUAUUUCAUCAGUUUAAGAUUUAUACCUUAAAUUGUAUGCGUAAUGGAAGGUUUUUUUUUAUCGACUAACUCGCAAAUGUUCUUUUAUUUACUCAUCUAGUGUGAUAGCUCGACCAUUAAUUAAUACAUGCGCUAAAACAUUAAUUGGGUGCAUGAUUUGUUUGUUAUUUUUUGUUCAAAUGGUGAUGCUAUUUGGAACACCCAUCCCUGUCACUCCUGGUUUUGAGAAAGGCUUCAAGAGCUCAUACGGCACUAUUCCCACGCCGCACCUGUUCUUUAGCUUCGGAUCGGCGUUUCGCGCGUCGAUUAUCCCCUCGAUCUCCCUCAUCCUGCCGUUGAACCUCUCGAACGCUGCAUUCACCACCGCGUCGGCCGUCCAGGCCGGCUCUGGCUCCUGCCCGAGGUACUCCUCGUCCGGCGAGUGCGUCGACAGCACGUCCAGUACGGUCAUCAUGGCUGUCGCCUGGAUCUGCGAUGGGAAGCACUCCAGCAGUGCUGCCUCUGGUUUUCUCCAGAACCGCACGAAGUCCUCGAGGCUCGUGUCCUCGAUCGGCAUUUCCUUUCGCGUGAUGGUUGGCCGGUUGGGGAAGUAUCCGCUGAAGUGGUAUAGCCCGAAGUUGACAGCGGCAUGGUGGCCCGAGGUCACCCAGAUUAUGGUUGUGAGGACUUGGGUCAGUUCUGACGGCGACGCCACCGUCGGCCACCACGGCUCGUCCUUCUUGUCGGCGUGGCCCUUCGUUCGCACAUCCUCCCACCAGGCUUGGAGCUCGUGGUCCGCCAUCACGUCGGACGCCGUCGGGUAGUAGCGGUUGACGUAAUCGCCGACCCACUGUUGGAUUGAAGACCAUAUCAAUAGGCCAUCGUUCGCAAACGGGUAGUCUUUUAUCGUUAGCCUUAGGCCAUGCUCCGCCGUCGGAUCUUCCACUGCCAUUCCCCUGCAAAUUCAUUCAAGAACGCCAGUAUUAAGUUUUCGGAGAACAACGGCUGUCUAAUUCAUCGUCUUUGACCAUCAUAUAUACCUUCGGAUUAGGUCGGCCGGCAGGGCCUCCAUGUCGAACCGCCAAAGCUGGCCAUAGGCGAUCGCGCUAAACUCGAUGGAGUACUUCCCCAAGCUGAAGCAGGUUUCCAUGAUGCUGCCGGCGCUGAUGAGGGAUUGCCGCGCCAUUGCGUUGAUCUCCAUUGUGUACCGGAAGUGCGGGUGCAGCAGGCGGUAGAUCGGGUGCAUCGCGCUUAGCUGUCGGUUCGCCGCGAUUAUAUACGGCUCUGUGCAGCAGUGAGUUCUUAGCCUAUACAAAGAUCAUGAAGCAAAGAGACUACUUGAGUAUAUAUAUCAAAUGGUAUCAGAGCAGGAAGUCUCUAGUUUGAAUCUUUCUCGAUCAGAUCCUAUCUCAUUUAGUUUUUGCAAAUGUACGGGGCUCAAGAGAGAGAAAGAGAGAGAAAGAGACCAGUGGAUGACAAACUGGUGGUAGCAGGCAUCGGUGGCGCAGACGUGUACUUUGGCAAGCCUCCAAAGCCACGCACCCGUGGCGUCCCAGCAGCGGGUGAAGACUUGCCGCCAUUGAGGCUUUGUAUGGGAGGCUGGGCGGGUGAGUUCGAUGGCGAUCGGCAUCAACGCCUCAUCACUGGUGAGAAAGAAGACAGUGCGGGAGGCAUACAAAGUCAUGUCUUCCAGCUCGCGCACCUUAUGCACAUAUGGUAGUACCUGGUCGUGGUAGUCCAGUAUGAACAACCUCUUUUUCUUAAGGGCCUAAUAGAAAAUUCGUAGCAUUAAUUAAUAGAGAAAAAUCUAUUUUUACAGAGUAAAUGCAUUAAAUCUAAUCAUAUUGUUAAUAUAACUUCAGUAGUAAUUAAAUCGUCGACUAUUAAGGAAAAGUGCUUGUGCAAGAAUUAGAUUUAAUCACUACCUCCUCGACAGUCAUAACACCCAAAAUUUCUCUCUCUAUAAGUUUUGCAGUGAUAGCAGAUUCUGCUGGACCAUAAACCUCCGGAUCAAGUUUGCUGACAAAAGGAAACUCCUGCGUGAUUGUUAAAAUCGAUCAAUAUUAAUCAUCCAAUACAAAAAAAAAAAAAACUUACUCAAGAAAUUAGAAAAAUGUAUUAAGUGUAAUAUUUUCCACAUACUGUGACAAGUUGAAUACUAAAUGGAUUGACUCCUGCUAGAAUUUGCCUUGAGAACUCUUCAUCUCUGAGCCAUGCAAACUUGUCUCCUGCAGCAUUAAUGGUUGCGCAAGUUACUGGGUUGGUUAAAAAAAAAGAAGAAAAUUUAUGCGCAGGUGCUAUAAAUGGUCGUGCGUAGAAUUUAGUUGUAAGAUAAAGCAAUUACGAUCGAUCAUCUCUGGGGUCUCAAAGUGAAGAACAUUGUCGGUGCUGUCCUCGAGGGUCUUGAUGAUCCGCGGUAUUAUGGUGCGGAAGAAGCUAAGACCCUCUUGCUUAGGGAGUUUGACACCCUCAUUGAACAGUGAAUCGAUGGCUGUGAAGUAGGGGAAACUGAGCUUCGUGUCGUUGAUAGCCGUCUUGAUCGACGGGACCACUACAUUGAGUACAGAUCUAAAGGCCGUCCCCGAGAAUGUCAAUCCUUUAACCUCGGAGAAGGAUUCAUCCCUCGGGAUGUAUAUGCUGCUGCUUCGUUCUUCAGAAAGUGGGUCUGCAAGAAAAGGCAAAUAGCUGAGAUAUCGUACCCUAGGAUGUUUAUGUACACAAAUAGCUAUGUUAGCUAUGUAGUAUUUUGCAUUUACGACAUUCAUAUUUGAUCUAUCUAUCGCAUAUAUACCUUUCUUGGUUCUCGGGCGACCGGUGCGGCAUCGACGCGGAUAAGGGAACUCUUUGCUUCCGCCAAGGACGGGCCUCGCCAGAUCCUCGCUUUUGUCAGGAUCGCCGAGAUCAUUGUAUGUGUCGUAGUCGUAUAUCCUCUCGAAUGGCUUCCGUUCCCCUGUGCCAUCCCCUCGUAUGUUCGCCAGCUCUUUCUUUCUGAACCUCUCGAGCCCUGAUGGGGUUUGAGAAGGCAAGUAGGACUGCAUGCAUGCAAUAAGAGAAAGAGUUAGGGAGGGGGAGAGAGGGAUGUUCACUUUGAUAGUAAAUAAUUGUCAAAUUUAAAGAAGUUUGAGAAACAAAGUAAAUUGAACUUAGAGAGGAGAGAGAGGGGGGAAGAGAAAAGGAUAGUUGUUCACCUUGCUAGUAAAGAAUUGUCAACCUAAAAGUUAAAGAAAGUAAACUGAAUUGAGAGAGAGAGAGAGAAAGAAAGAGAUGUUCACCUUGCUAGAAAAGAGUUGUCAAACUUAAAUGUUCGAGAAACAAAGUAAACUGAAUUAAGAGAGAGAGAGAGAGAGAGAGAGAGAGAUGUUCACCUAAAGAACUAACAAAUUUAAAAGUUCGAGAAGCAAAAUAAUUUAAAUUGUGUGUGAGAGAGGGAGUCAUUCACUUUGCUAGUAAAGAAUUGUCAAACUUAAAAGUUCGAGGAACAAAAUAAUCUGAACUGAGAGAGAGAGAGAGAGAGAGAGAGAGAGAGAGAGAGUUGUUCACCUUGCUAGUAUAAAACGUCAAACUUAAAAGUUGGAGAAAUGAAGUAAACUGAAUUAAUUAAAUAGAGAGAUGCUAACCUUGCUAGUAAAGAAGACCCUUUUCUCAGGGUUAUCGAAUUUGGAGUGCACCCACGAUCUACAAUCGAUGGUGAGGGAGGUGGCAUUGUCGCCCGCAGGGGUGAGCACGAUGUUGUGGAGAUACAUCUCCUUGAGGUGCUCGUUCUCUACCACCACCGCGCCUACUUCUCCGAACGUCGAAGGGACUGAGAACUCGCCUUCGUACUUGACUUUGUCGCAAUGCUUGCUUGCUUUGUUAGUGUAGCCCGCUAUGGUCUCCUUCUCCAAUCCUGUUCCUGUUAAGUGAAACACGAUUAAUACUGUAAGGUAUUGGCUUUCCGAAGUGUCAUACCAACUUUGGUCAAAGUGAUCAAUGCAUGGUGAAGGGAGCGACUGGACAUAGUUCAUAUAUUGUCCUGAGGGCUUCGGAGUCAUUAGAAGUGACAUCGGAUGGUGUUUGAGUGUUUUUAGCAUUAUCCGGUGCUAAAACGGACUCAAGCAAUUAAAAAGCUGCAGAACUUGUGUUGGGUACAGGUACUGGAACUUGGUACCGGAACCCCAUGCAAGUUCAAAAAUGCUAGCUCUCGGUUUAAGAUACUGGGCCUGGGGUACCGAUACUGGAAGGUCAUGUAUCGGUGCUCUAUUGAAAGCUCAAAUAACCAAUGUUCGGGUUGAGGCACCUGGUUGGUGGUACCGGUACUAGAAGGUCGUGUACCGGUACUGGAGGCCGCGUACUGGUACUCUAUUAUAAACCCGAAAAUCCAACGUUCGGGUUGAGGUACCCGGUUGGGGGUACCGGUACUGGAGGACCCGAGUACUGAUACUCAAUUUCGAGUAUCGGUACUUAAUGCCGCGAGAUGCAAAAGCUGAACUGCCGCAAAUAGUAAUUCUUGGAGGGCUUAAGUGCAAUUGUGGGAACUUAUAAAAGGCCCCCAACUCCUCUCUUGUUCUCAUGCUGAGAACACUUCUCUCCCUCUCUUGAUUCUUCUUCCUCUCAUUCUCUCUCUAGAACCUCUCCAACAAGGUGGAUUUGGAGGAGUUUUGAAGGAUUGGAGCUCUUGAGGAGUGGAAGAAGCUCUAGAACAAGGUGGAGCUUGAGGUGUAGGAGAGGCCAAGGUAAGGUUUUGGCAAGUUUAAGUUAGGGCUUUUGUAACCCUAAGAUUCAUGUCCUUGGGAUUCUUGUAACUUAGAGACCUAGAAUAAUCCAUGAAUCCCCAUGGUAUUUAGUGUAUGACCAUUGUUUGUGAACCCUAGGGUUAUAAUUAGGAUUUUUGUGGUUAUGAGGUUUAUAAUGAAAUUAACCCCUUAGUUCCUUAAUUGAAGGGUAAAUCGACGUGUUGGGCAGCUUGAAUCGAAGUUCCUACGAGCCUACGACGUUCCAUUGAAAAAAAACAUCGAUUUGCCUUCGUUACCCUUGGGUCGAGUCAAAACGGUGUCGAUAAAUCGCGGGACUAGGUUUCUCGCCUUUUAGCAUCGAUAUAAGAUGGGUGGUACUAUCCGAAAUUGUUGAAUUUCUUCCUAUAUCUAUGUUAUUAUUGUUGGCCAUAUAUGUACAUGUAUAGAACUCAUGCAUUAUAGUGUUAGUAUGUUUUGGUGUAUUCAAUUCCUUGCAUGCUCUUAUGGUAAAAUUACAAAACAUGAAAUGGAAACCUAAAUGUUAGACGCAUAAGGAUUGGGUCAUGAACAUUGGAAACUCUAUAGUGCCAUGAGUCCAGUGUGAACUUAGACAACAUAGUGACGUGGAAUUGUGGCAUUUGGACUAGUGAUGAUGAUAACACUCAGACAUUAGAUGUUAGGGAUGGAUAGAUCCCUGAGUAUUGUUGCCCCUAGUUGGUAGGGUACUCUCAAGUUUAGAGGGUUAGAUUGUACUCACAUAGCGUCUGUCGGCUUGUUGGUGGUCGCUCUACCUCAAGCAGUGAGCUCCGAAGUAGUCACACUUGGGUUAACGUAGCUAUCCAGCAGACGGUCCUCGAUAGGUGUAGCGAGCGUCUCCGCAUCUAUGGGAUUGGUUAUGAGUUGGACUCAACCUUCGGGUUAGCCGGUAUGAUUGGGUUAUAAAGAUAUGAAUGACGUGCAUCAUGACUAUAAUGGUUUCUUUGCUCAUUAUAUCAUAUUGUUGAGGCAUAGUAGGAUGUUAGUACUCAUUACUUUUGCUCUCCUUUUCUACUUAUGCCUACUUAGACCUAGUGGAAAAGUCGGUGGGGUCGGCGGUCGAAUCCAUUGGAAACUUUUAGUUCUUACCCCAUUGUUUUGCAGAUCCCGGUCCUAGCGGAGCGGCCAAGGAUCGUGGCAAGGGCAUAGCGCCCUAGGUAGUGGCCCCUCCCUCCAUGCAUCAGAAUACCAUAUAUAUAUAUAUAAUUAGGCUGGAAUACUAUGAGUAGUAAAAUGCUCUUUUUGCUAUCAAGUUUUUAACCCUUGGAUGAAAAAUUGUAGGGUCAGGAUGAGAGUGGUCCCCCUAGGGUUGAGUGGUCCCCACUGGGUUAUAGUAUUUAAUCCAAUGGUUAGAAAUGAUGAAAAGAGUUGAUCCAAUGGCUAAAAAACUGGUAGCAACAAUGAAAUUUUGCUACUAAUAGUAGCCCAGUCCAACUCAUAUAUAUAUAUAUAUAUAUAUAUAUAUAUAUAUAUAUAUAUAUAUAUAUAUAUAUAUAUAUAUAUAUAUAUAUAUAUAUAUGAGUGACAUGUUGUAGUUUGGAACUUGCAGUGAGAUGAAAACCAUAUAUGUAAUAUGAACCAAUGGUUGUAUUUUGGUGAGUUGUAAAUUGUUAAACAAAUGAAUGGUUGUAAUAGCUAAGUUAAUCUUCUCUCUUGCUCUUGUAUAUUGCCCUCGCGCAAGUCAUGUAUGUUAUUUAUUUUUUCCUGGGCAAAACUCGAUGUUGUUGAGUCUUGGGCGGGCAGGGGAGACUUUGUCCGUUCGGCGGUUUGUGUGCGUUCCCGAACCGACCAAAUUGGCGGUUGCGGUGCGUGACAGAAUCAGAGUGGUAUCAGAGCAUGGAAAGAAGAGAAGACUAGGAAGGACCUAGGAGAUCUUAGGAUGGUAACCAUAAGGAUAUAGGUACCCGAGUGAUGUUGAUUAAUGACUAAUGGCGGAAGUUAAGAUGAUUGGGUCUAGUUGCUAGUAUGUCUAUGAUAACUAUUGGGAACGGAUUCAAGUGUUAUUCACUCUCAAUUCAAGGAGGUUAUGUUUGCGGCCGACGACAUAAUGUCUGAGGGUGGGAAUGAAUAUGCUCGUAAACUUUCACCUAAUUUGGUUAUGGGUGGUUUAGUUUUGAGCUGUGUGGAGUUCGUGGGUUAAAGUGAUUAACCAAAUUGUUGCAUUUCAGGAGACAAUGGCGUUGGCGAAACGUCCUGAGACGAGAUCCGCUUUGGCACCGCCUUCUGAAGUGCUUGAGCAUUCUGGGUUUGACGAGGUCCAGGAAUUGCAGGCGCAGGUGGCUGCACUGAUCGGUAUGGUGCACCGACAGGAGGAGCAGAUUGGAAGGGUUCAAGGGGUGGUGGCGCGAUAGGCGGUAGUGACGGCACCUGAGAGCCGGGAACCUCCCGCACCCUCGGCACGCGCCCCUAAUGCUGCUGAGGGUGUAGAUAUCAUUGCAGCACCAUUAACGACUCACCCCGCACCGGCGAGCAUUCCCCCGACGGCGUCUAGCUCCUCGGUACCUUAUUUAGCGGCGGAGGAGGCUGAGAGAGAGCGAGGACUUGCGGCCCUCACGACCUUUAAGAGGUUCAACCCUCCUACCUUCGACGGAGAGGUGAUGGAUCCUUGGAUUGUAGAGUCUUGGAUCGCCACGAUGGAGACUCUAUUCAAGGAUAUUUAUACUUUGGAGCGGGAUAAGGUGCAUUUGGCUGCUCAUUGCUUCGAGAAGUCGGCCCGAGUUUGGAGGAGGGGAGUGAAGAAGAAUCGAUCCCCAAACCUUCCUCCGGUCACUUGGGAGGAGUUCCGGAGAUUGUUAUUCACCGAGUACUUCCCCGAUAGCAAUAAAAGAAAAAUAAAAUAGAAUUUUCGAAAGCUGAGGCAAGGGAAUCACUUAGUAAAGGAAUAUGAGCGGGAGUUCUCGCAUAUCGUGAAUUGCAUCUCGGCCGUGGUUCAGGGCUACCAGGACAAAGCGGAGUGCUUCGAGCGAGGACUUCGGCUCGAGAUCUUUAAGGUGGUUCACUCCUUCAGGCUUCGGACCUUCGUUGAGGUUUUGGAUCGGGCCCUUUAGGUAAGAGUAUGGAAAUGUGUUUGCGCGGUCAGAGCGCGAGAUGUUCGAAAAGGACAAGGAAAAGAAAUGAGCUAUCAGUAGCUCCAGGGGACAAUCGAGUUCCAAGGAGACCCCAAAGUACCCGCCAGCACAGCCGAAAGGGCGGACCUCCUCGGUGUGUCAUUUGUUGCGGAGAACACCGACCGAUAAAUUAUGAGCAGCAUGAGGGGAGGUGUUUUAGAUGUGGCCAGGUAGGACAUAUGAGCCGUCAGUGCCCGGGAGGAUCAUCGCUUGCCCCGUCUACUAUUUCGGUUCAGUCGGCCCCUUGACAGUUCAUUGGAGCUUCGCCCGCUGCUGUAUCUGCUGGACGUGCUAUGGUACCGCGUCAAUCUAAGGGAUCCCGACCGGCGCCUAGUGGUCGUGUAUUCGCCGCUCAAGUGGAGGAACCUGCUAUGGUUAACGACGUCGUGGCAGGUAUUGUGUUAAUAAAUGGAAUCAGAACUAGAGCUUUAUUUGACACGGGCGUGUUGCAUUCAUUCAUUAGCCAAUCAUUUGCUAGUGUGCAUGGCAUAGAGGUUAAAGUGAGUGAGGAUGCUUGGUGGGUUGACGCUUCUGAGCACACGUUUAGUGUUAAGGAGGAGUGUUUGGCUUGUCCAGUGCAAGUGGGCGACUGGAUUAUGCCGGCACACUUGCUCGUGUUGAAAUAGUUGAAAGGGUUUGACUUGACAUUGGGUAUGGAUUGGCUUUCGAAGUACUAUGUGACCAUUGAUUGUGAUAGUAAGGUGAUAACCUUUCGUGAGCCUGGACAGGAGAAGUUCACCUAUCGUGGAUAUAGGAUUUCGCUCUUUGUCAUGACGGUGAUGACGUUGUGAGCAAGAAAGUUGACUAAUAGUGGUUGUGUGGCUAAUUUAGCAACUGUGGUGGAGACUCAUAAGGAGACUCUAGUACUCGACGAUAUUCCGGUGGUCAGAGAGUUUCUGGAUGUGUUUUCCGCAAAGUUGCCAGGAAUACCAAAUUACCGGGAGAUCGAGUUCGUGAUAAACUUGGUUCCCGAGGCUGCACCUGUUUCGAAAGCUUCGUAUAGGAUGGCACCGCCCGAGUUAAAGGAGUUGAGGGCUCAGGUGCAAGAUCUCCUUGACAAGGAAUUCAUCAAGCCAAGUGUAUCGUCAUGGGGAGCCCCGAUGCUAUUUGUAAAGAAGAAGGACGGGUCGCUCCGGCUGUGUGUGGAUUAUCGUGAGCUGAAUAAGGUCACGAUAAAAAAUAAAUACCCGUUGCCUCGCAUCGACGACUUGUUUGAUCAGUUGCAAGGGUCUCGGGUGUAUUCGAAAAUUGAUCUUCAGUCAGGAUAUUAUCAAUUGAGGAUCAAGCCGGAGGAUGUUCACAAGACCGCGUUCCGUACGCGAUAUAGACAUUAUGAAUUCACGGUUAUGCCGUUUUGGUUCACAAAUGCCCCUACAGUAUUUAUGGAUUUAAUGAAUCGUAUUUUCAAAUCCUUCUUAGAUCGAUUUGCCGUGGUAUUCAUAGACGAUAUAUUGGUCUACUCCCGUAGUGACUAGGAGCACGAAGAACAUUUGAGAAUUGUGCUACAAGUCCUUCGGUCGGAGAAACUCUAUACAAAGUUGAAGAAAUGCGAUUUUUGGCUCCGUGAAGUCGCUUUCUUGGGUCACAUAAUUUCUGAGGGUGGUGUAUCUGUUGACUCGAGGAAAAUUGAGGUAAUUAAGGAUUGGCCUUGCCCGACGAAUGUUUUGGAGGUCCGCAGUUUCGUUGGUCUUGCGGGCUAUUAUAGGCGGUUUGUGAAAGGUUUCUCGAAGAUUGUUAUUCCACUUACCCGCCUUACACACAAGGGAACUAAAUUUGUGUGGAGCGACGAGUGUGACCGGAGUUUAAAAGAGUUAAAGGAAAAAUUGACUACGGCUCCAGUACUCGCCCUCCCAGUUCUGGGGGAAAGUUUUGUCGUGUACAGUGAUGCAUCCUAUUAAGAUUUUGGGUGUGUUUUGAUACAGCAUAGGCAGGUUAUUGCAUAUGCCUUCCGCCAGUUGAAAAACUAUCUUAUUCACAACCUGGAGCUAUCUGCGGUGAUCUUCGCGCUUAAAUUGUGAGGACACUAUUUGUACGGCCAACGCUGCGAGGUGUACACGGAUCAUAAGAGCCUCAAGUAUUUAUUCACACAGAAGGAACUGAAUAUGAGGCAGCGUAGGUGGUUAGAAUUGUUAAAAAAUUAUGAUGUAACUAUUCUAUACCACCCGAAAAAAACCAAUGUGGUGGCGGAUGCUUUUAGUAGAAAAUCGGUGGAGAAUCUUGCAAUGGCCAUCACGCAUCAGCCGUCGUUAUGGAAGGAAAUGUGGCGGCUCGAUCUCGAGGUUGUGGCCCCGGAAGUCCCGAUUUUGCUUGCUGCUCUCGUUGUUCAACCAACUUUGUUGGAGAGAAUUAAACAUCGGCAGUCCUCGGACCCAAAUCUCCAAAAAGUGCGGCGAGACAUCGAAAGCGGGCGCACGAGCGACUUUAUUGUGGGCUCCGAUGGUGCACUUCGAUAUCGAAAUCGUUGGUGUGUGCCGAACGACGAGAAAAUCCGAAAGGUUAUUUUGCAAGAACCCUAUCAGUCUCCUUAUAGUGUUCAUCCGGGCGGCACCAAGAUGUACAAAGAUCUGAAAAUGCAUUAUUGAUGGCCGGGGAUGAAAAAGGAUAUUGCACACUAUGUGGCGCAAUGUCUUGUGUGCCAACAAGUCAAGGCGGAGCGCCGAUUUCCAACGGAAAAGCUUCAAAGUUUACUUAUUCCCUUUUGGAAAUGGGAGGACAUAGCUAUGAAUUUCGUUGUGGGAUUAUCCCGUUCGCAGGGUGGUCACGACGGAAAAGAGAGAGAGUGUGUGUGAGUCCAAAUUGACUUAUUAAUUUCGAUAAAUUUUUAAACGGUCGUAACUUUUCACUCGAAUAUUCGAUUCAACCUUAGUUAGAAAGGCACUUUUCGAGAUCUACGCAUUAAAUGUGAAGCCAUUCCGAUAGAGUUUAGGAUCAAAAUUCAAUUAUUUCUACAUCCUUUUUGAUAUAUUUAAGUUAUUUUCGAAAAGUUCUAUUUGUUUUAUAUUUGUAGUUUGAUUAUUUGAUUAUUUUUAUCUGAAUAGAUUAAUUUAGAGAUAUAUUAGAAUUUAUUAUUUUCGUUUAAUACGAUUUGUGUAUCAUCUCGAUAUAUAUAUAUAUAGACAUGGCGCUUGCUUAAUACAAUCAGAUUUUGAGAGUUGAUUAAUACUAUUUUCUUAUUUAUCAAAAAAUUGAUUCUUCGUGUGUUUCUUUCUUUCCGUUUCUGUGCUUCUUUCCUUUCAAUGCGGUCCUGGCCUGCGUCAAUUUGUGUAAGGGUAAAUACUUAUAAGAAAAGAAAAGAAAAGGAGGUACGUAAAUGUGAGCGCAAAUUGACCGGUCACUAAAAAAAUUUCAUCAUAAGGAUGCUUUUUCGAUGAAUAUGCUUAGAAAUACCGACUCCUAGAAAAACAUCAUUAUAUAAACUGUCUAUUAUAUCAAAUCAAUCUAUUGAAAAAUAAAGUUGACUAUUUUUUAAAAUUUUCUGACACUUAAAAAUCAUCAUAAUUUCAAAAAAUUCUGACGCUUUAAAAAGUCGGUGUAUACGUGAUAAAUUUUCGUUAUCAAAUACGACGGUAGACUAUUUUAAGAUGCUUUUAAGCAAGAUUAAAUAGCGAAGAAAAAAAGGUUCUUAGAUGUUAAUUUCUUUUGUUACGUGGGAGUGCAUGGAAAUGGACUUACUUGGAUCGAGCUCGGAGCUCACAAGCUCUAAGAGGAGGGUCUUCCCCAGCAAGUCGGUGACGUCGUCGAGGCCGCGGGCAACGCUGAGGUCUGAAAGGGCUCUGCUGACGGUCGACUGCACCGUCACGACUGCCUUCACCUUCGCGGGGCUCUUCGUAGCCGUUGCUGCUGCCGCAGAUCUCGCCGCCGCCUCAUUCGCAGCCUCGCAACGCACCCGGAGAGCCCUCGGAGUCGCCUCUCGACGGCGGCUUUGGCACGACUGCGAUUGCGCAUGUCGCGGUUUCGGGAUUGUGGUUGGGUUGAUUAUUGGAUUGAGGGAUGAGAUGAAGAAGAGAGAGGGGGAGUUGUUUUGUGCUCGUAACAAGGGCUUCAACAUUUCUUAAUUUCUUUCCCUUUUUUUUUUUCCUUUUUUAUUUUGUGGGGGGGGUGUGGGACGUAGAAGCUGAGAGGGGAUAUAUAUAGAGUGUGCUGUAUAUACACACACGCACACGUAUACACGCGCAUGAAUGUUCAUCAGUGUUUGGAAAGAAAAUAUCCAAGGCAUGUAUGUAUAUUUAGGGAUGUCAAUGGCUAUGGAUACUCAAAAUUUUAUCCGAAUUCGAAUCCGAACCGAGCGAAUUUAUUCGAUAUUAAACGGAUAUAAUUUUGAAUAUGGAUAUACAAAAUAAAAACUCGACGGAUAUGAAUUCGAAUAUGAAUUUUGACUAUAUCUGACCCGAUCCGUACCCAAACCCGAGUUUAUUUUACAUUAUAUAUAACAUGUAUAUAAAAAUUUAAUGUUUGUAUUUGAAAUUGUAUUUUAAAAAUUUAAAUUUAAUAUAAUAUAUUUUGAAAUAUUGAAAAAAUAAACAAUUGUUUUGGGUUCGGGUUUCAGAUUUUUAGUUGGGUUCAAAUUUGGAUAUGGAUUUUUUAAAUCCGUCGGAUUCGGAUUUUUGAAAAUUUGCCACGAAUCCAACCCAUUGACAUCCCUAUCUAUAUUGGCUUCUUUAGUGGUUUGUGAUCUCUUCACUCUUCCACAUUAUUCGAUGUCCAUAUUAUUCGAUGUGGGACUAUUAGACUAAUGCCCUUGUUAGCCUGACCCAAUCAUACUUGAUGUCAGAUUCAUCUCACACUUCCGACUAGUUAUUAGGCUCUGAUAUCAAAUGUAACGAUGUCGCGAUCCCCUAGCAAUAAUAACUGUUGUAUCCAAAUUCAUUUUGGACCACUCUUUAGAUUUUCCUGUGUCGAGACAACAUAUGCUCCAAUCAACAUUUGAUGGGGAGUGAUCAUCAUCUCCGGUGUGACAUCCUAGGAUUUAGAAUAGUUCUAUAAAGUAGAUAUAAUAUAGCUAAAUUAAUCUCAUGAUCUACCCGGCUAUAGCAUUUUGGAUAGUGGUUAAGUCCAAGAGGUUAAGAGAGUUAAGCGUGCUAGAGCUAGAAUAGUUGGUAGUAUGGGAAACCCGUGGGGAGUAGUGCGCCAUAUUUGAUAUCAAAGCCAAUCACCAGUAAGAAAUACGAGAUAAGUCUUGACUGAACUAGGGUCAUACAGUGGGUAGAAUGUGGAUCCGCAAUUCACAAUCGUUGUGGGUGGAGCACGGCUCCCCACAAGAUUGGCUAAAGGCUAGCAAGACGAGUCUCAUAUCACUUAAUGUUUGCAAUUGUUUGAACCUGACGAGAACUUCAGGGCUUAAAGAGUGAGAAUAAUAUGAUACCCUAGGAUUUAGAAUAGUCCUAUAUAAUAAAUAGAAUAUAACUAAAUCUCGUAAUCCGACUAUAGCAUUUUGGGUAGCGGCUAGGUCCAAGAGGUUAAGAGAGUUAAGCGUGCUAGAGAUAGAGUAGUUGCUAGAAUGGGUGACCCCUGGGCAGUAGUGCACCAUAUUUAACAUUAGAGCCAAUCACUACACAGAAGUACGUGAAAUGAGUCUCGAUUGAGUUUGAGUCACACAACGAGUAAAGCGUGGCUCCCUGUUUGAUGGUUGUUGUGGGUGGACCACGGCGCCCCCACAAGGUCGGCUAAAACUAGCAAGAGAAGUCUCACAGCACCUAAUACUUGCAGGUGUGCUUGAGCCUGAUGAGAACUUCAGAUCUUAAAAAGGAAAAUAACAUGACACCUUGGAAUUUAUAAUAGUCUUCUAUAUAUAUAUAUUAAAUAUACGGGGGCUAAAUCUUGUGAUGUGACUAUAAUAUUUUAAAUGGUAGCUGGGCCUAUGAAGUUAAGAAAGUUAAGUACGCUAGGGCUAGAGUAGUCCUAUGAUGGAUGACCCUAUGAAAAUGGAGCGCCACAUCCAAUUCAUGAGAGGAUGCUUAUAUAAAAGUUAUCUUUUCAUUUUUUAACUAUAUAUACUGUUCUUUAAGAACUUAUUAAGUGCGAAAACAAAUUAAAGCAGUCACUAGCAAGACGUUAGUAUCAGAUGAAAAGUUCCUUUCAUCCUUUUGGGUUGAUCAACAAAUUUUGAUUCCAUUUUGGUUCUUAAACUUAUAUACCUGGUUUCAUUAAAUGAUUAGUUUGGAUAUUAACCGGCCACCACCUUAGAUUACAUUUGAUAGCCUGGAGAUAAUGUGCUUCCAAUAACAUUGAUUACAGGAGAUUUCCAAUUAUUCAUGCAUGUUUCUUUCGCUCUAUCGUUGUAUAUAUGCAAGCUAUGUAAGCCACACGUAACCUUAUCAAACGUACGUUCACUGAUGUUGCACCGACUAUUAAUUCGAUGAGAAUUGAGAAGUUCCCUUUGUACGUACUAGAAUCACGUGGCAUUGCUAAGAUUUUGAUUGUAACAUACUCUAACAAAUAGAGAAACACUUCAGAAUAUCUAAAUUAUUUCAUGCAUUACGACUCUAAACCCUCGAUAGAAGGAGCAUAUAUAGGAUUUUAUCCCAAAUAAUUUACUAAUAUUCGAUUAAAUACAUUAAGUUAUCGGGUAAAAGGACGUAGGUUAAUUAGGUAGGUGAUGGUAGUGGGAAGGGUGAGAGAGAAGAGAUAUUGGAGAGAAAUUCAAAGAAAGGAGAAAUUAAGAGAGAUAGUAAAAAAAACGAAAAAAAAAGAGAAAAAUUCUAAUCAAUUAUCAAUUUUGAUGAAUAGUUAGAAAUUUAGAAGUAUAAAGACUGCUGUGCUCAUAUAUGUAUAUAUAUAUAUAGAGAGAGAGUUGGACUGGGCUACUAUUAGUAGCAAAAUCUCAUUGUUGCUACCAGUUUUUUAGCCUUUAGAUCAACUCUUUUCAUUAUUUCUAACCAUUGGAUUAAAUACUAUAACCCAGUGGGGACCACUCAACCUUAGGGGGACCACUCAUGACUCUAACCGACUAAUAUCAUCCUGACCCUACAAUUUUUCAUCCAAGGGUUAAAAAUUUGAUAGCAAAACAAGCGUUUUACUAUUAAUAGUAUUCCAGCCUAAUUCUAUAUAUAUAUAUANNNNNNNNNNNNNNNNNNNNNNNNNNNNNNNNNNNNNNNNNNNNNNNNNNNNNNNNNNNNNNNNNNNNNNNNNNNNNNNNNNNNNNNNNNNNNNNNNNNNNNNNNNNNNNNNNNNNNNNNNNNNNNNNNNNNNNNNNNNNNNNNNNNNNNNNNNNNNNNNNNNNNNNNNNNNNNNNNNNNNNNNNNNNNNNNNNNNNNNNNNNNNNNNNNNNNNNNNNNNNNNNNNNNNNNNNNNNNNNNNNNNNNNNNNNNNNNNNNNNNNNNNNNNNNNNNNNNNNNNNNNNNNNNNNNNNNNNNNNNNNNNNNNNNNNNNNNNNNNNNNNNNNNNNNNNNNNNNNNNNNNNNNNNNNNNNNNNNNNNNNNNNNNNNNNNNNNNNNNNNNNNNNNNNNNNNNNNNNNNNNNNNNNNNNNNNNNNNNNNNNNNNNNNNNNNNNNNNNNNNNNNNNNNNNNNNNNNNNNNNNNNNNNNNNNNNNNNNNNNNNNNNNNNNNNNNNNNNNNNNNNNNNNNNNNNNNNNNNNNNNNNNNNNNNNNNNNNNNNNNNNNNNNNNNNNNNNNNNNNNNNNNNNNNNNNNNNNNNNNNNNNNNNNNNNNNNNNNNNNNNNNNNNNNNNNNNNNNNNNNNNNNNNNNNNNNNNNNNNNNNNNNNNNNNNNNNNNNNNNNNNNNNNNNNNNNNNNNNNNNNNNNNNNNNNNNNNNNNNNNNNNNNNNNNNNNNNNNNNNNNNNNNNNNNNNNNNNNNNNNNNNNNNNNNNNNNNNNNNNNNNNNNNNNNNNNNNNNNNNNNNNNNNNNNNNNNNNNNNNNNNNNNNNNNNNNNNNNNNNNNNNNNNNNNNNNNNNNNNNNNNNNNNNNNNNNNNNNNNNNNNNNNNNNNNNNNNNNNNNNNNNNNNNNNNNNNNNNNNNNNNNNNNNNNNNNNNNNNNNNNNNNNNNNNNNNNNNNNNNNNNNNNNNNNNNNNNNNNNNNNNNNNNNNNNNNNNNNNNNNNNNNNNNNNNNNNNNNNNNNNNNNNNNNNNNNNNNNNNNNNNNNNNNNNNNNNNNNNNNNNNNNNNNNNNNNNNNNNNNNNNNNNNNNNNNNNNNNNNNNNNNNNNNNNNNNNNNNNNNNNNNNNNNNNNNNNNNNNNNNNNNNNNNNNNNNNNNNNNNNNNNNNNNNNNNNNNNNNNNNNNNNNNNNNNNNNNNAUAUAUAUAUAUAUAUAUAUAUAUAUAUAUAUAUAUAUAUAUAUAUAUAUAUAUAUAUAUAUGGACUGCUAUGCUUUUAGGAUUAGGGUGUUUGUGUGAGAUGGAUAGGUUGGGUGUGGGUUCAGAUUAGGGUUAGGGUUAGAGCAGUAUUGGAUUCAAAAUAAAUGUAUUUAGUAUAAAAUUAUUAGUCGUUAAAAGAAGUAGUUUAAAAUAAUUGCCGCUAGAAAUCAAAUUUCAUACUUUUUCAAUAUUGUUCUCUUGUCCAUCAAACGAACACACAAUGACCGGCUGAAAAUGAAUAUUCUCUAAAAAGUGAUGAUAGGAAUCUUAUAAUCAAGAUCGAGAGUAUAGAUCUUGUUCUAAAUAGUUUAAAAAAUUUUCUUACCAAAAUUCAAUUGAUUUGGAUAUCUUUACACCGUUAAACGAGAAAAUGUCUCAUAUCGACUAUAAGUUUUGAAACCCUUUGAUCCUUAGGUUAAUAAUGUCGAAAAGAUUUGAAAUUUGGUUUCUAAAUACUUCAAGUGGUAUAGAUCAUGUUCAACGGUGCAGAUCGUCGAUUUGGAGGCUCCAUCAUCGAAAAUAAAUGGGUGGUAAUGGAGCCCGUUUGCUACUGAUAGUAUUCUAGCUCAACUAUAUAUAUAUAUAUAUAUAUAGAGAGAGAGAGAGAGAGAGAGAGAGAGAGAGAGAGAAGGACUAGAAUAGUAUUGAUAGUAUCGUUUGAGUCUGAGUCAUACAGCGGGUGGAGUAUUGCUCCACAUAAGGUCGGUUAAGGUUAGCGGGACGAGCCUCAUAUCAAUCGGUGCUUGUGAACCUAAUAAAAAUCUUAAUGCUUAAAGAAAAAAGAAUAUUGUGACAAAAUUAAAAGUUUUAAUCCGAUAAGAUUAAAAGUUUUAAUUCGAUUAUAGUAUGUUAGGCAAUGGCUAGAUCUAAAAUGGUAAAGUUUAAGAAAUUUUACGACAGGUGAAGCGAGGCAUCACAGAAAACCAAAAAAGCUUAAUCCAACGCAACAUAGGGACACAUUUGGCUCAUCUGCAUAAUAUAAUAAUGCUAAACAUGACAAAAUGUGCUCUAAAUUGACUAUAAGUUAGAUAGGGAGACACCUUUUUUUUUGUUUGUUUUUUUUUUUAACACUUUUGGUGUGUUAUAGAUUGAUCAAUGGAACAUUUUAGACCACAGAUUCUAAUAGAAGAUUCGCUAUACACGUCCCAUUGCUUUGUGGGCUCUAGUGUACUCAGCGAAAAUGUAUUUAGUUCAAUUAUUACUAUUUUGAUGUGACUUUAAAAAAUCUAAUUUCACUAUAUAACUAAGGAAAAAAUAUUACAUUAAAGAAUAUACUUUU